rnacentral:lncRNA from 1 species
UCUAGCGUUACAUAUACUGAUCCAUUGUAACAAUCAUCAAUCAGCACAGAUGUCACAUUCAGAUAUUCCCAACACUACGAAAAUUCAGGAGCUUAUAAAUUAGAGCUGCAUUCAGGAGCUUCAUUUCAGUGAUCAACGAGCCUUGCAAGUUAAACGUACAUACGUCCUCUGAUGCGGGAAAGUAUCGGGUGCUGCCAGCCUUGAGGUAUACAGAGCAAAUACAAAAUAGAAUAUGCCACUUACACCAAUCUAGGCAUUUCAGGUAACAGAGCAAACACAAAAUACUUCCACACUAUGCUAGGCAUUGCAUCGCAGUCCUGACCUAGGCCUUUAUUAUACUUCCUCAUGGACAAGUAGUUCUUAUGCUUCCUUUCCCUCUCCAUCUUCAGAGAAAGCUGUGGGACAAAUCAAUAAAAUGUUGGGUCAGUGUGGUUAAACCAACAAAAAAAAAAGGUACGUCCAUCCCAUUUGUAUGAUGCAAAACCAGUGGUAUCUCCAAAAGUGGAAAAAUAAAAUGUCAGAACAUAAGAAAAACAAUGAUCUGAAAACCAGUGGAUUGAAUGUGGCAUACCAACAUGAAAAUAUUAUCCCACUACUUCAACCUAUGUUAAGGGUACUAUAGUUGUCUAGAAACAGUCCAUUUACUUGAAGAGUGUGCUAGAAAUUAAUACACAAACAAUUUCAUAACAUUGCAUAAGGUGUCAACUUUGAUAUACCAGUUACACCGGCAAGCUGACUUGCUACCACAUUUAAAAUGUUUAAGCAAAAAAACACAAAUGUUUUAAAAAGUGGUAGAGAAAGCGCUCCAGCCCCACCUAGCAACUAGACCACUGCCUAGCAUUUCUAGGCAUUUCGCAAAAAAAAUAAAAAGAGCCAAGUGUACAUAUACUUCAUUAUACACUAAAAUUUUAAAUUUGACAUGGAUGAGUACUUCAAUCAGUCAGAUAUUUACUAGACACAGUUUCCAUACAUCUCCCACUUAUCCUCUUCACUACCCACUGUUCCUUCGGAAGUGCUCCUGCUUCCCAAACGAGCCAGCUUCUCGCGGUAGCUGGGCGGGCUGGCUUCUCGCGGGAGCUGGGCGAGCGUUCGGAGCGAAGCAGGCCAGACUUGGUGGGAGCUGUAGAGAUAGGAAAACAGGAGCCAAGCAGGCCACAUGCAACUGCAAAACAAAUCGUUUUCUUGACUUGGCGGUGGCACUCCUAGUAAUUAAGCUGAACUUCUCCUUCGCCGUUUCGUGAAGCUGGGCUUGGGCAGCUUCUCAAAUUUGCACUGGAGGCCGCCUCCGCUUCUUGAAGCUGGCUUCGCGGAGCCGAAGCGUUCGGCCAGCUUCUCGCCUGCUUCCGGAGAAGUGCAGAGGAGGAGCACUUCUGAACGGGGCCCAAGUAUUGGGAACACGGACCGGUGCUGUGCUGCCUGUGCAACUGACACACUAAAGCAGCAAAAAGCAGGAAAAAAACACCUUUUCGAAUGCUUAAGCAUCCUCCAGGGAGUUAAAAGCAAUCGCUUAGAUGAAAGACCUUAGGCGCAGCUUUUUAAACACUAAACUACUAAGGUAACUUUGACAUAACAUCUGUUAUCAAGAAACUAAUAAGAGUAGUGCAGUCACUACUAUCAUCUGGAACAACAGUCUUCAAAAGAUCCCACUAUUUCAACCUAUGUUAGGGGUAAUAACAGUCCUUUUACAUGAAAAGUGCUAGUAAUGCACAAUUUCAUAAAAGCGCACAAGGAGUGAACUUUGAAUUAACAAUUACACCAGCAAGCAGAAUUGCUACCACAUCCAAAAUGUUUAAACAGAAACCACCAAUACUUAACAAGCCGUAGAGAGAAGCAAGCGCUCCAGCUCCACCUAGCACCCACGCGCUGCCUAGUGUUUCUAGGCGUUUUGCAGAGAAGAGAGCAAAGUGUAUAUACUCUUCAUUAUAAACUGUAAAUGUUUUAAUUUGACAAGGAUGAAUGUUUCAAUCAACGAUAUAUUUACUAAAUAGAGUUUCCAUACAUGUCACUUUUCCUCCUCUAUCACUACCCACUGUUCCUGUUGUCAUGCAGGAGACAGUAUAGCAUGCAAGAAUCACUGAAUAAGUAUUGGAAACAUGAAUUGGUGACACACUAAAGCAGCAAAAAGCAGGAAAAAAAUAAAAACCCUUUCGGAUUAAGCACUUAAAAUCCAUGGUCCCACAGCCCUUGGGCGCAGACUAAUCCGCUAAGGUAACAGUCAGUCCUAUCGUCAGAAACAACACUCUUCAAAAGAAGAGUAAACAGUCGUCGAAACAAGACUCUUCAAAAGAAGAGCUACCCCUCCAGUCACAGAUAAUCAAUCAAGAAUUUCUAUCUUAUGAUGGGUUCCCAAAUAAAACAGUCACCUAAUUUAAGCUACUAUUAUAUUAUUAUUAUUAUUAUUAAUAAUAUUCUCUAAAAAAACAUCUUACGAACGAAAAAAAACGCCAUCAGAUACUGACAUAGACCGCAGUGAGUAGCAUUGGUGAUGGUAUAUCAGCCUGGGAGCAUGACAACACACACCUGGUGGUGAUGCGCACGGGUCUCGCCGGGAGUUGAGACGGAGGAUGGGUGGUUCGCGGUUGCUGUACGCCUCCCGCAGCGCCGCCCUUUUCUUCCUCACCGCCUCCGCGAGAAAAGGCUGGCUGAACAACCCAGAUAGAUUGAAUUUCGCUCGGUUAGUUAGAAUCAAUUCAAUUCCCAAAGAUAGACAUACGCGCAAGCAAGCGAACAAGAGAGAGGGCGCGCGCACAUCUUGGAGGGGACACCGUUGGUGACCUUGGCGCCGGGGAGAGAUUGUUCCUUCAGCUUCGCCUUCAUCUCCUUAAACUGCGCCCUAAGUUCCGCCGACUUGACCGGGUCUGCCGCACAAAAACGGAGGCGUCAGAUCCACAAGAAACUAGUAAAGAGCCAAGUGUAUAUAUACUUCAUUAUACACUGUAAAAUUUUAAAUUUGACAAGGAUGAGUACUUAAGAAUCCAGGCACUUAAAAGCAAUCGCUUAGAUGAAAGACCUUAGGCACAGCUUUUUAAACACUAAACUACUAAGGUACGUAAAAUUUUGUUAAGGGUACUAUAGUUGUCUAGAAACAGUCCAUUUACUUGAAGAGUGCUAGAAAUGCACAAACAAUUUCAUAACAUUGCAUAAGGUGCCAACUUUGAUAUACCAGUUACACCGGCAAGCUGACUUGCUUACUUACUUACUUACGAAGCCUUUGAUCCCAAACAAGUUGGGGUAGGCUAGAUAUGAAACCCUUUCACGAGGACUUCCCAGGAGGUCACCCAUCCUAGUACUACUCUCGCGCAAAUGGGUUUCAUACCCAAAAGACUGGCUAGUUUUUACGUUGGCUCGCCAAGCCUAUCACAACCCUUAGAUAUGAAACUCUUUCACAAGGACUUCCCAGGAGGUCACCCAUCCUAGUACUACUCUCGCUCAAAUCGGUUUCAUACCUAUGGGACUGGCUAGUUUUUACGUUGGCUCGCCAAGCCUAUCACAACCCUCCUCCUUUACCCGGGCUUGGGACCGGCUAUGCCUAGAAGACAUAGGCGGACUUGCUACCACAUUUAAAAUGUUUAAGCAAAAAAAAAACACAAAUGUUUUAAAAAGUGGUAGAGAAAGCGCUCCAGCUCCACCUAGGAACUAGACCACCGCCUAGCAUUUCUAGGCAUUUCGCAAAAAGAAAAAGAGCCAAGUGUAUAUAUACUUCAUUAUACACUGUAAAAUUUUAAAUUUGACAAGGAUGAGUACUUCAAUCAGUCAGAUAUUUACUAGACACAGUUUCCAUACAUCUCCCACUUAUCCUCUUCACUACCCACUGUUCCUGUCCUGCAAAGUAAGCAGUAGCAUGCAAGAAGCACUGAAUAAGUAUUGGGAACACGGACCGGUGCUGUGCAGCUGACACACUAAAGCAGCAAAAAGCAGGAAAAAAACACCUUUUCGAAUGCUUAAGCAUCCAGGCACUUAAAAGCAAUCGCUUAGAUGAAAGACCUUAGGCGCAUCUUUUUAAACACGAAACUACCAAGGUAACGUUGACAUAACAUCUGCUAUCAGGAAACUAACAAGACUAGUGCAGUCACUACUAUCAUCUGGAACAACAGUCUUCAAAAGAUCCCACUAUUUCAACCUAUGUUAGGGGCAAUAACAGUCCUUUUACAUUAAAAGUGCUAGAAAUGCACAAUUUCAUAAAAGCGCACAAGGAGUGAACUUUGAAUUAACAAUUACACCAGCAAGCAGAAUUGCUACCAUAUCCAAAAUGUUUAAGCAAAAACCACAAAUACUUAACAAGCCGUAGAGAGAAGAAGCAAGCGCUCCAGCUCCACCUAGCACCCACGCGCUGCCUAGUGUUUCUAGGCGUUUUGCAGAGAAGAGAGCAAAGUGUAUAUACUCUUCAUUAUAAACUGUAAAUGUUUUAAUUUGACAAGGAUGAAUGUUUCGAUCAACAAUAUAUUUACUAAAUAGAGUUUUCCAUACAUGUCACUUUUCCUCCUCCUAUAUCACUACCCACUGUUCCUGUUGUCAUGCAGGAGACAGUAGCAUGCAAGAAUCACUGAAUAAGUAUUGGAAACAUGAGUCGGUGACACACUGAAGCAGCAAAAGCAGGGGGAAAAAACCCUUUCGGAUUAAGCACUUAAAAUCCAUGGCGCCACAGCCCUUCGGCGCAGACUAAUCCGCUAAGGUAACAGUCAGUCCUAUCGUCAGAAACAACACUCUUCAAAAGAAGAGUAAACAGUCGUCGAAACAAGACUCCUCAAAAGAAGAGCUACCCAUCCAGUCACUGAUAAUCAAUCAAGAAUAUCUAUCUUACGAUGGGUUCCCAAAUAAAAGUCACCUAAUUUAAGCUACUAUUAUAUUAAUAUUCUCUAAAAAGAACAUCUUACGAACGAAAAAUAACGCCAUCAGAUACUGACAUAGACCGCAGUGAGUAGCAUUGGUGAUGGUAUAUCAGCCUGGGAGCAUGACAACACACACCUGGUGGUGAUGCGCACGGGUCUUGCCGGGAGUUGAGACGGAGGAUGAGUGGUUCGCGGUUGCUGUACGCCUCCCGCAGCGCCGCCCUUUGCUUCUUCGCCACCUCCGCGAGAAAAGCGCGGCUGAACAACCCAGAUAGAUUCAAUUUCGCUCGGUUAGUUAGAAUCAAUUCAAUUCCCCAAGAUAGACAUACGCGCAAGCAAGCGACAAAGAGAGAGGGCGCGCGCACAUGUCGGAGGGGACACCAUUGGUGACCCUGGCGCCGGGGAGAGAUUUUUCCUUCAUCUCCGCCUUGAGCUCCUCAAGCCGCGCCCUAAGUUCCGCCCGCUUGACCGGGUCUGCCGCACAACAAUGGAGGCGUCAGAUCCACAAGAAACUAGUAAGGACGGACGCAAUGGUGCUUACCCAUGGCGACGGUAGCGGUUGCAGCGUCAGGGGCAAAGCGGAGGCGGCGGCGGCGGCGGGGUGGAGGCUGUGCGCGAAGGCAACUCACUGCCGGCGGCGGGGGAGGCUUAUAACUAUCAGGCCAGUAGCAAGCCGUUGGAUCAAAUCCCCUAUGGCCGUUAGAUCAGCAGGCUGGCCGGUGCGCAUCUUUCGUGGGCAGUUUCCAGAAUUGAAACCCGAUGAAACUAAUUAGGUGGGAUUUGCUAAUAACUGGAGUACUUCGAAGAUUUAGGAAACUAAUGUGACGCUUCCAUAUAUUUAGCAAACUAAUUUCGGAUGUUGCUACCUUAAAAGCAAAAUUAGUUUCCGAUAUUAUUCAGUUUUCCUUCCGAUGGAACUGUUGCUUUGAUAUGGAUUUUUAUAUCUUUGAAUACAAUAAUUUGUGUCGCCAUCGAUCGGUGAAUUAGCUUCCAUGGUUAAUGAUGUUUGCUUCCUUGGACUAAGAAGAUUUUGUGUCUAAUAAUAUAUUGUUUCAAAAGCAUCACAAUAUUGAUUCCAUGAAAAAGGAAAAUAUCCCUGCUCCAAUGGAUAGAAGAAUAGUUUGUUUUACAGAUGGAAGCAUCAUUUUUUAGGAAACAAUCCCUAAUAAUUGCUUCCAAUAAUCUUGGCUAUUCUAACUUUUUUUAGCGCUACAUCUAAUAUGGACCAUGCAGUUUGCUUCCAUAUGAGAAAAGAGGUUUCAUUUGAGGCGCAGUGCGGGCUGAAUGGGCCUAGCUGGGCUGAAAGUGAAAUCCUACGGUGUGGAGGUGCUGGACCAGCCUAGGACAAAGUCCAUAUUACCACCCUCAACUUCUGUGAGAGUUGGCAUUUCCUCCCUAAAAUAGAGAACCGGAUGUUUAUGCUCCUCGAACUAUUGAAACCGGUCGAUUCAUCUCCCUGUGCGGUUUUCAAAGCGGUUUUGCUGGCAUAGCGUCGCGUCAACUGGCUUAUGUGACGCCACAUCAGCCAUGUGGGAGGUAAAUUGAACUUUCAUAAUAGUUCAGGGAGGUCCACUAGACAGUAUAAAGAAUAUAGAAAUAUAUUUUUUAAAAAUCCAAAUAUUUUUUCUAGAAUAAAUGUACAUUUUAAAAUAGCAAAUGAUAUUUAAUGUUAUAAAAAUCAUAGAAAGUUUCUUGGACGCGACUAGCAAGCAACCGUUGGCUGGCUAGUGGUGCUCAAAAGGCACUUGAAAUAGCCGAAGCUAAUUUGAGUAAAGCUGAGGGUACGAAAGAUUUGGUUGAAGUGAAGCUCGCUCUCAGACGAGCUAGGAUACGAGCACACGCCUAAAUAAGGCAGUGGAGCCUCCCCUUUGCCACCUGGCGCCCAAAAAAUGAAAGAAACGGUCUGAUUGCAUACAUGGCCAGAUUACCUCCUCCCCUAAUCGUAAUUGACGCAACAAACGUACCACAACCCCAUCUAAAAAAACUACCGCAACCCAGUGUGAACGCCACGCCACAGAAUCUCUGCAGCAUUUCCUCCCUUCCCAUCCAGUUCUUCCCCAUCUACUCCUCCUUCCCUUCUCAUCCAUCUUCCGCCAUGGAUCUCUCUGGACAGCUUGGGGGUGCACUCUGAUCCCUGCAACAGUGAAACACAAAAGGCCAGCAGUGCUGGGAUGUUAUGCAUGCAACACCACCUAGUACUAGGUUUCAGUUUGAUUUGUCUACAACCAAAAUAAGGUCAGGCAACUUGUUGCUGUUAUUUUGGGCAAGUUCAGUAAACCCAACAGGCAAAAUUCUGUAAUGCACUAUGACUUGCUACGGUAGAAAAAAAACUUGCGUUCCUUUUACAGGGAACAUGCAAAAAAACUAUUGUUUGAAUAUUGUGGACAUUCAAACACACAAGUUACAAGUUUUUUGUUUGGAAAUUAUAGAAAUAAUUUGCCUAAACAAACCUCAAGGGGCGGGGAAAAUGUUUGUGUGUCCGGUAAAUCACACAUGCAGAACAGGCAAGACACAGUUUUCCAAAUACAGCAAGCAAGUCACAUACUUAACACCAGCAAGUCCCAGCCAAAAUGUCAAGUCCUACUAAUCACUAGCUGCAAUGCACUCUGACUUGCUAGGGGUACACAAAAUACCUUGUGUUCCUUUGGAAAAAAUAAAGACAUUGAAGAACACAAGUUAUAGGUUUGUUGUUUGGAAAAACUUAGAAAUAAUUUGCCCACAACUAAUGGCAGGAGAUGAAUCUUGGUCAGGAGCAGCCACAUGUUGUUCUUGCAAAUUGUGUUUUUUUGCUUGUCACAGCCAUUUUCCUGCUAAAACAGGAAAAAAAACAUCAUCAUAAAUGCAUAUUCUGAGUGGCUUGUAUGGAACUUCUAGGACACUAACUAAAAAGAACUAGCAAGUUCUGAGCCAUGCGAUGAAAUGUGAAGGAAGAUAACAAAGUUUCAUGUGUUAACUGAGGCAACUACCUACAGAGUGUUGGGCAAAUUUUGGCAAAACUCAAAGCCAUCUAAGUAACAAAACCAUUAAAAGCGAAUUUCUGAACCAUGUCACUCAACUAUGUAACAAACAUUAGGCCAGUUUAGGAUUGUCCAUUAUCUGAAGUAUUUCAUCCAGACACAAAAAGGCUCAAUCUUCAUUCCUUAUGAAAAACAGCUAUGCAUCAUUUAGCCCCCAAUUAAAUAUCCCAAAUGCUAAGUUCAAAAAUCUCGAUCAACGCAUUGGUGUGUGCUAGUUUUUUGAACUCUAAGUAAGCAAGUUUGAACGCAUUGGCUAGUAUUGAAAACUACUGAGUAACUAGUGCUAACGCACAUGUCUGUAUCCCAAAAACUACCUAUCAAACCAUUUGAUAAGUCAGAAAGCAAAAUUGAGGCAACUACUUAUCAAUAGUUAUGCAAUGUUUUGUGAGAGAACACAGAUAAACAUCACUAUUUAGAAUAAGCAUUCUGGCAACUCAGUGCAGUACAUCUAGCAACUUGUAUCCUCUGUCAAGGGCAACUUUCAAUACCCCACCCUCCCAAAAUCGCCCCUGUGUCGCACAUUAUCUACUUUGAGGGAAAACACAUCACGUCAAACUCGCCAUGCCUAUCUUCCUCCCCAUAUCCACACCAUAACCUCACCCCUCCCCUCCCGCUCGUCGCUUGCUACCCACCUCUGCCAACAGCCACAACCACCGCGUGAUCCCCGCGAAAACCUUCACCACUGCCAGACGGCCAACGUAGAGGAUCGUGAAAACCAUUGGGCAAGUGGAAAAAGCAAAAACAAGCAACUACUUAUCAAUUUUUAUGCAAGUUUUGUGAAAAAAGGGUGAACCACACAAGUUCCAAGCUCAAGAAACUGCAGAUCUGGCAACUUGUACCGCACAUCUGGCAACUCAUGCCCGUAGAUCUGGCAACUCAUAGACUCUACCUCACAACUUCCCACCCUUCAACCCUCUCAAACAUCAUCAAGAUAAUAUCAACUUCGAGGCAGACCAAUGGUUUGCCGCACCCCAAAAAAUACCCAUCAACAUUGACCCGCCCCUGCCUAUCGUCCUCGGGAUCAACAGCUAUGCAGACACAAAAGGCUCAAAUUAUGCUUGCGGUGUAGGCAAAUUUUGUGAGUUAAAACCUAUUGAUGCAGCCAGCUUAUUGAUGUCUACUACACAACCUUCUUCUUGUAGACGUUGUUGGGCCUCCAAGUGCAGAGGUUUGUAGAACAGUAGCAAAUUUCUCUCAAGUGGAUGACCUAAGGUUUGUCAAUCCGUGGGAGGCGUAGGAUGAAGAUGGUCUCUCUCAAACAACCCUACAAUCAAAUAGCAAAGAGUCUCUUGUGUCCCCAACGCAUCCAAUACAAUGGUAAAUUUUAUAGGUGCACUAGUUCGGCGAAGAGAUGGUGAUACAAGUGCAAUAUGGAUGGUAGAUAUAGGUUUUUGUAAUCUGAAAAGGUAAAAACAGCAAGGUAACAAGUAACAAAAGUGAGCAAAAACGAUAAUGCAAUGCUUUGAGACAAGGCCUAGGGUUCAUACUUUCACUAGUGCAAGUUCUCUCAACAAUGAUAACAUAAUUGGAUCAUAUAACUAUCGCUCAGUGUGCAACAAAGAGUCAUUCCAAAGUCACUAAUAGCAGAGAACAAACGAAGAGAUUAUUAUAGGGUACGAAACCACAUCAAAGGUAUUCUUUCCAAUCAAUUUAUUGGUCUAUUUCUAUAAGUGUCACAAACAACCCUAGAGUUCAUAAUAAAAUAACACCUUAAGACACACAUCAACCAAAACCUAAUGUCACCUAGGUACUCCAAUGUCACCUCAAGUAUCCGUGGGUUUGAUUAUACGAUAUGCAUCACACAAUCUUAGAUUCAUCUAUUCAAACCAAAACAAAGAAUUUCAAAGAGUGCCCCAAAUUUUCUAUCGGAGAGUCAAGACGAAAACAUGUGUCAACCCCUAUGCAUAAGUUCACAAGGUCACAGAAGCCGCAAGUUGAUCACCAAAACAUACAUCAAGUGGAUCACGUGAAUAUACCAUUGCACUACUAGGGAAAACCUAGUAGUAGCGCGGGUUUUGAGGCUAUCAGCAGCGCGGGCAGCCGCGCUACUACUACGGCGCUACAGCUAACUGUUAGUAGUAGCACGGUCAUCACUCGCGCUACUACUGUUGACUAUAUCAGCAGCGCUUUUCUGGAAAGCGCUACUAUUAGUUAGCUGUAGCGGUUUCCUAGCCCCUCGCUUCUGCUAUAUCUUUCAUCACCCCCCCUGCUUCCUACCCCAUUUCGGUUUCAAUAAACUGCAAUUUCCAGAUACUAGGUACUACUAGAUAUCAAUUUCAUAAAGCAUUAUAGGUACUAGGUAGUACUCCCUCCGUUCCAAAUUACUCGUCAUGGUUUUAGCUCAAACCACGACGAGUAAUUUGGAACGAAGGGAGUACUAGAUAACAAUUUCAUGUAUAGUCAACAUGCAUCCUCAAGCAGUACAAGGUCAUAUCGGCGACGACCAUCAUAUGUAGUUCUAGAUGAUAUCGACGACGAUCAUCAUAUGUAGUUCUAGAUGAUAUCGACGACGAUCAUCAAAUGUAGUUCUAGAUGAUAUAGCCGCACACACAUAUGUAGUUCUAGAUGAUAUCGACGACGAUCAUCAUAUGUAGUUCUAGAUGAUAUCGACGACGAUCAUCAAAUGUAGUUCUAGAUGAUAUAGCCACACACACAUAUGUAGUUCUAGAUGAUAUCGAAGACGAUCAUCAUCCUCAAGCCUGGGCGGUUGGUGUUCCUAAUAAUAAUUAGGAUGGCUUGGCCAACACGAAGAUUCUUGCCAUCGAGGAAUAUCUUCCACCCAAUCGAGUUUAAGUGUGUGCGACCAUCCGUGUCCACGCGGUAAGUACAGGUUGUGACGGAGUCCCUUGCGGUAAGGCGUAGUCCAGCUGAAUCUUCUUCAUCAGGCUCGAUACCAUAACUCACAAAUAGGCUCUUUGCCAACUUCUGAAUAAGAAAAACAUAUCAAUUAGUAAAUAGCCUCGCACAUACUCUUGCAAAUAAGUAUAUAUGUAUUAUCUACACUAUUAAUAGUUCCUUAGAUUCUACACUAAUAAGCAUGUGAUCGAACUCUACACUAAAGCAUAUCAUCGACUAGAUUCCACACAACAUAUCAUUGGACUCUACACUAAGCAUAUCAUCGGAUAAUUUGCAUUUGUAAGUAUAACAUACCAUAUCAUGUCGAUCGACCACGGUACUUGUCAGGAGGGUCACGAAUGGCACCCCAACAAAAUUAGCACAUGGUGGAAUUAUGUCCCAUAGGUUGCACACCUCCUCCUCGCUCAGCCUCAUUCUUUGAGCUACGAUGGCUUCAUGAAGUGGGUCCUCAUCAUCUUCAUCGAGUGGGUCCUCAUUAUCUUCAUCAUCUUCGUCAUCUUCAUCAUCUUCCACCAAGUUGAUAUAAAUGACAGCUAGCUUGGGUCUUUCUGCUCUGAAGGAGAAGUUGAUCAACUCACCACCAGCAAGACGCAUGCGGGCGAGGAAACGGGCCCAUCCAUCUCCUUCAAUCUGUGAAAUAUUUCGUCCUUUCUCGACCUCCAUAGUGUACGCCCCCCAGGAGCCUCAAAUGUCACAGUGUCUCGUGUCAGCUUGUUGAAUAUCAACCUCACAUUGCAUGGGACGAUCUAUGUAAAAAAAGUGAAAUGACACAAUGCAGUAUGCCACCACUAAAAAUAAAAUAGUUGUUACAUUUCAUAUAUUUUUUUACCGCUGCAUGAUGAAAACUCGGCUGGAAGUAGAUGUCGAACAGCUUGCCAGUUGCAAGGCUGCUGGCGCACCUUGACUUGCACAAUCGACAUGGUGGUGGUGGUGGCGGCGCCAUUUUCCUAAAGCAAUAUGUAGAGUGCCAAAUCUUCAGAGCUAUCUUCAAAGGUAUCAACUAGCAUACUAAAUCAACUAAAUCAAAAUGUUCUAUAAAUCAACUAAAUCAACUAGCCUAUUAAAUCAACCUUGCCUACUAAAUCAACUAAAUCAAAAUGUUCUAUAAAUCAACUAAAUCAACUAGCCUAAUAGAUCAACUUGCCUACUAAAUCAAUAAAAUUAAAAUGUUCUAAAUCAACUAGCAUACUAAAUCAACUAAAUCAUACGAACUAAAUCAAAAUGUUGCAUAUGAACUAGCCUACUAAAUCAAAAUGUAGUAGGGGGGAGGGUUGUGGAUGGAGGAGGGAGGAGGGAGAAGGAGGGGCGACUGGAGGAGGGAGGAGAGAGUAGGACGGAGGAGGAAGAGCAGAGCGAGGAGGGGCCGGCCGGCAGCGAGUCGAGGGAGGACGGAGGAGGAGGGCGGUACAGUGAGGAGGAGGAGGUGACGACAGCGCAGAGGGAGCAGGGGUAGGCGAUGGCGGCCGGCGGGGGAGGACCUGCGCGGGUGGGUUGAGGGUCCGGUCGAGUGAGUGUGAGUGUGAGUGUGAAUAAGAUAGAGGAGAGCGUGAGUGGUGGGAGGUAGCUAGUUUUAGCAGUAGCGCAGUAUAGGUAAAGGCGCUACUGCUAAACUACCUAGCAGUAGCGCUCUUCUAAUUAACACGCUGCUGCUAUAACUAGCUUCGCGGCGGGGUCGUGGGAAUAGUAGCAGUAGCAUGGCUUAGGGGAGGCGCGCUACUGCUACUUUUAUUUCAACAGCGAGUUCUGGUGGAGCGCGCUACUGAUAAAUUGCAGCAGCGCCUUAUUUUAAAACUCGCUGCUGGUAAGAUCCUGUGUAUAGGCUUUUCCCUAGUAGUGUUGUCACCACAGAUAAGCACAUGCAAGACAUGCAUCAAGUGUUCUCAAAUCCUUAAAGACUCAAUCCGAUAAGAUAACUUCAAAGGAAAAAUCAAUCCAUUACAAGAAGGUAGAGGGGGAGAAACAUCAUAAGAUCCAAAUAUAAUAGCAAAGCUCGCGGUACAUCCAAAUCAAGAACACGAGAGAGAGGGAUCAAAUACAUAGCUACUGGUACAUACCCACAACCCUGAGGGUGAACUACUCCCUCCUCGUCAUGGAGAGCACCGGGAUGAUGAAGAUGGCUACCGGUGAUGGAUCCCCCCUCCGGCAAGGUGCCGGAAUAGGGUCUCGAUUGGUUUUUGGUGGCUACAGAGGCUUGCGGCGGUAGAACUCCCGAUCUAGGUUCUGUUAUGGAAGUUUGGGGAUAUAUAAGAGGUGUUGGCGUCGGGAACAAGUCAGGGGGGUCCAUGAGGCAGCCACGAGGUAGGGGGCGCGCCUAGGGGUAGGGCGCUCCCUCCACCCUCAUGGUGGCCUCGGGACUCUUCUGGUCAAUCUCCGAUGCUUUGUGGGCUUCUUCUGGUCCAAAAAUAAUCUCCGUAAAUUUUCAGGUCAAUUGGACUCCAUUUGAUAUUCCUUUUCUGUGAUACUCAAAAACAAGGAAAAAACAAAACUAGCACUAGGCUCUUGGUUAAUAGGUUAGUCCUAAAAAUCAUAUAAAAUAGCAUAUAAAUGCAUAUAAAACAUCCAAAACAGAUAAUAUAAUAGCAUGGAAUGAUCAAAAAUUAUAGAUAGGUUGGAGACAUAUCAAGCAUCCCCAAUCUUAAUUCUUGCUCGUCCUCGAGUAGGUAAAUGAUAAAAACAGAAUUUUUGAUGUGGAAUGCUACCUAACAUAUUUAUCAAUCUAAUCUUCUUUAUUGUGGCAAGAAUAUUCAGAUCCAUAAGAUUCAAAACAAAAGUUUAAUAUUGACAUAAAAACGAUAAUACUUCAAGCAUACUAACAAGGCAAUUAUGUCUUCUCAAAAUAACAUGGCGAAAGAAAGCUUAUCCCUACAAAAUCAUAUAGUCUGUCUAUGCUCCAUCUUCAUCACACAAGAUACUCAAAUCAUGCACAACCCCGGUUUCAGCCAAGCAAUUGUUUCAUACUUUAGUAUUCUCAAACUUUUUCAACUUUCACGCAAUACAUGAGCGUGAGCCAUGGACAUAGCACUAUGGGUGGAAUAGAAUGGUGGUUGUGGAGAAUACAAAAAGAAGAAGAUAGUCUCACAUCAACUAGGCGUAUCAACGGGCUAUGGAGAUGCCCAUCGAUAGAUAUCAAUGUGAGUGAGUAGGGAUUGCCAUGCAACAGAUGCACUAGAGCUAUAAGUUUAUGAAAGCUCAAAAAGAAAAACUAAGUGGGUGUGCAUCCAACUUGCUUGCUCAUGAAGACCUAGGGCGAUUUGAGGAAGCCCAUCGUUGGAAUAUACAAGCCAAGUUCUAUAAUGAAAAAUUCCCACUAGUAUAUGAAAGUGACAACAUAGGAGACUCUCUAUCAUGAAGAUCAUGGUGCUACUUUGAAGCACAAGUGUGUAAAAGGGAUAGUAACAUUGCCCCUUCUCUCAUUUCUCUCUUUUUUUGAUUGGCUUCUUUUGCCUCUCUUUUUUGUCUUCUUUGGCCUCUUUUUUUAUUUCCUCACAUGGGACAAUGCUCUAAUAAUGAUGAUCAUCACACUUUUAUUUACUUACAACUCAUGAAUUACAACUCGAUACUUAGAACAAAAUAGACUCUAUAUGAAUGCUUCCGGCGGUGUACCAGGAUGUGCAAUGAAUCAAGAGUGACAUGUAUGAAAGAAUUAUGAAAGGUGCCUUUGCCACAAAUACGAUGUCAACUACAUGAUCAUGCAGAGCAAUAUGACAAUGACGAAACGUGUCAUAAUAAACGUAAUGGUGGAAAGUUGCAUGGCAAUAUAUCUCAGAAUGGCUAUGGAAAUGACAUAAUAGGUAGGUAUGGUGGCUAUUUUGAGGCAGAUAUAUGGUGGGUGUAUGGUACUAGCGAAAGUUGUGCGGUACUAGAGAGGCUAGCAAUGGUGGAAGGGUGAGAGUGUGUAUAAUCCACGGACUCAACAUUAGUCAUAAAUAACUCACAUACUUGUUACAAAAAUCUAUAAGUCAUCAAAACAAAGUACUACGUGCAUGCUCCUAGGGGGAUAGAUUCGUAGGAAAAGACCAUCUCUCGUCCUCGACCGCCACUCAUAAGGAAGAUAAUAAAAAAUAUCUCACGCUCCAACUUCGUUACAUAACGGUUCACCAUACGUGCAUGCUACGGGAAUCACAAACCUAUACACAAGUAUUUCUCAAAUUCACAAUUACUCCACUAGCAUGACUUUAAUAUCAUCAUCUUCAUAUCUCAAAACAAUCAUAAGGAAUCAAACUUCUUGUAGUAUUCAAUGCACUUUAUAUGAAAGUUUUUAUUAUAUCCUUCUUGGAUGCCCAUCAUAUUAGGACUAAAAUCAUAACCAAAACAAAUUACCAUGUUGUUUAAGACUCUCAAAAUAAUAUAAGUGAAGCAUGAGAGUUCAUCAAUUUCUUCAAAAUAAAACCACCAUCGUGCUCUAAAAAGAUUUAAGUGAAGCACUAGAGCAAACGACAAACUACCCCAAAAAAUAUAAGCGAAGAUCAAUGAGUAGUCGAAUAAUUAUGUAACUAUGUGAAGACUCUCUAACAUUUAAGAAUUUUAGAUCUUGGGAUAUUAUUCAAACAGCAAGCAAAGCAAAAUAAAAUGACAUUGCAAGGUUAGCGCAUAUCAUGUGAAGAAGUAAAAACCUAGGCUCAACCAAAACUGACUGAUAGUUGUUGAAGAAGAAAGGUGGGAUGCCAACCGGGGCAUCCUCAAGCUUAGAUGCUUGAGACUUCUUGAAAUAUUAAUUAGGCAUGCCUUUGGUAUCCCCAAGCUUGAGCUUUUGUGUCUCCCUAAUUCUUUUUAUAUCUCCAACGUAUCUAUAAUUUUUGAUUGUUCGAUGCUAUUAUAUUAUUUGUUUUGGAUGUUUUAUAUGCAUUAAUAUGCUAUUUUAUAUUAUUUUUGGGACAAACCUGAUGACGUGAAAAUGGCGGGCGUGAGAUACGCGUCCACGUUAUUGAUACAAAGUGAAAUUUAAAUGCUUAAAACAAAAAUAGAGUAAAACAUUGCAGGUACUUUAUUUCCAGAACUCUUACAUUUACAUAAAAAUUCUGUUAAUUACAUCUCUGAAGAGAAAACCCCUGAUUAAGAAUUCCAACAUUUGUAUUACAUAGGAUUACAUCACAUGCGACCAUUACAAAAUGAUAAAAGAAAAAUCUUCCUCCUCGCUGUCGUCGACGCUGGUAUGCUCGGGUGAGCCUUGGAAUUUGUUGAUGUUAUCAUAUGCGAUGACUUUCAUUUAUAUUCUACUUUUCUUUGACUCGUAUUGAUAUUAGCAAUACAUGUACGCAUGCUUGAAUGACUUCAUUUACUUGCCUAAUUGAUUAACCAAUGCAUAGACUUUGAUUUAUUUUUCUUUGUUUGUAUGAGAAAAUCAUCUUAAUGGUUAAUCAAUCUGCUAAAUGAGCCUUCAAAAAUUAUGAUACAUGCAUAUGGGACACAAAGCCAUGAACGUGCUCUGUGCAUGCAAAAUACUUUAGUACUAACAGUUGUAGUACUCUUUAUUUUAUGAAUAGAUGACAUCUACAUUUUCUAAAUGUUUGCAAUCCGUAUGGGGGAUGCAUGAUCUAACUUUCAUCUCAUGCGAAGAUAAGCUAGAUCGGGUCUUUUUGAGCAUACGCAUAUAUGGAGCAGAUAGAAAACAUUUAAUGGUGGCCUAUGCAAGUGCACUACAAUAUUUCUAGUGCAAUCAGACUCAGAUUAUGACUCUGAUCAUCUUUUAGUUUUUUUAAUGUAUGUCCAUAUGAAGUGACCAUACAAUUUAUUUUAGUUGGGUGGAUGUACACCAAUUAACCUAGAAUUAGCUAGGUACGACAUGUCCAUUUCACCUUGCAUGCGCAUAUACUAGAUUCACCAAUAUCUAGUUAUUUCUCGAUGAUGACGGCUAGCAUUAGGGGCCAAUGCAUUUUAUAUAGUGCACCCAUUUAGUAUAUUUUAGAGACAUUUGGUUAAUAUAAUACCAUUUAUGAUUUGGGCGGCAUUUUGUUUAUCAUCAUGAAGUGGGAAUAUUAGUUUCUAUACACCCGGGUAUGAACAAGGUUAAUUUGUGUUAUACGACUCAUUUUCGCAUACACACAUGCGACUAAGGAUAAUGUCUUUUGACGAGCACUUAUGGUUUUGCGAUAUAUUUGUUUAUAUGCAAUCUGUAGUAUAUAUUUCAUCCAUCAUUUUUAUGUUGAUUUUCUCCGAGCCAUACCUUUGCCAUCAUUCUGUUGAGAACAAAGUCUUCACUCUACAUAAGGGAAGAAAUACCCUAAUUUGUGUCAAUAUGACCAAAUCAGAGGAGAUCAUCAUGCAACUUGUAUUUCUCGGCAUGUGUCAACAUGACCAUGGCAAGAACAAACUAUCAAAUUUGUGAGAAUACCUCUUGACAUGUGUCAACAUGACCAUGGCAAGAACAAACUAUCAAAUUUAUAGUGAAUACUACUUGUGAGAGUGCUACUUGACAUGUGUCAACAUGACCAUGCCAAGAGCAAAUUAUCAAAAUUAUGUGGAGGAUGAAUGCCACUUGGCAUGUGUCAAUAUGACCAAGCCAAGAGCAAGAAUCAUGUCACUUUGAGAAAAAUUCGAGAUCUAUGUCAAUAUGACCAAAUCAAGAACCAUCAUAUGGGGGGAAAAGCAAAAAAUCAUGCUACUUGAAGAAAAGUUCUAGAUCUAAGUCAAUAUGACCAAAUCAAGAACCAUCAUAUCAGGAAAAAGCUACUUGACUCAUGUCAAUAUGACCAAGCCAAGAGCAAAAUUUGGGCAACAUGGAAAAGAAUUCAUGAUCUAUGUCAAUGUGACCAAAUCACCAAUCAGGGAAGCAAAGGGAUUAGGAGAGAACCAUGAAUCUCACAUUCUUGCUGAACUCCUCCAAUCUCCCUCUCCUCACGUAUGUGUGUGUGGGAUUUUUGUUGUAGCAGUAUAUGUAUGCAGCAGCAGGACAAGAGAGAAUGAGCAGUCCAACCUUUCCUCCUGUAUGCUGGAAGGGAGUAUUUAUAGGAGAGGGCAGCAGUGGAGGCCUGUCACGCACGCGCCCACGUUCUGGGAUCGUGUAUGAGAUCAUGGGACGUGGGGAGCGGCUGGCUCAUUUCUUUAGUAUAUUUUAUUCCUUAAUUGCUUUUUUUAGACAACCACGCGAAACUUUAUUAACCCGUCACAAUGUUUACAGGGACGAAGAAAAAAUCUCCUGGAUGGCCUAACCAAACAUGGCGGCCUAAACCAAGAAUAAGAGAAUGUUUCGCUAGGUUGUGAGCUUCAAAGUUUGAGCUCCUAAAUUCAUGAACUAUAACACAUGAAAUAUAAGAAGAAGAUCUAGCUGACACUUCCUUCAAAAUCGCUCCAUACGGCAAGCUUGUAAUUAGUUGAUGGGCUUUGGAUAUUUUAAUGGACGUGUGGGCCUUGGUGCUACUAUUCACAUGCACGCACCAACAGGCUUGUGAGAACUACAUGGACGUAUAUGCGGCCAUAUUUUUUAAUGGGCCAAACUUGAUUAGCCACUAAUGAUGCAUUAAGGCCUAUGGUGAGGGUGUGCGCGCUUAAUUAUUUUCCCGGUAAUUCAAAGUCUAAUGUUAUAUAUCUUAUGAGAUGAGCAUGUUGACCGAAUAUUUUCUAACCGAAUACAUAUGGAUCAAUACCCCACUAGAAACGCCAUUUUAUUUAUUUUUAUAUACCUCGUGUAUAUUUUGUUAGUGCGAUAUAUAUUUUUAUGUGUCGCAUCGAUAUUUCUCAUCGACGAUGGAGCAAGGACUCCAUCGACAUAUGAUUGAUAUUUCAGAAAUAUUGUGAUUUUAUGUUGGUAUCUGGCACUCGCCGUAGGUGGCAGCGUGCAUGGAUGAAGGUACGUACGAUUUUCGUCAGGACAAAUUUCCCAUGGAGAUUUUUAUUCACUUUCAAAAUUUUCAAAUAUCAUCUCUUUAUUAAUUUAUUUUGUGUGCCUGCUAUUUUAUAUUAAGCGAUGAAAAUUCACCAAUUAUCAUUUUCACUCAAUGGUGUACUUUAUCAUUUUCACCAUUAAAGUAAAUUAUUUGUUUUAAUAGUGAUACUUCUCCAACGUAUCUAUAAUUUUUUAUUGUUCCAUGCUAUUAUAUUACCUCUUUUGGAUGUUUAUGGGCUUUACUAUACACUUUUAUAUUAUUUCUGGGACUAACCUAUUAACCGGAGGCCCAACCCAAAUUGCUAUUUUUUUGCCUAUUUCAGUGUUUCGAAAAAAAGGAAUAUCAAACGGAGUCCAAACGGAAUGAAACCUUCGGCAGAGAUCUUUUUGAAACAAACGCAAUCCAGGAGACUUGGAGUGGACGUCAAGAAGCAGCCGAGGCGGCCACGAGGGUCCAGGGCGCGCCCCCACCCUCGUGGGCCCCUCGUGGCUCCCCUGACCGACUUUCUUCGCCAAUAUAUACUUACGUACCCCAAAAACAUCCAGGAGCACCACGAAACCCUAUUUCCACCGCCGCAAACUUCUGUACCCGUGAGAUCCCAUCUUGGGCCCUUUUCCGGCGCUCUGCCGGAGGGGGAAUCGAUCACGGAGGGCUUCUACAUCAACGCCAAGGCCUCUCCGAUGAGUUAUGAGUAGUUUACCACAGACCUUCGGGUCCAUAGUUAUUAGCUAGAUGGCUUCUUCUCUCUCUUUGAAUCUCAAUACAAAGUUCUCCUCGAUCUUCUUGAAGAUCUAUCCGAUGUAACUCUUUUUUGCGGUGUGUUUGUCGAGAUCCGAUGAAUUGUGGGUUUAUGAUCAAGUUCAUCUAUGAGAAAUAUUUGAAUCUCCUCUGAAAUCUUUUAUGUACGAUUGGAUAUCUUUGCAAGUCUCUUCAAAUUAUCAGUUUUGUUUAGCCUACUAGAUUGGUCUUUCUUGCAAUGGGAGAAGUGCUUAGCUUUGGCUUCAAUCUUGCGGUGUCCUUUCCCAGUGACAGCAGGGGCAGCAAGGCACGUAUUGUAUUGUUUCCAUCGAGGAUAAAAAGAUGGGGUUUAUAUCAUAUUGCUUGAGUUUAUUCCUCUACAUCAUGUCAUCUUGCCUAAUGUGUUACUCUUUUCUUAUGAACUUAAUACUCUAGAUGCAUGCUGGAUAGCGGUCGAUGUGUGGAGUAAUAGUAGUAGAUGCAGGCAGGAGUCGGUCUACUUGUCGCGGACGUGAUGCCUAUAUACAUGAUCAUGCCUAGAUAUUCUCAUAACUAUGCACUUUUCUAUCAAUUACUCGAUAGUAAUUUGUUCACCCACCGUAAUACUUAUGCUAUCUUGAGAGAAGCCACUAGUGAAACCUAUGGCCCCCAGGUCUAUUUUCUAUCAUAUAAGUUUCUGAUCUACUUUAUUUUGAAAUCUUUACUUUCCAAUCUAUAUCAUAAAAAUACCAAAAAUAUUUAUCUUAUCUUAUUAUCUCUAUCAGAUCUCACUUUCGCAAGUGGCUGUUGAAAGUGCGUUAUGUCGACUAGAGGGGGGGUGAAUAGGCGAUUUUUAUGAAUUCUUCACUGAGGAAUUUGCUGGUGAGGAAAUUCCUUAGCGAAGAACUACUUGCAGCGGAAUAAGUACUCAGAAGUAAGCAUAACAGAAUACAAGCAUGGUCAUCAUGAUGAAAUGAAGACUAGCACAGAGUACAGAAAGCGUAAUCACAGGAUAACACAAGAUGAAGACAAACAGACUAAAGAAAUUGAACUGAGGAAAUUGAGAAAGUAUUCAGUCAAAGUCUUCAAGCACAGAUAUGAACAACAUUCAACACAGUAAUGAGGAAAUGGAAGGGUUGAGAAAAUAGAACCAGUUAAGUUGGUGAAGACAAUGAUUUGGUAAACCAGUUCCAACUGUUGUCUCAGUUGUACGUCUGGUUGGAGCGGCUGAGUAUUUAAACUCGAGGACACGUAGUCCCGGACACCCAGUCACUGAGCCGCAACUCAGGACACCCAGUCCUCACCGUAUUCUCCUUGAACUAAGACCAUGCAGGCCUCGUCCAAUCACUCGUGGUAAGUCUUCAGGUGACUUCCAAACCUUCACAGACUUGGUCACUCGGCAAUCUACAAUUCCUCUUGGAUGCUCUAGACCUUGACGCCUAACCGUCUGGAAGAAGCACAGUCUUCAAAGGUAACAAGCGUCGGAUCCACGCGGGAUCAAUUUAUUCAGUGAUGCUCAAUCACUUUGGGUUUGUGGGGGUUUGGUUUUGGGAUUUUCCUGACUUGAUGAUUUUCGCUCAAAGUCCUCGGAGGAUGGGUUGCUCUCAAAUGACAAGUGUCAAGUUCUCUUGGAGCAGCCAACCAACUAGUGGUUGUAGGGGGCGGCUAUUUAUAGCCUAGGGAGCAGCCCGACAUGAUAAGACAUAAAUGCCCUUCAAUGAUAUGACCGUUAGGUGGAUAAGAUAUUUUGGACAGCCGGCGUGCAGCACAGCAAUGGUCAGAAAUUUGACUCUCAAAUUCCUCAGGGCUAUCAUGUUCCUCACUGUGUAGGCAAUUCGCACUAGCGAAUUCCUAACUCCUUAGUCAGAGCAAAGUCAUCAGUGACCAGAAGAACUGCGUCUCUGUCACUGAAGAACUUGACUGAACUGUAUGAGAUUUCCAAUGGCUUCACUCGAAGGGAUUGGUAGGUGUAGGAUUUUGAGUUGUGCAUCACAUGGAAAUUUUUCCUUAGUAUUUCCUCGACCCCCUUUAACAGUACGGUGUUUCCUAUGACUCAAGAAACAGAAAAUGAAACUACAAAAACAAAAGUCUUCACGCUUCAUGUUCCUCAAGUGAAUAUCAAGUCUUCAAGGUCACACCAUUUUCUUCACUUUCAAAGUCUUCAGAAAGUCUUCAGAAUAUCAAAGUCUUCAGUCGAAGAACUUCAUUUUUAGGGGUCGACUUUCUCUGUAAAUAUCAAACUCCUCAUAGACUUAUAGACCUGUGUACACUCACAAACGCAUCAGUCCCUUAACCUAUAAGUCUUCAAUACACCAAAAUCACUAAGGGGCACUAGAUGCACUUACAAUCUCCCCCUUUUUGGUGAUUGAUGACAACAUAGGUUAAGUUUUCAACGGGGAUAAACAUAUGAAGUGUAAAUACUGAUAUUGAGGAAUUUGAUUGCAAGAUAUAGAAGAACUCCCCCUGAAUAUGUGCAUAGUGAGGAAUUUGCUUUUGAGGCAAUGCACAUUUGAAGAAUUGAAUCAUGGAGAUCUCCCCCUAUAUCUUGUAAUUCAUACACGCAUUUGAUAUAUAAUAUGAAGAAUUUGAAAUGCAUGAUGAAAUAUGGUGCCUGAUGAGAUUCAGCAUGCGUGCAACAAUAUUAACAAAAUCUGAGUUAGUCUUCAAGCGGGUUUAUAUUAUGGGCGUUUUUGUUAAGUUACAACUCUCGUUCUUCCAAAACUUUUUACUGGAUCGAGUUGUAAUCUUAAACCCUGUGGUGCCCUGAUACUUUUGGACGGUGCAUGGUGCUCUGAUACUUUUGAUGCACUGUGCUCUGAUACUUUUGAUGUGCUAUUCUGCAUGCUUAUUAACGAGGAAUAAGCAUGCAGAAUAGCACAUCAAAAGUAUCAGAGCACAGUGCAUCAAAAGUAUCAGAGCACCAAGCACCGUCCAAAAGUAUCAGGGCACCAUAGGGUUUAAGAUUACAACUCGAUCCAGUAAAAAGUUUCGGAAGAACGAGAGUUGUAACUUAACAAAAACGCCCAUAAUAUAAACCCGCUUGAAGACUAACUCAGAUUUCUCCCCCUUUGUCAUCAAAUGACCAAAAUGAUCGAAACUGAGGACUAACGCCCCUGAAGAAUGUCAAGUUGAUGGAGGAGCGCCAGCGUUGUCAGGGUUGUUUGUUGUAGCAGGGCCUGCCGAAGUGUCGUCCAAAUCUUCAUAUUCAUCAGUGUCACGCGAUGAAGAAUAAGAGCUGGCCACCAGAACAGGAACUUUGACUCUCUUGAAUUUCUUCGGAGGAGGUGCAGACCAGUCAAAUUCUUCCUUAAGACCCAUAGUCUUCAGUUCAUCAGCGCUAUAAACAUGAGUGAGAACAGCCCAGGUGCGGUUGAGGGUUUCAUGAAGGUGAUAAUGGUUUUUCUUCACUGCAUUAUGUGUUGCGGUCAUGUUGUGAAGAAGUGCACCAAACUGACGCUUCACCCAUUUGUGAUUGCGAUCAACCUUCUAAUGAAGACUGAGGAGUAACUCACGAUCAGUCAUCACCCUGGGUGCUGUGGCUUGAGGAUUUUGCUUAGCUGAGGUAUUUGCGGCAGUGUCAUGUGUAGCAGAGUCGUCAUUGGUAGAAUAAGAUGUAGCCAGACGAAAUUGACCAUCCAAUGGACGAAUGCCUUCAUCGAUCAUAGCAGCUGCCUUGCCUUUAUCAUCAGAUGAUGAAACUGGUCGCUUGAGGACUUCAAUGGGAGGCAAGUAACUACCAUGGUUCAGAGUAUCAGCCUUGUAAUUCAGUGAAGAUCUUGCCCUUAUGAAUCUCAUAAUCCAAGGCGCAUAGGGCUUCAGCUCGAAUGGUGACAUAGCAACAUUUGCCAGAGUCCUCAUGAAGAAAUCAUGGAAGUUGACGGGAACGCCAUGAAUGAUGUUGAAAAGCAUAUUCUUCAUGAUGCCAACGACAUCUUCAUCAUUUGAGUCGUGGCCUUUGAUAGGACUCAUUGUCUUCGUGAGGAUGCGAUAGACAGUCCGCGGCACAUAUAGCAAUUCCUUGACGAGGAAUUUGGUUCGUGGGGCCUGCCCUGGCUUCAAAGGCUUCAUGAGCACUUGCAUAUAAUGAUUCGUCAGUUCAGGGUCAUUGUAGAUGCAACAUGCACUAUCAUGGGGAGGAUCAAGAGGAAGGACACGAAGCAAUUCAGUUGCUGGUGCGUUAUAGUGAGUGUUUUCAGUCAUCCAAUCCAACACCCAUGAAUUGACAUCUUCAGCAUCUCCGGUGAUAUGCAGUGUGGCGUAGAACUGAAGAAUGAGUUCUUCAUUCCAAUCACAGAUAUCAGUGCAGAAGUUCAGUAGUCCUGCAUCGUGAAUAACACUGAGGACUGGCUCGAAGCAUGGCAGAGAUUCCAUAUCCACAUGAGGAAUACGUUCAUGAUCGAAGAUUUUGUCCUUGUCAAAGAGCACUGAGGAAUAGAAGUUGGCUUGACUAGCAGUCCAGAAACGCCUCUUCCUUAUGCGAGCAGAGUCAUAUGGAUUAUAGUCAGUGAAGAACACAUGCUCAGAAAAGAAGUCUUCAGCCUUGAAUUUUUUCUUGCUUGAGAACGGAUUCUUAGGCUUGGGCAGAGGAGUGUCAGUGAUUUGCAGCACAACCUCAGGAAUCGCGAGCUCAGGUACUGCAGGCUGAGGAAUUUCUAGUUCCUCUUCUUGUGCAACUUGAGGAUCAGCAACAGCAGGUUCUUCAGCACUAGUGGCUGGAAUAUCAUCGUGAACAGAAGGAGUGGGAUGAGUUUCUGCAGAGCCCAUCUGAACGGUGGUUGCCGGGGACUGAGAAAUCUGUUGGAUCGGUGUGAAUGGAGGAGUAUUGGGAUGCUGACUUUCCCAAAAGUCAUCAUUCAUCACUGGUGUAGUGCAUCCAAUAUCCACAUCUUCAUCUUCAUUUUCAAUUUCCUCAACACCAGCCUCUUCAGCUGUGAACUGAGGCAUAGGUGAGGAAACGACUGGCGUUGAAGGGAAUGCUUCCACUUCAAUUUCUUCAUCAAGCUGCUCUGACGUAGCAGCAGAAUGAUUUUCUUCAUCAGAUGCACUUGGGAUCUUGUAGUCUUCUCCAUAAGGAACAAUUUCCUUUGAUGACAUGGAGGAAAUCGGAACGGCAUCAAUAGGAUUUUCAAGAGAGCUGGUCAUUGGCUUCAUUUUCUUCGCAGCCGAAGAAUUUGACGCAGCUGAUGCCUUCCUUUUCUUCACUGUAGCUCGCUCUGCAGCCUUGGUCUUCUUCACUUCAUAGGCAGAAGGAAGAAUUGGAGUUGGUGUAGGCGCGGGAGGAGCUGAGGAAUCUGGUUGAUUUUCUUCAGGCGCAACUGGUGCAGUUGCCCUGAUCUCUUCAGUUUCUUCAGGCGCACCACUAGUGGAUGCCCUGGCAAUUUCAUCAGCGGCUGGGAUGGAGUCAUCAGCCCUGGAACUUGUAUUUUCAUCAGCAGGCUGAAAGUCAUCAGCGGUGCUGGCAUGUUCUUCAGCAGGCUGAGCAGAGUCUGCAGCCUGAGGAUUUUCUUGUUGCGAUGGGGCUGCAACAGUUGUCAUUUUCUUCGUCAGGUUGACGAAUCUAACUUUGGCUCCUUGCCAAUCAGCAUUGUAUGCAUCGAAGUCUUUGCUGAGGGCUUGGAUUUCAGAUUGAGCCUUGAGAAGUUCUUUAGGUGUCAGUCUGACAACAUUCUUCUUCAGAAGCUUCUCCUUUCUAGAUUGAGCUCUCUUUAUCUCUCUUGCCUUCUCAUAUUUCCAUUUCUCUUGAGUGAUCAAAUGGGUCAUCAUGUGACUUUGACCAGGAGUCAGAGGCAGAUCAGGCAUUGGAGUGUUUGGAUCCUUGUGCCAGAGGUCAAUGUAAUCGAGGAUUUUCCUCGGAUCCAAAAGCAGUGGCACAGAUGUGCCCUUGGCUCUAGCGGCCUUCACUUGUCUGUCUCUGAUGAUUUCUGCAAGUUCUUCAUCAGAAGCCUCAUCAUCAGAGGGCACUUGGAAUGCAACCUGUUUCUUCCUUGGACUUGGCCGAGGACCGCGUCCGGCUGUUGCUUUAGUCUUCAAUAGAGUGGGGCCUGAUGAGGACAUUGGUGCAACUGAGGAACUUGUUGAGACACCAGAAGCAAUUGAAAAACCAGUAGUCCUUUGGCAUGUAGCCAGAUGCACAGGAGUUGAGGACUUUGGUGGAGCAGUAGCAGUCUGAGGAAUUUGCCGUGAGGGCAUAGUUGAGGAACUUGGCCGUGAGGGCGCUGUUGGUGAAGCACUUGGCUUGCGAGCAGGCUUCUUUGGCAUUGAUUUCCUCGGCUUGACCGAGGCCUUAGUAGCAGCAGCAGCAGCAGAAUCCUCAUUGAAUUUCCUCACUGCCUCCUUGGCUUGUCUUGCCAAUUUUGCUUGACGCCUAGCCCAUUCUUCAGGAAAGUCCUCACCACGCUUGAUGCUGGUGGGAUCAGCUACUUGGCCAGGUGCCAAUGGAGCUCUUGGGCAUGGAGGAUUUAAGGCGAAUUUCUUCAUGUACUUUGGAGUGACAUAUCGAUAUUCCCUCCAUUCUCGUGCCCAUCUUCGUUCAAUCCUCUGAAUGCGCACCUUGCGCUGAUUUUUGUUCUCUCUGCCAAACUUGGCUUCAUCAGGUGUGCAAUAAUCCUUGUAUGUUUCAUCAGGGACCUCGAAAGCAGUCAUGACCUUAGGUUUCUUUCCUCCUUUCUGCGGUCUCUUUCCUUCAGCCAUAUUCUUCAGAUGAGGAAUUUGAACAAUAGAGCACUCUGAAGAAGUAUGCAGUUUUUCUUCGAGGAACGCUGCAAAUGAGUUAAGUUGAUGAGAACCUAGUGAUUCAGCAGCGGACAUGAGUACCUGUGAACAGAGUGUAGGUGCGAGGAAUUUGGAGAGGUCAUAUGCGUUCUCAGAAGGUUUUUUGAAAAGACAAGUUUUGAGGAAUUUGACCAGUUGAGUCUUGAGGAAUUUCACUAAGCCUUCUUGUCUUGGGUUCCAGAGUUGUACAGAUCGAAAAUCCACACAAUUUAGGAAUCUUGAAGAAAAUGAUUGCUUAGAGAAAUGGAUCAAGAGCAUACAGUGUGUGAGGUGUUCAUAUGUGUGAAGAUUUGAAGAACAAAACACCUUUGAAGAUUUUCAGGAAAGCUUGAGAAUCAAAGUGAGUAAUAAAAGUAACUUUUAAUUACCCGAACUAAAGAACACGACGAACUGAGAUGAACAUCGGUGAAGUUCGUCAAGUUAGAUCUCCCACGCCCUAACUUGGCAGAGGGAGACAGCUACGGCGGCGGCGGAGUGAAGAUUUCCGCAAUCGGCGCGAGUACGACGGUGACGAGGUCGAGGCAGUGAAGCUCUUCCUCACCGGCGACGAUGGAGUAGCGGCGGCGCUAGGGUUUGAGGAGCUCGAGUGAGAGACAGCGACCGAGCGGAGUAAAUGAAGUGAGGAAGGGGAUAAGGGUAUUUAUAGCCACGGUAAAAACUGUUCGCCCAAAGAUUUUGGGACGAACAUGCCCCUGCCCUUUCUCCUUCACGCGACAUGUGUCACCCACGUACUAUGCAGAUGAGAUCGUGUAAGAUCGUGGGUGAUUAUAAUAAUGCAUCGUGGGAUGCGGAACGGUUUGAGCGGUAAAACCGAAAAUCUGGAUAAGAUUUGUUUUAAAGUUUCGUUCGCAAUUUCUUCAGCUGACAAGGACACAGUGAAGACUUUGAACGAGUUUCAAAUAGAACGCACAUGAAGAAUUUGUGAAUAGAUUGGGUUGAGUAUAGCAUAGAGGGGGAAGGGUCCGAUCACAUUCACUUAGCGAAAAAUGCAACUUGAAGAAAUAGCCAUAAGUGAAUGCUGUAGAGGACAUAAACUCAUAUCUCUACUCCUAAACUCUCAGUUGGUAGGUCGCGUUCCGGGUUUUAUUUUCGUCCCACCUCACCCGGUCUUUUUUGGUACUUCUUUGGUACUUCCUCCCACCUCCCCCUCAGCCGUGAAAAACCAAGAAAAACCCCAUGAUCGAGUCCCGCACACGCCCAAACUCCUGUCGUUAUCUCUACUCAUAAUGGAGCAGUUGGUAGCCUCGUACGGUUUAUUUUCGUCCCACCACUUUCAACCGUUUUAUUUCGCUGGGUUUUUUCGUCCCUCCCCCACCCCACCGGUUUAGUUUCGCGUCACCCUCUCACACAAUGAAAAAAAUCUUAACGGAUCAUAACUUUCCAUGCUGGUGCAAGUUAUUUUUAGUAAUGUCUUUAUGUGAAAGAAUCAAUCACGAUCAAUCUCUAAAUAUCAAAUCUAAAUUAAUUAACCUUACCUUAAAUUGCUCAAUCACAUUAAUUAGGAAACAAAAUAACCGAUUUUAAGAAAAUAUCUAUUCUUAAUGGAGGGUAUUACAUACCAAACAUAGGUACGUCAUUAGCUCGCUUCCUUCCCUUCUCUUCCCUUCAUCCCUCAGUCCCAUGCUCGUGGUGCUGAAGUGGCAUCGACAGGUGAUGGCGGCAAGGACAGCACAUGGCAGCCCCUGAAGCACGAACAUGACUGCACCUCGGGUCUGCCGUCUCCCAAGAUAUGGGUGAGUUCUCGUGAUGCCCACCCUAAACCCUCACGUCCUACAAAUUCCUCAACCUCUACCAUCUCGAUUUCGUCCAUGCUCUGAUCCAAAUGACGAUGCAGCUCCGGCCGAUUGACAAUGGAGGUUUGCCAUCCUUCCUCUCAGCACCCACUUCUGGAGGAACGACACGCCAUGCCGAUCGAACCCGGUCGAGAUCACUCACCAAGAUUGCUAUUCGGAAGUUUUUUGUCAAAAAGUGAAGAGUGGGACGGGAUCUGCACUUUUGUUAAUAUAACAUAUACUUGUGCAGGUGCAGGUUUUGUUUUAAAGAUCCAAUUUGUUUAUCCUUUUGUCGCUGAAAUUGUUUACUAAUUAUGUCAUUGGUUUUAUUUCUUCUAGAUGUUGUAUAUUCUUGGAUUGAAGGGACUGUCUGACAAGGUGAAAGAGCUAAUAGUUGUAGUUUUACACCAAUGCAAAUUUGUUUUGCUUCCGUGUUAAACAUGACCUGCGACAGUUGCCGUCACUGUUGAUUAUUCAUACUCAGAUUAAGUUUCAGGCUCAGUCGUCUCUGUCGUCACUCGUCAGCGCACAGACGAUGGGUUGGUGCCAUACUAUCAUGUGGCAUCUCCGUCGUUUUGGGCCGGGAAGAUAACAAAUUUUCAGGAAACAAAUAAUACAUUUUACUAACUUCCUUAAAUUAUGCAAAUCAAUCGAUUCCUUUUAUUGGUUCAAUUUGUCUUAGGAAACAAAUAACAGAUUUUCAGAAAACAAAUAAUACAUUUUAAUCUAACUUUCCUAACUUAUGCAAAUCAAUCGAUUCCUUUUAUUGGUUNNNNNNNNNNNNNNNNNNNNNNNNNNNNNNNNNNNNNNNNNNNNNNNNNNNNNNNNNNNNNNNNNNNNNNNNNNNNNNNNNNNNNNNNNNNNNNNNNNNNNNNNNNNNNNNNNNNNNNNNNNNNNNNNNNNNNNNNNNNNNNNNNNNNNNNNNNNNNNNNNNNNNNNNNNNNNNNNNNNNNNNNNNNNNNNNNNNNNNNNNNNNNNNNNNNNNNNNNNNNNNNNNNNNNNNNNNNNNNNNNNNNNNNNNNNNNNNNNNNNNNNNNNNNNNNNNNNNNNNNNNNNNNNNNNNNNNNNNNNNNNNNNNNNNNNNNNNNNNNNNNNNNNNNNNNNNNNNNNNNNNNNAACAAAUAACAGAUUUUCAGGAAAUAAAUAAUAUAUUUUAAUCUAACUUCCUUAAAUUAUGCAAAUCAAUCGAUUUCUUUUAUUGGUUCAAUUUGUCUUAGGAAACUAAUAACAGAUUUUCAGGAAACAAAUAAUACAUUUUAAUCUAACUUUCCUAACUUAUCUAAAUCAACCGAUUCCUUUUAUUGGUUCAAUUUGUCUUAGGAAACAAAUAAAUGUUUUUCAGAAAACAAAUAAUACAUUUUAAUCUAACUUCCUUAAAUUAUGCAAAUCAAUUGAUUCCUUUUAUUGGUUCAAUUUGUCUUAGGAAACAAAUAACAGAUUUUUAGGAAACAAAUAAUACAUUUUAAUCUAACUUUCCUAACUUAUUAGUGAAAUUUGUUUUAGGAAACAAAUAACAGACACGUCACAACUUUCCUCCCAAUAAAUAGUUUCUUAACAUUUGCAAACUUUCCUAAUCAGACACGUCACAAACGGGCAGGUACUGAUAUCACGUUAUCAAACAAUAAAACCCCAUUUGCAUAGAAAUCAGUUCAAAAAUCCUAACUUUCCUAAAUUUUUACCUUUCCUUGAUAACAACAAACAUUUUCUAUGUUUUCCAUCGAUAUUAGCAUGUUUUUGAGCUGAGAUCUCUGGGUUAUGAUUUUUUUUUGUGAUUCUUUCCAAUUGUGACCUCUCCUUCCACUCCGGCUCCUUGUCGGAUAAACACCUCCACCACAGCUAGGUGACACCGCCCCAGACCUCCUGCCUCUCCACACCUUCUCCGCUACCUCCUUCUCGUACUCCAUUAACAAUCCCUCCGCCACAUUUGUCCACGGCGGUGUCGAGGGCAUGGUGGAGCAGCGUACCAGCGUUAGAGCAGCGCAUAACAGCAGGAAGCAACACGCAGUAGGCGAGGCUGAGGGGGCGGCCGGCAAAAGAUGGCCAUGACUGGAGGCGGCGCGAGGCAGGGGGCAGCAGAUGGGGCGAGUGCAGCUAGCAAGAGUGUGGCGCGCGACCAGGGUCUGUGUCGCGCGGGGCACAAUGGUGCGGUGACUGCGGCGAGCGUGACGGCAGCGGCGGGCGCGACCGACGCGGUGUAGCACGGGCAUGGGCAUGGAGAGGGAGUGGCCCCGCGGGCGCGGAAGAAGAGCGGCAGGCUCGGGCAUGGGCGUGCAUAGGAGCGGGCAUGUGCCACGGGGUCAAUCCAAGGAGCUCGGUGGCUACCCCUGCAAUGGCCAUGGCGGACGGCGGUUCUCGGCCACGGCGAAAUACCUAACGAGAGCAAACGAGAGGGGAGACAAGGGAAAGGAAAGAGGAGAUCAUGGCGGUGUCAAUGGCACCCUAGGGGAAGACAUGGGAGCUCGGGGCGGCGCGGAUCGAACGGCAAUGUCGCGGUGGCCCAAGGUUGAGGAAGACGGCAGCAACGUCGAUGCGGGGGUGCUGGACUUGAUCUCGUUGGCGCAGACGAAGUAGCGAAGGCAUUCGGAGCUCCUCGACAAGCUCCUAGCCCGCAGGGAGGGCAGUGGCCAUGUGGACGGGGUCGGUCAUGGUGGCCGUGGCAUCUGACUUCGUCCAGAUCAACGGGAUCGAGCGAGCGAGGAGGAGAAGUGGAUUUGGGAGGGGGCGUCAAGGAGGAGUGAGGCCCCUUAUCCAUUCCCCUUCGAUGCCAGCGAGGUGGUCGGGCGGGAGCCCGUCUCUGUAGCAACGCGGCUCGGGGAACAGGAGAAGACGACCGCGCGGGGACUGGACCGCUGAGCCGGUUCGGUGGCAAGGCCCGGGGGCAGGGCGAAUCCCCUUUUACAUCGUCCUUUUGGUUUUUCAAUGUAUUCUAAUCUGUUUCUCCUUUUUAACACCGUUUUCUAUUUAUUCUUAUCAACUAAAUGAUCUCUACUCCUCAUGUCUCAGUUGGUAGUCUCCGUUUCGGGUUUAUUUUCGUCCCACCUCCCGAGUGAGGGAGAGGGGGAGAGAGAGUGAGGAAGAGGGAGGGAGAGGGUGUGUGUGUGUGAGGAUUUGAUGGUAAAAAAGGUUGUCGAUGUCACUUAAUAUGUAUGAGAAUAUUCAAUGUAAUAUUAACAUAAUUGAUAUUGAGCUUUUAAAGUAAUGUGACCCCGUUGCAAUGCACGGGCGUUCUUCUAGUAUAUAUAUAGCCAAUGAAGAAAAACGAUGGAAACAGUGAAGAUUCUGCAAAGUUGAAGAAUUUAAAAAAAAACUAAAGAAUUUCAAAAACUGAGGAAAAACUCAAAUUGAAGAUUUUCAACUUUUUGUGGUGGCGUAGCCCACCGUAUAAGAAUGAUGAUUUCAGACACCGCGUACAAUUGUCGUAGGGUUCUGAGAAUCAAAUUCUUCAUUAAUUUCUUCACACUUAGAGUGUUAUUCUUCAUUGAUUGAAGAAAAUGUUUCUUCAUGUGUUGCACAUCUAAGUCAUCAAUUUUGCAUAAGUGUUAGGAUGUGUGUCCUUUUCAAAGAACAUUCGAAGAUUCUAUGAUAUUUAGCUCACAUCGCAACUUGCUAAAUCUCUUCUCAUCCAAGGGCUUGGUGAAGAUAUCAGCUAGCUGUUCUUCAGUCUUCACAUACUCGAUGGAGAUGUCGCCCUUCAACACAUGAUCACGAAGAAAAUGAUGACGAAUCUGGAUGUGCUUUGUCUUCGAGUGCUGAACUGGGUUGUGAGCAAUUUUGAUGGCACUCUCAUUGUCGCAGAGGAGAGGCACAUUCUUCACGUUGACGCCAUAGUCCUUGAGGGUUUGCUUCAUCCAAAGCAGUUGAGCACAGCAUGAGCCAGCAGCAAUGUAUUCAGCUUCAGCAGUAGAUAGUGAUACGCAGUUCUGUUUCUUCGAGGACCAACAGACCAAAGAUCGUCCGAGGAAAUGACAAGUGCCAGAUGUUGACUUGCGGUCCACACGAUCACCAGCAUAGUUAGAGUCAGAAUAUCCAAUGAGAUCAAAAGCAGAGCCCUUGGGGUACCAUAAUCCUAGUGUUGGUGUGUGAGCUAGAUAUCGAAGAAUAUGCUUCACAGCCUUAUGGUGUGAUUCCUUCGGUGCAGCUUGAAAUCGGGCACACAUGCAAACACUAAGCAUUAUAUCUGGCCUAGAUGCACAUAAGUACAAUAAAGAACUAAUCAUGGAGCGGUAUACCUUGUGAUCGAAGUCAAUACCAUUUUCAUCAGUGCAUAGAUGGCCAUUUGUGGGCAUAGGGAUUUUGACGCCUUUGCAAUCUUGCAUGCCGAAUUUCCUCAGUACAUCUUUGAGGUAUUUCUCCUAAGAUAUGAAUAUGCCAUUGCGCUACUGACGGAUUUGAAGACCUAAGAAGAAUUUCAACUCUCCCAUCAUAGACAUUUGAUAUUCUUCACUCAUCAUAUAGGCAAAUUCAUCACUAUAACGUUGGUCAGUACAGCCAAAGAUAAUAUCAUCAACAUAUAUUUGGCACACAAACAGUUCACCAUCAUAAGAUUUAGUAAAGAGAGUAGGGUCGAGUGAACCGGGUGUGAAGCCAUUCUUCACGAAGAAUUCCUUCAAUGUUUCAUACCAUGCCCGUGGGGCUUGCUUGAGGCCAUAGAGGGCCUUAUUGAGUCUGAAGACUUUGUUAGGAUUCUUUGGAUCUUCAAAACCUGGGGGUUGAGCAACAUAUACUUCUUCCUCAAGCUUACCAUUGAGGAAUGCACUUUUCACAUCCAUUUGAUAUAAGAUGAUAUCAUGAUGGUUAGCGUAAGCAAGUAAUAUGCGAAUAGCCUCAAGUCUAGCAACAGGUGCAAAAGUUUCAUCGAAAUCAAUUCCAUCAACCCGUGUGUAGCCUUGAGCUACUAGUCGUGCCUUAUUCCUCACCACACGGCCAUUUUCAUCUUGCUUGUUGCGGUAGAUCCACUUUGUGCCAAUGAUAUUAUGCUUGCGAGGAUCUGGACGAUUGACCAGUUCCCAGACAUUGUUAAGCUCGAACUGAUGUAAUUCUUCUUGCAUAGCCUGAAUCCACUCCGGCUCCAGAAAUGCUUCAUCUACCUUAGUGGGCUCUGUGAUAGAGACAAAAGCAUAGUGCCCACAAAAGUUAGAUAAAUGUGAAGAUUUUGAGCGUGUGAGAGGACCUGGUGCGCUAAUGUCAUCGAUGAUCUUCUCCACUCGCACUUCUCCUGCAACGCGAGGAUGAGCUGGUUGUCGCUGAGGAUUUUGAUCAGCAUUUUCUUCAGCACUAUUUUCGUCAUCAUGUUCUUCAGGUGCAUCAGCUCGACGUUCUUCAUGAGCAGGAAUGAAUUCUUCAGCAGACUCUUCAGUAGGAAAGACAUCCUCAGUUGCCUUGAGCUUGAUAGCAUCCUCAGGUGCUGGUUCAUCUAACACAGAAGGUAGGUGCUCUCUUUGCGAGCCAUUAGUUUCAUCGAACCGCACAUCUACAGUGUCAACAAUCUUGUGAAGAACAAUGUUGAAAACUCUGUAGGUGUGCGAGUCCUUUCCGUAACCAAGCAUAAAACCUUCAUGUGCUUUCGGUGCAAAUUUAGAGUUGUGGUGAGGAUCUCUAAUCCAACAUUUAGCACCGAAGACUUUGAAAUAACUCACAUUGGGUUUCUUGUCAGUGAGGAGUUCAUAGGCCAUUUUCUUGAAGAAUUUGUGAAGAUAUACUCUGUUGAUGAUGUGGCAUGCAGUAUCAAUUGCAUCAAUCCAAAAACGCUGAGGCGUUUUGUAUUCAUCAAGCAUAGUGCGAGCCAUCUCAACAAGAGUUCUGUUCUUGCGCUCCACGACGCCAUUUUGCUGAGGAGUAUAGGGAGCAGAUAACUCAUGAGUAAUACCAAGUUCAUCAAGAUAGGCAUCAAGACCUGAAUUCUUGAACUCAGUUCCAUUGUCACUUCUGAUGUGCUUGAUCUUCACACCAAAGUUGGUUGAAGCCCUCGAGGAAAAUCGUUUGAAGACUUCCUGCACUUCAUGUUUGUAAGUAACAAUGUGUACCCAUGUAUAUCGAGAAUAAUCAUCAACAAUGACAAAACCAUAUAGAGAUGCAUCAUUAGUGACUGCUGAGUAAUGGUUAGGUCCGAAGAGGUCCAUGUGAAGCAAUUCGAAUGGACGGGUAGUGGUCAUGAUAGUCUUUGCUGGAUGCUUGGCCUUGGUCAUUUUUCCAGCUUCACAGGCUCCGCAUAAGUGAUCCUUGAGGAAUUUUACAUUCUCAAUGCCAAUGACAUGCUUCUUCUUUGCAAGCGUGUUCAAAUUCCUCAUGCCUGCGUGACCAAGUCAUCGAUGCCAUAGCCAGCCUUCUGAAGCUUUUGCAAGUAGACACAUGGCUGGUUGUGGUCCUGUAGAGAAAUCAACAAUAUACAAAUCUCCUCUCCUAAAGCCUUCGAAGACUUUGGAAUUGUCAGCUUCCAUAAUCACAACACAGCGAUACUUGCCAAAGACAACAACCAUAUCAAGAUCACAAAGCAUCGAGACUGACAUGAGAUUGUAUCCUAAGGACUCAACAAGCAUGACUUUGUCCAUGUGUUUAUCCUUAGAGAUUGCAACCUUACCAAGACCCAAUACUUGACUUUUGCCUUUAUCAGCAAAGAUGAUAUGCUUCAGAGGUGACGGUGAUAAGGGAGCAUCCAUCAAUAGAUUCUUGUCACCAGUCAUGUGAUUUGUACAUCCACUAUCGAGGACCCAUUCAGUAGUUUUGGGUUGAUCAUCCUGCAGAUGAAUUAGUGUAGCUUACAAUCUCAUAUGCUUCAUCUUUGAAGAAUAUGAUAUCAAGUUCAUCAGAUGAAUUUCAUCAAGCAGUAAACAGAUAUAGCAGUAUGAGGACGUGUGAAAUGAAAGUUCAUUUCAUCAUGAUUCGCCUGCGUCCUUUCAGGCAAUUUCGUCAGGUCCCCAGCAAAUUCUUCAGACGUUAAAGCACGUCUGGAGACCUGACCCUGUAGAAGAGAUUAGUUCUUUUUCUUCACCACCCACAUCUGGAGGGGCAGCAAAGAAUUCAUCAUUCUGCGAGCACCAUAUGAGAAAGGUGGCAAAGAUGCCAAAUCAUUUCGUUUCACAUAAGAGGGGUUAGGGUAAGCAUAUGAAUAAGCAGAGUAAUUCUUCAAGGACUUAUGAACAUAAUGGUUUGAAGAAUAAUGCACAUAUUCAUAUCCCUUAGCUCUACCCUGCGAGAUAGAGUUAUUAGCACAAUGAUAAUCAUAUGAGGACUUUGAUCCUUUUUAGGAAUUUGAUCCAUGUGAGGAAUUUGGUCCGUAUGAGGACUUGGAUCCAUAUGAGAGUUUGGUCCAUAUGAAGAAUUUGAUCUGGGGUUCCUGUUCUUUACAUGUGGUGUCAUGAGGACAUUCACCUGAAGACUUUCAACAUAACUUUUGGGAACCCAGAUUUUCUUCAUAGGGGAACCGUUCCUGCAGUUAGUGCCAACAUAUCUAGCAAAUACUUCACCAUUCUGAUUUUUGAACAGUUUAUAGUUGGAGUCAAAUGACUCAUCAGAAGAAUGAGGAGAUUCACAUGUAAAGCGAGAUAAGUUAGAUGGAUCAACUGGAGGUCCCUUUGCAGCAACCCAUGAGGUUUUGGGGUACUGCUCAGGCUUCCAAUAUGUCCCAUCAGCAUUGAGUUUCCUCUCAAAGGCAAUACCCUCUUUACUAGAGUUUCUGUUGAGGAUCUGCUUUUUAAGCACAUCACAAAGAGUCUGAUGCCCUUUGAGGCUUUUGUACAUGCCUGUCAAGUACAAUUCCUUCAGCCCUGCAUUGUCAGUGAUACUUGCAAUGUCCUCAGAUGAGGAAUUAGUGAUAGCAGAGGCAGAUGAAGAAUUUGUAAUAGUUGAAGUAUUUGAACAUUCAGGUGAAGAAUUAGCAGAUUCACGUUCAAUGCACUUUAAGCACGGGGGAACAAAUUCUUCCUGAGAAGCGCUGAUUUGUUGAGCUAGUAAUGAAUCGCGCUCCUUCUGAAGAUCUUCAUAACACACUCUUAGCUUUUCAAGAUCUUCCUUUCUUUGAAGAGAUUCAGAAGAAAGCUUCUCAUGAUCAGUCAAGAGGGUAUUAUGUUGAUCUUGAAGGGCGUAAAACUUGGAGUGAAUUCUCUGAAGACAUUCACCCAAUGCUUUUGACUGAUCCAUUUCUUUGCGCAACAUAUCAUCACUUUUGUCUAGCAUGUUUUGAACUUGUUCCAAAGCCGUUUGUUGUUUAGUGGCAAUGCAAACAAGUUUGGUAUAACAAGAUUCAAUAUCAUCAUCAGAUUCAUCAUAUUAGAUUCAUCAUAUCAGAUUCAUCAUUAUCAGAUUCAUCAUCACAGAACUCGGAUGAGGAGCAUUCGGUUACCUUAGCACCGUCUGCCAUGAGACAUGAUGCAGAAGAUGAUGAUUCUGGCUCGAAAGUCGUGAUUUUGAGAGAUUCCUUGAAGUCCUCAAACCAGGGAUCAUGACGGGUUCGAUGACCUUCAUAGACAUCAGAGAUUCGGUCCCAGAUAAGCUUCGAGUUGCCAAGAUGCAUAAUGCGCCCGAAUUGGUCUCUGGAUAGGCAGGAACAGAUGACAUCCUUCGCCAUGAGGUCAAGUCAAGUGUACUUGCGAAUAUCAUCAGCGUCCGCCAUCUUGCAUAGAUCAGUAAGACCAAUCUCAGUGACGGUCCACAGCUUGCUGUUCAUAGCCAUGAGGCGCUUCCUCAUCAUGGCCUUCCACUUGGGAUAAUCAUGACCGUCAAAGAUAGGGCAUGUCACUUUCUUCAUACCUGCGGUCGACAUAACUAAAACUCCAGGUGGUUAAACCAAAAUCACACAGAACAAGGGAGUACCUUGCUCUGAUACCAAUUGAAAGUGCGUUAUGUCGACUAGAGGGGGGGGGGGGUGAAUAGGCGAUUUUUAUGAAUUCUUCACUGAGGAAUUUGCUGGUGAGGAAAUUCCUUAGCGAAGAACUACUUGCAGCGGAAUAAGUACUUAGAAGUAAGCAUAAUAGAAUACAAGCAUGGUCAUCAUGAUGAAAUGAAGACUAGCACAGAGUAAAAAAAGCGUAAUCAUAGGAUAACACAAGAUGAAGACAAACAGACUAAAGAAAUUGAACUGAGGAAAUUGAUAAAGUCUUCAGUCAAAGUCUUCAAGCACAGAUAUGAACAACAUUCAACACAGUAAUGAGGAAAUGGAAGGGUUGAGAAAAUAGAACCAGUUAAGUUGGUGAAGACAAUGAUUUGGUAAACCAGCUCCAACUGCUGUCUCAGUUGUACGUCUGGUUGGAGCGGCUGAGUAUUUAAACUCGAGGACACGCAGUCCCGGACACCCAGUCACUAAGCUGCAUCUCAGGACACCCAGUCCUCACCGUAUUCUCCUUGAACUAAGACCACGCAGGCCUCGUCCAAUCACUCGUGGUAAGUCUUCAGGUGACUUCCAAACCUUCACAGACUUGGUCACUCGGCAAUCCACAAUUCCUCUUGGAUGCUCUAGACCUUGACGCCUAACCGUCUGGAAGAAGCACAGUCUUCAAAGGUAACAAGCGUCGGAUCCACGCGGGAUCAAUUUAUUCAGUGAUGCUCAAUCACUUUGGGUUUGUGGGGGUUUGGUUUUGGGAUUUUCCUCACUUGAUGAUUUUCGCUCAAAGUCCUCGGAGGAUGGGUUGCUCUCAAAUGACAAGUGUCAAGUUCUCUCGGAGCAGCCAACCAACUAGUGGUUGUAGGGGGCGGCUAUUUAUAGCCUAGGGAGCAGCCCGACAUGAUAAGACAUAAAUGCCCUUCAAUGAUAUGACCGUUAGGUGGAUAAGAUAUUUUGAACAGCCGGCGUGUAGCACAGCAACGGUCAGAAAUUUGACUCUCAAAUUCCUCAGGGCUAUCAUGUUCCUCACUGUGUAGGAAAUUCGCACUGGCGAAUUCCUAACUCCUCAGUCAGAGCAAAGUCAUCAGUGACCAGAAGAACUGCGUCUCUGUCACUGAAGAACUUGACUGAACUGUAUGAGAUUUCCAAUGGCUUCACUCGAAGGGAUUGGUAGGUGUAGGAUUUUGAGUUGAGCAUCACAUGGAAAUUUUUCCUUAGUAUUUCCUCGAACCCCUUUAACAGUACGGUGUUUCCUAUGACUCAAGAAAGAGAAAAUGAAACUACGAAAACAAAAGUCUUCACGCUUCAUGUUCCUCAAGUGAAUAUCAAGUCUUCAAGGUCACACCAUUUUCUUCACUUUCAAAGUCUUCAGAAAGUCUUCAGAAUAUCAAAGUCUUCAGUCGAAGAACUUCAUUUUUAGGGUCGACUUUCUCUGUAAAUAUCAAACUCCUCAUAGACUUAUAGACCUGUGUACACUCACAAACACAUCAGUCCCUUAACCUAUAAGUCUUCAAUACACCAAAAUCACUAAGGGGCACUAGAUGCACUUACAGCUAUGAAGGGAUUGAUAACCCCUUUAUCGCGUUGGUUGCGAGGUUCUUGUUUGUUUGUGUAGGUACGAGGGACUUGCGUGGAGCCUCCUACUGGAUUGAUACCUUGGUUCUCAAAACUGAGGGAAAUACUUACGCUACUUUGCUGCAUCACACUUUCCUCUUCAAGGGAAAACCAACGCAGUGCUCAAGAGGUAGCAAGAAGGAUUUCUGGCACCGUUGCCGGGGAGGUCUUCGCACAAGUCAAGACAUACCAAGUACCCAUCACAAACUCUUCUCCCUCGCAUUACAUUAUUUGCCAUUUUCCUAUCGUUUUCCUCUCCCCCACUUCACCCUUGCCAUUUUAUUCGCCCUCUCUUUCCCGUUCGCCUCGUUUUCUUUUGCUUGCCUUUUGUGUGCUUAUGUGUUGGAUUGCUUGUCACGAUGGCUCAAGAUAAUACUAAAUUAUGUGAUUUUUCCAAUACCAAUAAUGAUGAUUUCCUUAGCACUCCGAUUGCUCCUCUUAACGAUGCUGAAUCUUGUGAAAUCAAUGUUGCCUUGUUGAAUCUUGUUAUGAAAGAUAAAUUCUCCGUCCUUCCUAGUGAAGAUGCCGCUACUCAUCUAAACAACUUUGUUGAUUUGUGUGAUAUGCAAAAGAACAAAGACAUGGAUAUAUGAUAUAGUUAAAUUGAAGCUAUUUCCGUUUUUGCUUAGAGAUCGUGCUAAAACUUGGUUUUCGUCUUUGCCUGAAAAUAGUAUUGAUUCAUGGAAUAAGUGCAAAGAUGCUUUUAUCUCUAACUAUUUUCCUCCCGCUAAGAUCAUCUAUCUUAGAAAUGGUAUUAUGAAUUUUAAGAAACUUGAUCAUGAGCAUGUUGCACAAUCUUGGGAGAGGAUGAAAUUAAUGAUUCGCAAUUGCCCCACUCAUGGAUUAAAUUUAUGGAUGAUCAUACAAAUUUUUUAUGCCGGAUUGAAUUUUGCUUCUAGAAAUCUUUUAGAUUCGGCCGCAGGAGGCACUUUUAUGGAAAUCACUUUAGGAGAAGCUACUAAACUCCUAGAUAAUAUUAUGGUUAAUUAUUGUCAAUGGCACACCGAAAGAUCUACUAGUCAAAAUGUUCAUGCAAUUGAAGAAAUUAAUGUUUUGAGUGGAAAGAUGGAUGAACUUAUAAAAUUGUUUGCUAAUAAGAGUACUUCUAUUGAUCCUAAUGAUAUUCCUUUGUCUACUUUGAUUGAGAAUGAUAAUGAAUCUAUGGAUGUGAAUUUUGUCGGUAGGAAUAAUUUUGGUAACAAUGCUUAUAGAGGAAACUUUAAUCCUAGGCCGUUUCCUAGUAAUUCCUCUAAUAAUUAUGGUAAUUCCUACAACAACUAUUAUGGAAAUUUUAAUAAGAUUCCCUCUGAUUUUGAGAUUAGUGUUAAAGAAUUUAUGAUCUCUCAAAAGAAUUUCAAUGCUUUGCUUGAAGAAAAAUUGCAUAAGAUUGAUGAAUUGGCUAGGAACAUGGAUAUAUUUUCUCUUGAUGUUGAUUCUUUGAAACUUAGAUCUAUUUCACCUAAGCAUGAUAUCAAUGAGUCUCUCAAAGGCAUGAGAUUUUCCAUUGAUGAGUGCAAAGAAAGAACCGCUAGGAUGCGUGCUAAGAAAGAUUGCUUUGUAAGAGCGUGUUCUUCUAGUUUUCAUGAUAAUAAUGAUGAAGAUCUAAAAGUGAUUGAUGUGUCCCCUAUUAAAUCUUUUUUUUGCAAUAUGAAUCUUGAUAAUAAUGGGACCGGAGAUGAGUCAAAUUUAGUUAAAAGGCGGCCCAAUGAUUCGGAGUUUUUAGAUCUUGAUGCUAAAAUUGGUAAAAGUGGGAUUGGAGAGGUCAAAACUUUACAUAGCAACGAACCCACUAUUUUGGAUUUCAAGGAAUUUAAUUAUGAUAAUUUUUUAGUAGAUUGUAUUUCCUUGUUGCAAUCCGUAUUGAAUUCUCCUCAUGCUUAUAGUCAAACUAAAGCUUUUACCAAACAUAUUGUUGAUGCUUUCACCCGCAAAAAAAAAUAUUGUUGAUGCUUUGAUGCAAUCUUAUGAGGAAAACAUUGAAUUGGAAGUUUCUAUCCCUAGAAAACUUUAUGAUGAGUGGGAGCCUACUAUUAAAAUUAAAAUUAAAGAUCAUGAAUGCUAUGCUUUGUGUGAUUUGGGUGCUAGUGUUUCCAAGAUUCCAAAAACUUUAUGUGAUGUGCUAGGUUUUCGUGAAUUUGAUGAUUGCUCUUUAAACUUGCACCUUGCGGAUUCCACCAUUAAGAUACCUAUGGGAAGGAUUAAUGAUGUUCUUAUUGUUGCAAAUAGGAAUUAUACGCCCGUAGAUUUUAUUAUUCUUGAUAUAGAUUGCAAUUUUUCAUGUCCUAUUAUUCUUGGUAGACCUUUCCUUAGAACGACUGGUGCAAUUAUUGAUAUGAUGGAAGGAAAUAUUAGAUUCCAAUUUCUAUUAAGGAAAGGCAUGGAUCACUUCCUAGAAAGAAAAUCAAAUUACCUUAGGAAUCUAUUAUGAGAGCCACUUAUGAAUUGAAUACCAAAGAUGGCGAUGCUUAGAUCUAUUCUCGCUUUUAUGCCUAGCUAGGGGCGUUAAACGAUAGCGCUUGUUGGGAGGCAACCCAAUUUUAUUUCUCUUCCUUACUUUUUGUUCCUGUUUAGUAAUAAAUAAUUUAUCUAGAUUCUGUUUAGAUGUGGUUUUAUGUUUUAGUUAGUGUUUGUGCCAAGUAGAACCUAUAGGAUCAUCUUGGGUGAUAGUUAAUUUGAUCUUGCUGAAAAACAGAAACUUUUUCACGCACGAGAAUAAUUUUAAAAAAUCACAGAAACGUUCUUUUUAGCUGAUUAUUUUUGCAGUAGAUUAAUAGAAAAAUUUCCUAGGACUUCCUAGUUUGGUAGGAGUUUUAGAGUUCCAGAAGUAUUCGAAAGUUACAUAUUACUACAGACUGUUCUGUUUUUGACAGAUUCUGUUUUUCGUGCGUUGUUUGCUUAUUUUGAUGAAUCUAUGGCUAGUAACGGGGGGGUAUGAACCAUAGAGAAUUUGGAAUACAGUAGUUUUAACACCAAUAUAAAUAAAGAAUGAGUUCAUUACAGUAACUUAAGUGGUGGUUUUUCUUUCUUGCACUAACGGAGCUCAUGAGAUUUUCUGUUGAGUUUUGUGUUGUGAAGUUUUCAAGUUUUGGGUAAAGAUUUGAUGGACUAUGGAAUAAGGAGUGGCAAGAGCCUAAGCUUGGGGAUGCCCAUGGCACCCCAAGGUAAUUCAAGGACAACCAAAAUCCUAAGCUUGGGGAUGCCCCGGAAGGCAUCCCCUCUUUCGUCUUUGUCUAUCGAUAACUUUACUUGGAGCUAUAUUUUUAUUCACCACAUGAUAUGUGUUUUGCUUGGAGCGUCUUGUAUGAUAUGAGUCUUUGCUUUUUAGUUUACCACAAUCAUCCUUGCUGAACACACCUUUUGGGAGAGACACACAUGAUUCGUAAUUUAUUAGAAUACUCUAUGUGCUUCACUUAUAUCUUUUGAGCUAGGCAAUUUUGCUCUAGUGCUUCACUUAUAUCUUUUUAGAACACGGCGGUGGUUUUAUUUUUAUAGAAAUAAUUGAUCUCUCAUGCUUCACUUAUAUUAUUUGAGAAUCUUUUAGAACAGCAUGGUAUUUGCUUUGGUUAUAAAUUUGGUCCUAAUAUGAUGGGCAUUCAAAUUGGGUAUAAUAAAAACUAUCACGGUAAAGUGCAUUGAAUACUAUGAUCAAUUUGAUGCUUGAUAAUUGUUUUGAGAUAUAAAGGUGGUAAUGUUAGAGUCAUGCUAGUUGGGUAAUUAUGAAAUUGAUAAAUACUUGUGUUAAAGUUGGCAAGUCCCGUAGCAUGCACGUAUGGUAAAAGUUGUGUAACAAAUUUGUAGCAUGGGAUGCUCUUUUGAUUGCCUUCCUUAUGAGUGGAGGUCGGGAUCGCGCGAUGGUUAACUCCUACCAACCCUUCCCCUAGGAGCAUGCGUAGUAGUACUUUGCUUCGAGGGCUAAUAAACUUUUGCAACAAAUAUAUGAGUUCUUUAUGACUAAUGUGAGUCCAUGGAUUAUACGCACUCUUACCCUACCAACAUUGCUAGCCUCUACGGUACCGUGCAUUGCCCUUUCUCACCUUGAGAGUUGGUGCAAACUUCGCCAAUGCAUCCAAACCCCGUGAUACGAUACGCUCUAUCACACAUAAACCUCCUUAUAUCCUCCUCAAAAUAGCCACCAUACCUACCUAUUAUGGCAUUUCCAUAGCCAUUCCGAGAUAUAUUGCCAUGCAACUCCACCGUUCCAUUUAUUAUGACACGUUUCAUCAUUGUCAUAUUGCCUUGCAUGAUCAUGUAGUUGACAUCGUAUUUUUGGCAAAGCCACCAUGCAUAAUUUUUCAUACAUGUCACUCUUGAUUCAUUGCCCAUCCCGGUAUACCGUCGGAGGCACUCAUAUAGAGUCAUAUUUUGUUCUAGUAUUGAGUUGUAAUCCAUGAGUUGUAAGUAAAUAGAAGUGUGAUGAUCAUCAUUAUUAGAGCAUUGCCCCUUGAAAAGAAAGGCCCAAAAAAGAGAAAGGCGAAAUAAAAAAGAGAAGUAAAGGCCAAAUAAAAAAAAGGAAGGCCCAGAAAGAGGGGGGACAAUGUUACUAUCCUUUUCCACACUUGUGCUUCAAAGUAGCACCAUGAUCUUUAUGGUAGAGAGUCUCUUAUUUUGUCACUUUCUUAUACUAGUGGGAAUUUUUCAUUAUAGAACUUGGCUUGUAUAUUCCAAUGAUGGGCUUCCUCAAAAUGCUCUAGAUCUUCGUGAGCAAGCAAGUUGGAUGCACACCCGCUUAGUUUUUUUGUUGAGCUCAUACAUUUAUAGCUCUAGUGCAUCCGUUGCAUGGCAAUCCCUACUCCUCAUGUUGAGAUCAAUUGAUGGGCAUCUCCAUAGCACAUUGAUUAGCCUCGUCAAUGUGAGACUUUCUCCUUUUUUGUCUUCUCCACACAAUCCCUAUCAUCAUAUUCUAUUCCAGCCAUAGUGCUAUAUCCAUGGCUUACGCUCAUGUAUUGCGUGAGAGUUGAAAAAAGCUGAAGCGCGUUAAAAAGUAUGAACUAAUUGCUUGGCUGAAACCGGGUUUGUGCAUGAUGGGAGUAUUUUGUGUGGCAAAAAUGAAACAUAGCCUAACUAUAUGAUUUUGUAGGGAUAAGCUUUCUUUGGCUAUGUUAUUUUGAUAAGACAUGAUUACUUGUUAGUAUGCUUGAAGUAUUACUAUUCUUAUGUCAAUACUGAACUUUUAUCUUGAAUCAUUUGGAUCUGAAAAUUCAUGCCACAAUAAAGAAAAUUACAUUGAGAAAUAUGCUAGGUAGCAUUCCACAUCAAAAAUUCUGUUUUUAUCAUUUACCAAAUCGAGGACAAGCAGGAAUUAAACUUGGGGAUGCUUGAUACGUCUCCAACGUAUCUAUAAUUUUUUAUUGUUCCAUGCUUUUAUAUUACCUGUUUUGGAUGUUUAUGGGCUUUACUAUACACUUUUAUAUCAUUUUUGGGACUAACCUAUUAACCGGAGGUCCAGCCCAAAUUGUUGUUUUUUUGCCUAUUUCAGUGUUUCGAAGAAAAGGAAUAUCGAACGGAGUCCAGGAAUGAAACCUUGGGGAGAGAUCUUUUUGGAACAAACGCAAUCCAGGAGACUUAGAGUGGACGUCAAAAAGCAGCCGAGGCGGCCACGAGGGUCAAAGGCGCGCCCUAGGGGGUGGGCGCCCCCCCACCCUCGUGGGCCCCUCGUGGCUCCCCUGACCGACUUUCUUCGCCUAUAUAUACUUACGUACCCCGAAAACAUCCAGAAGCACCACGAAACCCUAUUUCCACCACUGCAACCUUCUGUACCCGUGAGAUCCAAUCUUAGGGCCUUUUCCGGCGCUCUCCCGGAGGGGGAAUCGAUCACGGAGGGCUUCUACAUCAAUGCCAAGGCCUCUCCGAUGAGUUGUGAGUAGUUUACCACAGACCUUCGGGUCCAUAGUUAUUUAGAUGGCUUCUUCUCUCUCUUUGAAUCUCAAUACAAAGUUCUCCUCUAUCUUCUUGGAGAUCUAUUCGAUGUAACUCUUUCUUCUGGUGUGUUUGUCGAGAUCUGAUGAAUUGUGGGUUUAUGAUCAAGUUUAUCUAUGAGAAAUAUUUGAAUCUCCUCUGAAUUCUUUUAUGUAUGAUUGGUUAUCUUUGUAAGUCUCUUCGAAUUAUCAGUUUGGUUUGGCCUACUAGAUUGAUCUUUCUUGCAAUGGGAGAAGUGCUUAGCUUUGGGUUCAAUCUUGCGGUGUCCUUUCCUAGUGAUAGCAGGGGCAGCAAGGCACGUAUUGUAUUGUUGCCAUCAAGUAUAAAAAAGAUGGGGUUUAUAUCAUAUUACUUAAGUUUAUUCCUCUACAUCAUGUCAUCUUGCCUAAUGCGUUACUCUGUUCUUAUGAACUUAAUACUCUAGAUGCAUGCUGGAUAGCAGUCGAUGUGUGGAGUAAUAGUAGUAGAUGCAGGCAGGAGUCGGUCUACUUGUCGCGGACGUGAUGGUUAUAUACAUGAUCAUGCCUAGAUAUUCUCAUAACUAUGCACUUUUCUAUCAAUUGCUCGACAGUAAUUUGUUCACCCACCGUAAUACUUAUGCUAUCUUGAGAGAAGCCACUAGUGAAACCUAUGGCCCAGGGGUCUAUUUUCUAUCAUAUAAGUUUUCGAUUUACUUUAUUUUGCAAUCAUUACUUUCAAUCUAUAUCAUAAAAAUACCAAAAAUAUUUAUCUUAUCUUAUUAUCUAUAUCAGAUCUCACUUUCGCGUGGCCGUGAAGGGAUUGACAACCCCUUUACCGUGUUGGUUGCGAGGUUCUUGUUUGUUUGUGUAGGUACGAGGGACUUGCGUGGAGCCUCCUACUGGAUUGAUACAUUGGUUCUCAAAACUGAGGGAAAUAGUUACGCUACCCUUUCCUCUUCAAGGGAAAAACCAACGCAGUGCUCAAGAGGUGGCAAAUCGCACUAUAUUUUCUUCGGCCAAAAUGAGUGUCAACAAAUGCCCCUCGAGGUCUGAAUGUGAAUAUUUUUUAAUUAAUAUUCGGAUUCAGAGCUCGAAAAUAUGCGUAUAUAAUAUUUUUAGCGUAUUCAAUAUUUGGCAUAGCAUCAGAGGCGUACGCAUAUACUGUUUUUUUAUUCAGAAAUCAUGGGCCAGAUAAUAUCCUGCCACGCACAUGGUGUAUGCUGCUUUGAAAGUUUGUUAGGAUUGCUUAAUCAGAUAAGGAUUCAAUAUCCUAGAAAGUUGUUAUCAGCAGCCGACCUCGUCGCCAUAUAAGUACGGUUUAAUAGGAGUCGACACCCCUUUCUUUCUCUUUUAUUCACGUCAUCAACCAGCUGGGUUGUUUUUUCCUGCGUACAAGUCGGCCACCUCUAGCCCAACCCCGAUCUUCCGGCCAUCAGGUACGCAUCGCUACUUCCCUUGUUUUUUAUGAUUCCUCUUAAUCUAAUGAUCCUUUUAAUCUCCUUUCUUUUGCAUCACAGUUUAGACUCCUAAGUUGUUGGAGUAUAUUUGUUUUUACGCCUCAGUUUAUACUCGUGAGGUAUUGGAGUAUGUUUGCUAUAUUUUUUUUGCAUCAUAGUUUAGACUCGUAAGUUGUUGGAGUAUAUUUUAUGUGCCCCAGUUUAUACUCUUGAGGAUAUGGACUAUGCUUGAUGAUAUUUUCUUUGGCAUCACAGUUUAUACUCGUAAGUCGUUGGAGUUUUUUUUGUGCCCCAGUCUAUACUCUUGAGGUAUGAAGUCUGUUUGAUGUUUUUUUUUUGCAUCACAAUUUAUACUCGUAAGUCGUUGGAGUUUUUUUGUUGUGCCCCAGUUUAUACUCAUGAGGGCAGGGGCGGAGCUACAGGGUGGCCAGGGUGGGCCGCGUCCCACCCUGAGAUUUAGUUUCGGCCUAUUUACCUAUACCUAGAGAUGGGCUAGAGAAAGAAUUUUUUGGCCCAGUAACACUUUGACCCAAGCCCCUGAGCCUCUCUCGCUCACGCCCGAACGCAGGACCACGCACGCGACGCCAGAAUCUGCCUGACGACUGCCUGCGGCCUCCCCGUCUCCGUCUCUGCUUGCCACGCCUCCCUUGCCCGUCGACAGAAGCCCACCCACCCCCUCUUCCCACCCCCACCCCCACCCCCAGCAGGAAGCUCCUCUACACCUUCCUCUCCAUCGCGCCCUCGGCUGCCCGGCGGCUCGGCACCAGCCGCGCCACCGCCCCCGGCCGCGACCGUGUUGCCCGGCCUGCCCCGGCAAGCCGGCGGCAGCCGCCCACCGCCCAGGCUUCACUCCGGAACUAGGCUCACCCUGAUUUGAGGUGCCAUUUUGCAAUCCCCAAUUUCUGAUUUAGGGCUAGCUUCAUUGCUUCCUGAUUUGUUGUUUUGUGCACCGUCGAGUAAAAUACAUGAACAUGGUUCGGUUAAUUUAUAGCACAUCAUUUCUGUUCAAUUUGUCAUUGGUUGAUAGAAAGUAAAUUCUUAUUGGAGAAUUAUUGAAGAUUGAAGAGGACCGGAGAUAUUGCAAAACUUUUUCACAAACAUGCUAUGAAGAUUAGGAAGAAAGACAUGUCAGAUGUGGACGAAGAGCAAAUCAGAGAACUUGUGCAUAUGGUGGCUGUGGUGGUUGAACAAACUCAACAUCAGCGGGAUUCUUUUUCCGAGGUGAAUGAAGAAGAUAUAAUUGGUACUUUCGUGGCAAUGUAAAGUUUAGGCCAGAAAGGCAGAAACAUAGUCUUCUUUAACUAUGUAGGCUUCUGUUAUAGAAAUUGAGACUUAAUUGGGAAUUUUAGUGUGUUUGUAAAACCAUAUUAAUCUAUUUCAAUGUGGUAAUUACAAUGUUUACAUGGCAUAUUUGUUGUCAAUCUUUUUAAGGUGGACCACCCUGAUGUCAAUUGGUAGCUCCGCCCCUGCAUGAGGGUACGUAUGGAGUAUAUUUGAUGAUUUUUUUUGCAUCACAGUUUAUACUCAUAAGUUCUUGGAGUACUUUUUUUGUGUGACCCACUUUAUACUCAUUAGGGUGUGGAGUAUGUUUGAUGAUUUUUUUUGGCAUCACAGUUUAUACUCAUAAGCUCUUGGAGUACUUUUUUUUGUGUGCCCCAGUUUAUACUCAUGAGGGUGUGGAGUGUAUUUGAUGAAAUUUUUUUUGCAUCACAGUUUAUACGCAUAAGUUCUUGGAGUACUUUUUUUUGUGUGACCCAGUUUAUACUCAUGAGGGUGUGGAGUAUGUUUGAUGAUUUUUUUUGCAUCGCGGUUUAUACUCGUAAGCUCUUGGAGUACUUUUGAUGAAAGCACGACGUCGGACGUGCUGCUGGUUUGGCCCGAUCUUUUACGAUGCAAUAACCUCCAAGAUCCACCGAUAAAAAAUACUCCCAAUUACACGAGCAGGACACGUAACCUGAAGUAGGGGUAACGACGACCAACGGACAAUCCCUCGACACACGAGCAACCUCCCGCCGAAGUAGACGUAACCAGCAUGCAACCCGUCGAGAACGACGGACCUCGAGCCAAGUGCAACUUUCACGCAGAAAAAUCACACAAAAUAAAUAACAACGGCACUCAAAAAGGGCCGCUUAAUAUUCGAUACACAUGUUGUCUAACCUGUAGAAAAUAUAUCCUAAAAACCAAUCAAAAGUCGCGAUAGCAGAAAAUAUAUAUAGCAUGUGUACAACCGACUCAGAUGAGUACGGCCUAGACACGGCACGCAGGCCGGCAUGCGUGUAUUUCUUUCCUCCUUGCUCGUAGGAUUUUUCCUAGUCGUUUUUAACCACCUUUGAUUUUCCUUCUCCAAACGUACACACCUGGCCUUGGGAAUAUAUCUGCAUGUACGUGCAUGCUUCUUCUCUUCCUAUUUUCUAGCCCAGGAAAAUCGGGUCUUUCUAUAUUCCACGAAGCAUGACUAACAAAUUUGUGUGUAGGCUCUUUCCUUUUUAUUCUCCAAGUCUUGUUAUUUCUCCAAGUACAUGCGUAAUAUUCUCUUGCAAAUGGAUUAGGAAACAAACCAUCCCUCUUCGUGCGUGCAUGCACUUGCAUGGGCUCCUUCAAUCUAGCAACGCUCCUACACUUGACCCCUUCUUUACACACAAAUGAAACGAAGGCGGGGCCACACAGUACACGUAUGUGUCCAUCUUUACCUUUGCUAAGUUGCAUCAUCUUUUGCAUAUUUGUUUCAUCCUCUUGGUUAAUUAUAUUUUCGACCAAUGUUUCGUCAACUUGCACUGUUAUCACCUCAUCCACGAUACCCUCCGUUUGCAAACCUUUGUUGACGACUGUCGCAGACGCCUGCGACCCCUUGUCAAUGAUCAGUGUAUUCAUCAUGACCUGUGUACUAGACAAGUUUGUGGUUGGGUAUGCCGCAUCAUCCUCCCUUUCUUGAAAAGAAAACGUCCGCGUUUUCAAGUUGUUCUUCAAAGCUUUUUCCUUGCGUAUUGUCAGCACCACAUCUGAGCAUAUCAAUUCCUCUUCCAUUGGCUUUAGUGUCCUUUGCUUCCCAUCAUGAAUAAAAGUAUAUGUAUUCAUCCUUCCGGCAUGUGUUGCAUUGCGGUCAUACUGCCAUGGUCGUCCAAGCAAUAAACCACAAACUUCCAGUGGCAAAACGUCACACUCCACCUCAUCAACAUACUGCCCAAUAGAAAAUGGCACACGCACCUUAUGAGUUAUUUUGAGCAUGCCGCAACUGUUCAACCAACCCACAUGAUGAGGAUCUCUAUAUCUCCAUGUGGACAACCCAAGUUUUUCCACCAUUGCCUUACUGAUUCCAUUAGUACAACUACCUCCGUCAAUGAUUAACUUGCAUGACACACCCUUUAUGUUGCAUUGAGUCUGAAACAAACUAUAACGCCGUCCUUUUUCCAACUUAUUUCCUCCAUCGCCUUGUACCCUCUUGAUUUGCAUGUUUAGCCCACUCAUAGGUACUGUCUCUCCCUCCCUUUUCAACUGGUCAUGCACAGAUUUCUUUUCAAUGAGAACUAAGUCCAACUUCUUUGCUUCUAAUCCUUGCUCUUUAUUUGACCUAGCAUCGAUUGCAGCCUGUGCUUGAUCGCGCCUCUUACGAUCCUCCAAAUAUUUUUCGGAAGAAUAUGCUUCAAAAUAAGCCCACCGUCCUUGACAAAUAAACUUAAAUUUCCUCCAAGAAAAAGUACCAGAUUUAUCAAUCCGCAAUUCCUUCUUUUUUGUCCAAGAUUGGCCAAGUAUCAAGCUACACGCAUACAUAUGGUAUGGCAGAACAUCACACAAAACUGAAUCACUAAAUCCACAAAAUCCAAAAGGCACCUCAACUUGAUGUUUUAUUAUCACAAAUUUUCCCUGCCAUGCAAGCUUAUAUGGGUCUGGAUGCUCUAUCACUGCUAGCUUCAAUGCAUCAACCAAAGUUUGACUCGCCAAAUUUAUUUUGGAAGAACGAUCUAUCAUCAUGGCGCAAGAAAAUUUUCCUACCUUCACCCUUGUGUAGAUCUGAAACCAAGACAGGGCACGAGACGGAUCCUUCUCACAUUGUGACAUCUCACCAUCAAAGUAGUUCUCGGUCCUCAUUGCAGUUGACGAAUCUGUACGUACAAAUUAUAGAGGAAAUUUACACCGUAAUAAACCUAGUAAUCUGAUACCAACUGAUGAAAGCACGACGUCGGACGUGCUGCUGGUUUGGCCCGAUCUUUUACGAUGCAAUAACCUCCAAGAUCCACCGAUAAAAAAUACUCCCAAUUACACGAGCAGGACACGUAACCUGAAGUAGGGGUAACGACGACCAACGGACAAUCCCUCGACACACGAGCAACCUCCCGCCGAAGUAGACGUAACCAGCACGCAACCCGUCGAGAACGACGGACCUCGAGCCAAGUGCAACUUUCACGCAGAAAAAUCACACAAAAUAAAUAACAACGGCACUCAAAGAGGGCCGCUUAAUAUUCGAUACACAUGUUGUCUAACCUGUAGAAAAUAUAUCCUAAAAACCAAUCAAAAGUCGCGAUAGCAGAAAAUAUAUAUAGCAUGUGUACAACCGACUCAGAUGAGUACGGCCUAGACACGGCACGCAGGCCGGCAUGCGUGUAUUUCUUUCCUCCUUGCUCGUAGGAUUUUUCCUAGUCGUUUUUAACCACCUUUGAUUUUCCUUCUCCAAACGUACACACCUGGCCUUGGGAAUAUAUCUGCAUGUAUGUGCAUGCUUCUUCUCUUCCUAUUUUCUAGCCCAGGAAAAUCGGGUCUUUCUAUAUUCCACGAAGCAUGACUAACAAAUUUGUGUGUAGGCUCUUUCCUUUUUAUUCUCCAAGUCUUGUUAUUUCUCCAAGUACAUGCGUAAUAUUCUCUUGUAAAUGGAUUAGGAAACAAACCAUCCCUCUUCGUGCGUGCAUGCACUUGCAUGGGCUCCUUCAAUCUAGCAACGCUCCUACACUUGACCCCUUCUUUACACACAAAUGAAACGAAGGCGGGGCCACACAGUACACGUAUGUGUCCAUCUUUACCUUUGCUAAGUUGCAUCAUCUUUUGCAUAUUUGUUUCAUCCUCUUGGUUAAUUAUAUUUUCGACCAAUGUUUCGUCAACUUGCACUGUUAUCACCUCAUCCACGAUACCCUCCGUUUGCAAACCUUUGUUGACGACUGUCGCAGACGCCUGCGACCCCUUGUCAAUGAUCAGUGUAUUCAUCAUGACCUGUGUACUAGACAAGUUUGUGGUUGGGUAUGCCGCAUCAACUUUUUUUUGUGUGCCCCAGUUUAUACUCAUGAGGGUGUGGAGUAUAUUUGAUGAAUUUUUUUACAACACCUAAAUUAAGUGUGUAGUGACAACUAAUGUGGCAGUGUUUGUAUUGCAAGCAUUGGUACGAAAUCUGUAUCAUUUCUAUUCAGAUUUCACUCAUCUCCUACAAGGAAUAUUUUAUGAUGAUACCAGAACAUUUGUUUCCUUACAUAUCAUAUUAAAAAAUGCACCCAGUGAAAUAGGCAUAACCAUAAUAUAAAAAAAUGACGGUCGUGUACAUCUUUUUCCUUUGAUAAAGGCUAAACAACAUUUCCUUACAUAUUUCACCUAGGAACAAACCUUUCAACGAGUUCUAAGAUAACCGGUUAUGUUGGAAUGUCGCCUGUAAACCUCGAAGCUCGCAUAGGCAUCCAAGCAUGCAUACUUGAUCUGGUCAUGAUCCAGGUUGGACUUCUCCCAUUGACUAACAGUGAUGCUUUUGUCCUUGUUAAGUCUUAUAUUUGCAACCUUCUUUGCUAGCUUCUCCAAUGAAGCCAAUUUGGCAACUUUUUGAUUAUGAACCUUGAUACCCAGUCCAUGCACAUCGAUGGGUUUUCUAAUACCCAAGUUAUAGAACUUGAGUUUUGCGAUGUCAUUGCCAAUGGCGGCACCCGCAAAUUCAACUGUGUCAUUGCCAAGGAAGCCGCGGAGAAGUGGCGGGAUAAAACUCCUGGCCUGAGCCUGGUAUAGCUGGUAAAUUAGGCAAUGCUUUCCCACACAAAGUUGCAAGAUAGCAGCGCAUUGUGACUCUUGAUUAGAGAGAGCAACUUGUUUCUCAAGUGGAAGCUUCUUACGCUCUUUGCUGUGGACAUAUCUAGUGUAUUCACAGUCAAGGCCAACAACACGCCACUUGGCAUGAUUAAGAUACCUUUUCCAGAUGAACUUGAUGAAGGAAGCAACUGUUGAAGGAUUGCUAGUCACUGUAGUAUGAAUUCUAAUACCGCCCUUGCUGAUAUAAAAAAAGGUGGUCUGGAUGAUUGUUGUCCACACUCUUGGGGAAUUGGACACGGAUUUUCCGACCUUAAUAUUGUGAAGGUUGACAUGGCGAACAUUUCUUUGCUGAGGUUGAUGGCACAUCAACUCAAACGAAGUUAGAGAGGAAUCAUAUGCGACGGAUGUUGAUGACGGCAUGGGACUUGACAUUGUUGAUGUUGGGUUCACAAGACAUGUUUCAUAGCCAUGGGAAUUGGGAUGCUUUUUCUUGCAUUCAAGGGGAAACUUGAGAACCAUCUCAAAGCAUUCUCCAAUGGAUUUAUCGGCCAGCGGAAGAAUAAGCUCUGAAGCAUCAACUUGGACUUUAUUCUAAACCUUUGACAUCCUUCCAUCCAGUAACGAUGAGGAGGGAAAUAUAAUCAUGGUAUUGCCCCCAUUAAUAGGUUGCUCAUAGUGGAGUUUGUCCAUUGUAUUCCCUUUUCCUUCUUUGUCUACCCUCAUACUUCCCCCAAACAUGAGUCGAGAGAAGACUUCCAUUCCUUGAUCAUGUUCAGUUGGUGAUGCAGUCAUAUUAUCCAGAUGCUGAUUUGUUGAAGCCGCACAUGGACCAACUGGCACAUCAAGCCAAAUGUCUCCAAUGCGGAGCAUGACUGACUGCGGCACUUGACCAUCCAUACCUUCGAAUAAAGAAAACUUCAUAUCAGUUUUCUUUGAGUAUAUUUAUCAUACACAAUGUUUAUAUGUACUUUAGAAAUUCAUAUGUUGCGAUCCUAUGUUGGAAUUUGAAGAUGAGGGGAGAAAUAUGUCCCACUGGGCGUGCCAGAAUCUGAUCACGGGAAAAUGGCGGGCGUGAGACACGCGUCCACGUCAUUGAUACAGAGUGAAAUUUAAAUGCAUAAAAUAAAAAUAGAGUCAGACAUUGCAGGUACUUUAAUUCUAGAACUCUUACAUUUACAUAAAAAUUAUGUUAAAUACAUCUCCAAAGAGAAAACCCCUGAUUAAAAUUUCAACAUUUCUAUUACAUAGGAUUACAUCACAUGCGACCAUUACAAAAUGAUAAAAGAAAAAUCUUCCAACUCGCUGUCGUCGACGCCGGUAUGCUCGAGGGAGCUUUGGACUUUGUUGAUGUUAUCAUAUGCAUGACUUUCAUUUAUAUUCUACUUUUCUUUGACUCGUACUGACAUUGGCAGUACAUGUACGCAUGCUUGAAUGACUUCAUUUACUUUCACUAAUUGAUUAACCAAUGCAUAGACUUUGAUUUAUUUUUCUUUGUUUGUAUGAGAAAAUCAUCUUAAUGGUUAAUCAAUUUGCUAAAUGAGCCUUCAAACAUCAUGAUACAUGCAUAGGACACAAAACCAUGAACAUGCUCUGUGCAUGCAAAAUACUUUAGUACUAACAGUUGUAGUACUCUUUAUUUUAUGAGUACAUGACAUCUACAUUUUCUAAAUGUUAGCAAUCCAUAUGGGGGAUGCAUGAUCUAACUUUCAUCUUAUGCGAAGAUAAGCUAGAUCGGGUCUUUUUGAGCAUACACAUAUAUGGAGUAGAUAAAAAACACUUAAUGGUGGCCUAUGCAAGUCACUACAAUAUUUCGAGUGCAAUCAGACUCAUAUUAUGACUUUGAUCAUCUUUUAGUUUUUUAAUGUAUGUCCAUAUGAAGGGACCAUACAUUAUUUUAUUUGGGUGGAUGUACACCAAUUAACUUAGAAGUAGCUAGGUACGACAUGUCCAUUUUACCUUGCACGCGCAUAUACUAGAUUCACCAAUAUCUAGUUAUUUGUCGAUGAUGACGGCUAGCAUUAUUUGGGGCCAACACAUCUUAUAUAAUGCGCCCAUUUAGUCUAUUUUAGAGACAUUUGGUUAAUAUAAUACCAUUUAUGAUUUGGGCGGCAUUUUGUUUAUCAUCGUGAAGUGGGAAUAUUAGUUUCUAUACACCCGGGUAUGAACAAGGUUAAUUUGUGCUAUACGACUCAUUUUCGCAUACACACAUGCGACUAAGGAUAAUGUCUUUUUACGAGCACUUAUGGUUUUGCAAUAUACUUUUUAUAUGCAAUCUAUAGUAUAUAUUUCGUCCAUCAUUUUUAUGUUGAUUUUCCCUGAGCCAUACCUUUGCCAUCAUUCUGUUGAGAACAAAGUCUUCACUCUACAUAAGGGAAGAAAUACCCUGAUUUGUGUCAAUAUGACCAAACCAGAGGAGGUCAUCAUGCAACCUGUAUUUCUUGACAUGUGUCAACAUGACCAUGGCAAGAACAAACUAUCAAUUUGUGAGAAUACCUCUUUGACAUGUGUCAACAUGACCAUGGCAAGAACAAACUAUCAAAUUUAUAGUGAAUACUACUUGUGAGAGUGCUACUUGACAUGUGUCAACAUGUCUAUGCCAAGAGCAAAUUAUCAAAAAUAUGUGGAGGAUGAAGGCCACUUGGCAUGUGUCAAUAUGACCAAGCCAAGAGCAAGAAUCAUGCCACUUUGAGAAAAAUUCGAGAUCUGUGUCAAUAUGACCAAAUCAAGAACCAUCAUAUGGGGGGAAAAGCAAAAAUCAUGCUACUUGAAGAAAAAUUCUAGAUCUAUGUCAAUAUGACCAAAUCAAGAACCAUCAUAUCAGGAAAAAGCUACUUGACUCAUGUCAAUAUGACCAAGCCAAGAGCAAAAAUUGGGCAACAUGGAAAAGAAUUCAUGAUCUAUGUCAAUGUGACCAAAUCACCAAUCAGAGAAGCAAAGGGAUUAGGAGAGAACCAUGAAUCUCACAUUCUUGGUGAACUCCUCCAAAUCUCCCUCUCCUCACGUAUGUGUGUGUGGGAUUUUUGUUGUAGCAGUAUAUGUGUGCAGCCACAACUUAUGGGCCCCUCGGGACCCUCCUGGCCUAAUUCUUUCGCCUAUAUAUUCCCGUAUAUCCCCAAACCAACAGGAGCAUCCAUGAAAACACUUUUUCGCCGCCACAACUGUAACAUCCCAAAAUUCUAUAUUUUGGAAUUUUAUAUUAAAUAAAUAUUUUUGAUUGUUUGUUUGAUUGUGGUGUGGUUGUUCGUGUGAAAUUAACUGAAAUUUGAAACUUUUUGAAAGUUAAAUGAGAGGGAAUGAAAUGACUUUCCCAAAAUUUCACCUUGCAUUUAUGAUCUCCAUGAAUUCAAAUUAUUUUCAAAUACAAAACCCUAGAGAGAAGAUGACAUGACUUCUUCCAUUAUAAAUGAAAAGAGUUUUGAAAAGAUUUGAAUUUUAUUUGGAAAUAUUUCCAAUUCAGAAACUUUAUGCAACUCAAUGAUUUUCAUGAGAGAAGAUAAAAUGACUUCUUCCAAUUGUAUGAAAUAUUAGUUGGAAGUUUAAAAGAAUCAAAUUUAAAGUCCCUUUGAAAUUAUUUUCAAUUUGGAGUUAUUUGGGUUUUAAUCAAAUUCUUUUUCUUCAAAAAUAAGAUAUAUGGAAAAUAGCGUAAAAUGGUUUCCUACAUUGAAAAGUUGGAGAAAAAUAAAUUUGAAAUAAUUUUGGUAUUUUAGAAAUGAUUUUUAUUGGGUUUUAUUGCAACCGUUGCACUGUUUACUUUAUUUAAAAUUUUGUGUUACAUAUUUGACACUACAAAAAUGUUCACCUUGUAGAAGUUUUUUUCGGAAAAGUUCGAUAUAUAAUAUGCCUAUAUAAAAUUUUAUGUUAUUUUCGUUAUUCAGUUUUCUUUUUCUGUUUUUAUUCUGAAAAAUUACACGUACAUCGUAACUAUAUGUCGCGCACAUGCGCAGCAUAGUGGCAGCAGCGCCUCAUUUUUUCUUUCCUACAUGGGCCAGGCCCAGCCAGCAAUUUCUUUCUCAGUUUUUUUCCUUUCUUUUUCUUUUUCCUUUGGCUGAAAAAAAAACUGCAGCGUGUGCACGGCCAGCCCGUGGUGCUUUUUAGCCCCGAUUCACUUUGUUUUAUUUGUUUGUCUACGUUUAGUCUCAUAUUGUCUAGCCUUUGACCAAUAAACAUCUUUUUCACCUAUAAAUAUAGACCCGUAGAGCCUUCAAAAAUCAUCCACUGUGGGUUAAAUCAAUAUUUUGGUUUGACUAGCUGAAAAAUAUAGUGCUUCGCUCCAGUGGGACUUCUAGAAGUUGUCUCCUCUCCUGAAGUCGUCUUUUCUUUAUCUUAUAAAAGUAUCUUUUUUCGUAUUUUUUAUCUUUCAUAGCUUAUUAUUUUUUGACUAGUGUACGUUAGAAUAAUUAGAUUUAUAAACUAGUCCCUGUAUUUACAUUUUAAGACUAAAGUUAUUUUAGCCAUAGCCUUUUUCUUCCGUAAAACAGUUUGGCCUUGAUUUUUCAAAUAGCCAUAAUUUUCUACUCGUUCAUCCAAAUUAGACAAAACUAACGCCUAUAUUUUCGUCUUGAUUCCACCUAUCUAGUGAAUAUAUCAAAUAAACUAUUUGCAACUUUCAAAUUUCAAAUUUUUUUCAGAUUCAUACUCAAGUUUCUUUUCGAUAAAACCAAUGCCUUAAUCUUCGUAACGAUCCCCUCUGUCCAGUAAACCAACUUGAACAUGCUUUUGACAAUUUAAAAUUUGUGUUUAGUUCAGAUUAGUAUUUGAUCUUGUUUCGUCUGUUUCUUGUGUUUCGUAACUCCGUUUGAGUUGAUUCUUUUUACAAAUCGUAGCUAAUCACAUGUACCGAUCUAAAAUCCACAUAAAUAUAAUGUUGUUGAUUUUUUUUCUUUCUAGAUUCGUUAUUUGCUUGUUUUCGAGUUUUAUUUGGAUCUUUCUCGAUGUCUCUUUGCAUCUUUUGCUUGAGUGCUUAUGCAUGUAAUUGCGUGCUCAUGAUAGAUUGAAUGGAGUGUGACGAGCAGAACUAUCAGGAAUUAUGAGUGCGAAGGAUCUUCAUCAACAAUACAAGGCAAGUUCACACUUUGAUCAUAUUCUUCCUAUACCCAGUUUUUACUUGCAUUAGUCUCACCCCUCAAAGAUUCCAUGAGUAGGAUUGGGAAUAUGUGGGUAUUGCUAUGUAGUUGAUGAGGUAUGAACCUAUUACCUUUUUGAUUCACCCCGGGUUUAUUCGUUAUGUCAUAUAUUGCUUAGCCAUGCUCGUAGACGGGGAUUGGAUCGAGAUACACAUGGAAGUUGUGAGAGUUAUUAAUCUGGGAUAACAUUAAGGUGGCAACUUUAAUAUACAUCCGGUUGGAAUGGUUGGGGUACGCUGGGGAUAUACCAAGUGGCUUGCCCGGACACCUGGGGAAUCCAGUGUUGUCCUAGGAGAUUCCGGGGGACCCGUGUGAUCAUCCUAUGGAAUGCCAUCCAGCCUCAAAGGGAUCAUAUGAUAUUUUAUAAUUAGAAACUUCCGAGUGCAGCCACAAGCCGUUAUGGGCUCUGGCAUAGUUGAGUAAGUUGUGUGAGCUCUUGAAGAGGUGGACUAGCAGAUGUAGGGGGAUUGUAGGUGUACUGGUCCGCCCAGAUUAGAGAGUAAAUGCUUCAGAAAGACUGUUUCUCGGUCAUCCCGUUCUCAAACACCAGGCAGUGCGAGGACUUCAAGGGAGGCAAUCGAGUCUUGUGGGGAAAAGUGCGCAAACCUCUACAAAGUGUAUCUAGAAGUGGAUAUUAUUGUUGAUCUCAUCACUCUUAUUUAAUGUAUUUAGUUUAAUGAUUAAUUAUGGGAUUGAGUUGGGGGAAUCUUCUCAAUAUUGGUAUAAACUUUGUAGUAAAUAAAAUUUAUUACUUGUUGUAGGGAAAAAUUACCUUUAUGAAAAAACUAAACUUAGAGCCUCAACCAACCAAAUAUGCAUGUAGUGAUAGAUAUUGUUCAUUAUUAUUUUACGGUGUAAAUUUGUCAGUACAUUCAAUGUACUGACCUACAUGGCUGCAACGUCUCAUGUUGCAGGAAUCAUACGACGAGUAAGUGAUACGUUAGGGUUACGAUGUCUACACUCAACUUUGCCGUUGGUGUUGUUGGGACUCCACAACCUUGUUGUUACUUCCGCUAUAUGGAUUGAGGUAAUAAUAUUUAUUUUACUUUAUACAUGUGAUUUACCUCUGAUAUAAAUCCUCGAGUACUGUGUGUGUCAGCAUACCGAUCCAGGGAUGACUCUUAAGCACAUAGGCUUGACCGUUUGAGGUCGGGUCGCUACAAGAUGGUACCAAAGCACAUGUUGACUGUAGGACGUGACCCCUAGAAACUAGCAAGCCCUUAGGAAAGGAUUUCUCUAAAACUUUAUUUUCAAAAGAGAUCCCUUAACUCUCAUCUUUUCUAAAGCUUUACCAAAUACUUUCCUCUCAUCUCAAAUAGUUAGACUAUACCCCUUUCCCCUUAUGAUCACACGAAGAUUCGACUGAUAAGACCACUCCAAGAAGGACAAGAAUUCAGACAACUAAGGCCACUUCGGAAUAAAGAGGAUUUUGCCGUGCAUUGGACUAAUUGAAACUACCAUGGUUGAAGACUCCGGUGACUCGGAGAAUUGAAGGCUCUGAAGAAUUCCCAGAGUGAAGUGACUUGGAAGGCUCUGAUAGGAUCCAUUUAAGAAUUUUUCUGAAGAACCCCUGGCUUCCACAUUAUAGAGGAAGAAUUUCACCCUGAACCAAAGACAAUGCUAUGAAGAUUUUCCCUGUGGUCCAACCCUUAUAGAAUUUGUCAGACUAUUGAAGUUGUCGAUACCUGCGAUGAAGGUGUGCCAAAGAAAAUACCGGAACAUGUAGUAGUAAGACUCAAGAUUUUGGUCGUCAAGAAAACCCCAAGACAAGAGAUAUCAACUACGGAAUGAUAGCUCAUAGCAGAGACAUGAGCAUAAGUUACAACUAUCUGUGAUGAUUUCGCUCGCUUGUGCUAUCGUCACCAUGCUGAGUUAAGCAUGCAUUUCUUCGUAAGGAUUGGAUAGCAUAAGGCUAAUGGAGAACCUAUCGCCAUACCGAAUGAGCAAAAGAUGAAAUUUCCACCUCAGCUGGUGUAUCAUCCAGAACUGGAGUAUUAUCUCAAGAAUUUUCGGAUGGAACUUCUGGAAGCCUUAUUCCACAAGGAAGCAUUUCGUAAAGAGCUCAGAACCCGGAAGCUGAAAGUAGCCAAGCUGGAAGAGCUGAAAGUGCUAUUAUCGACUAGAGGGGGGGGGGGUGAAUAGGCGAUUUUUAUGAAAGUCUUCAAAACUUGGAAGUUUCAAAGACAAACAAUAGAAACAACCUAGUUGAUAUGCAGCGGAAGAUAAACUACCCUAAACAAGCCAUAGUCAAGUAUGUAGUGAUGUGAAAGUAUAGGACUAAUAGCAGUUAGGUAGUAAGGAUCAAGAUGGAAGAUAGUGUGAAGCCAAUCAACAAUAGUAGUCAAGCAAUGAAGUCAAACAGAUACACGGACAAGCAAUGACUUCAUGAAGACAGACUAAAGUAAGGUUGGAAGGGAUAGAACUAGUUGCUUGUUGAAGACACAGGAUUUGUUGGACCAGUUCCAGUUGCCGUGACAACUGUACGUCUGGUUAGGGAGGCUGGGAUUUAACUCAGAAGACCGUGUCUUCACCUUAUUCCCCUUGAGCUAAGGACACCCAGUCCUCGCCCAAUCACUCUGGUAAGUCUUCAAGGGAGACUUCCAAACCUUCACAGACUUUGUUCACCGGCAAUCCACAAUGACUCUUGGAUGCUCAGAACACGAUGCCUAACCGGCUGGAGGAUUCACAGUCCUCAAGUGUAAUAAGUCUUUAGGUCACAUAGACAGAAAGACUUCAGUGAUGCCUAACACUCUUUGGCUCUGGGUGUUUGGGCUUUGUCCUCGCAAGGAUUUCUCUCUCUCAAAUGCUUCGAGGUGGGUUGCUUUCAAACGACAAAAGCCGUGCACAAACUCUGAGCAGCCACCAAUUUAUGGUGUAGGGGGUGGGCUAUUUAUAGCCACUAGGCAACCCGACCUGAUUUGUCCAAAAUGAUCCUGGGUCACUAAGGAACUGACACGUGUUCCAACGAUUAGAUUUCAAACACACGCGGCAACUUUACUUGGGCUACAAGCAAAGCUGACUCAUCCAGCUCUGGAUAAGAUUUGCUCUCAUUGUCUUCGCUCGAAGACAUAGGAUUUGAGUUGAGCAUCACUUCAGUCACUCUGACUUAAUUCACUUGGACCCCACUUAACAGUACGGUGGUUGCUAUGACUCAACAAAGAAGAAAAUGAAACAGCGAAUCCACACAGUCUUCGCGCUCCAAAGUCUUCACACAAUGUCUUCUCAUGUCAUAGUCUUCAAUAUGAAUAUCUUCUCAUACCACCAUUGUCUUCAAUGUCUUCAUACAUUUUUAGGGGUCAUCUCCGGUAGGUAAACCGAAUCAAUGAGGGACACUACCUACGUUAUCCUGCAAUUCUCACAAACGCAUCAGUCCCUCAACCAACUUUGUCGUCAAUACUCCAAAACCAACUAGGGGUGGCACUAGAUGCACUUACAAUCUCCCCCUUUUUGGUGAUUGAUGACAAACUGGUUGAAGUUUUCAACGGGGAUAAAGUAAGUGAAAUUGUAAGGAUAGAUAAUUGUCUUCAUAAGUUGCAAGGGCUCCCCCUGAAGAUGUGCACAUAAGUAAUUUGCUGUUGGAAUGCAAAUGCACAUGGCAGGUUGUACUUGUGGAGAUCCACUUCAACUUGUGAAGAUAAUUCAUCAUGCUUGAAAUGAUAUAGCAAGUUGAAUGACAUGCAUAAUGAAAAAUGGACGUCUGCAGAAUGAUCUAAGUGCAGAAGUUAUCAUCGCACAUGCAGAAUUUAUCAUCGCAUCAGAGUAAAGCAAAUACGUAGCAGAAGUAGCAGACGACCAUCAAGUUUAGGUGUUACAACUCAAAGAACCAAAUGUUUCAAAACGCAAGAGUUGUAAGCAUGCAGCAAAAUAUAAUGCAACCGCACAUAUGAACCCGCUUGAAGACUAUCAACUCAUACGCUUCUCCCCCUUUUGUCAGUAAUGACCAAAAAGGUUUGAAGACAUAGAGCGUCUACUCGUCAUCAUGAGUAGGUGAAGCAGCAGGGUUGUCGUCGUUGGUUGGCGGUGCAGACGAACUUGGUGCAGUGUCGAUGUGCGCAGUAGUAGCUGGAGGUGGUGAAGUAGCGUCAUCUUCAUCAUCGAUCACUCUGGCAUUAACUGUUGCCGUGGAGGAGGAAUAUUCAGAGUCUUCAAGAGAUGGAGUUCGACGCAGGGUAGCAGUCCUUGGAGGGGUGGAGUCGAACUGGAAUCGUUCAUUGAAGCCAUCAUCUUGAAGAUCAGCUUCAGCACUGAGCAGAGUCAAACUCUUCCAUGAUCUUCGGCAAGUUUCAUGAGCAACAAAGGCAUUCUUGGUGGCAAGGUUGCGAAUGCGAUUGACAUCCACCAAGAGGCUUUGCAUUUGGCGCUUGAGCCAAAAAUGAUGCUUAUCCUGUUUCUGAUGAAGAGCCACAAGAAGCUCUUGGUCAUUGAGAACACGAGAACGCUUCUGAGGCCUUUGCGCAAUGGUGCUUUCAGUGGCUUCAGUGGGCGCUCUGUGAGGCAGACAGGUGUUACCAGCCAGUGGAUAGUAUCUUGUCGCUGCUUGAACACCUUCAAUAGGCUGAGUGAAGCUUUGGUGCUCAAUGUUCUGAAGACAAAGCGGUGUCUUGGCAGGGUCAGAGUAUACAACAUCAACUAACAUAUCAACCUCUGGCAGAAAGAUUAUAUGAUUGCGAGCAGAGGGCUGAUAAUUGACAGAGGAGUGUCUCUUGAUGAGGCGCAUGACCCAUGGAGCAUAAACUUUAGACCAAACAGGUCAGAGCCGGAAGCAGCAAGUUGCCUGAUGAAGAAUUCCUGAGAGUUGAAGCUGAUGCCAUUGAGAAUAUAGAAGACCAAAGUCUUCAUUGCUCCUUCAAGCUUGGCCGCUGAUGAUGUCCCUUGACUGGCCAUAGAGUUCGCCUGAUGAUAUGAUAUAUGGUGCGAGGCAGAUACUCAAGGUCUUCAACAAAGAAAUGUGUGGGAUACUCAGCGUCAGAUGGCAAAGGCUUCAUCAUGCUCAGCAUCUGGCUCAUAUUGGGUUCUGGCUUAUGAAAGAUGCUCUCCACAGCAUUGCGGUGUAGCUGACAAUUAGGCUCAUAGAGUUCUCCAGGAGUGGCUAGCCCAGUAAGCUCGAUGAUAUCCAUAGCUUUGGCUUCAUGAUGAACAUUUCCAGUCAUCCACUCGAGAACCCAAGUCUUGAUGUCUCUGUAGCAGCCGCGAAUGUGCAGAGUGGCAUAGAAUUGAAGCAAUAGCUCUUCAUUCCAAUGUUCUUUGUCUGUCACAAAGUGGAGCAGACCAGCAUCACGAAAGCAAUCAAGUGCUUCUUCCAAGCACGACAGUCCAGCAAUAGCUUCAGUGUCAAGGCGCAUAUGAGGGAAAAUGCGCCCUUGAUCAUAUAGCAUGCAUGAGUAACAGCUUCUCUACUGAUAGCUCCAGAACCAAUCUGAUGAAAUCCUUGGCUUGGAGUAGGGGUUCUUGGCGCUAUCAAAGAAGGUAUUGUGGCUCUUGAAGCCAUUAGCAUUGAAUGAUCCUGGUGAGUUGGCAGUACCUGGAAACCUUGGCAACCUGGGCUUUGGAAUCUGGACCUGAGGCCUAUGCUCAACAUGAUAGUCAAAUUGCGGGCCUGAGGCAGCAGGCGGAGGCACCAGAACAGGCCAUCGGACAGAGACAAGCUGACCGUGAUCAUAUGCUUGCUCAAUAGUGUGAGGCCUUGGUGGCGGAACAGGAGCAGGGGCAACAUCAGAGGAUUAAGGCUGCACAACAGGUGCUUCUGGAGCAAUUGUCACAUUAACUUCAGGUGCAGCCUCCUCAUUGGCUUCAGGUGCAACAUCCUCAUGAGCUUCAGGUGUAGCAUCAGUGGUUUCAGGUUCAGUGGCCACAUUAGCUUCAGGCACAGUGGCCUCAUUGGUUUCAGGCACACUGGUUGGUGCGAGCUCCACAUUAGCGUCAGCCAUGACUGCGUCACUGGCUUCAUUGGCGUUGGUGGUGGCAGCCUCAACAUUGUCAACCUCCUCUUGACGAGCAGGAGGGUCGGGUACAGGCACGUUCAGAUCAUGAACUGUUUCUUCUUCAAUUGCCGGGGGACUUGGAACACGUACUUCUUCUUCAUUUUCUUCGGUUGAUGCAGCCGGAAUGUCUUCAGCAGCAUGUGCUUCAGACGCGGAGACGUUCACUGUUGGAGCGGGUUCAGAAAAUACUUGCCGUGCAACAGGUGAAUGUUGCACUUCUCCUUCGGGAACGCUCGAAGAGGGGCUUCAGGCCUUUGUCCUCUUCGAAUCCUGCGAAGAGCUGGCUUCAAGUUGGGAGAUGGAGUUGGCUGAGCCUGGAAGUCUUCAUCCUCUUCUUGCACUGGGGGUGUUGCUUGUUGUUGUUGUUGGGGAGUACUGGGGGAGUCUUGUUGUUGUUGUGGGUGAUCAGCCCACGAAGCAUCCUGAGCAAUUGGCGUCAAUGGACGACUAAUGUUGAUGAGUUCGCUGUUCGUAUGAACAGGCGAUGAUACCACUUGAUGUUCGAUCCGAGGAAGAACUUCAUCAUCAUUUACAUUGUCAUCUUGACCAAUGUCUUCAGCAGUGUUCGGUUCAGCUGCUGGAAUAUCUUCAGUCUCAUGAGCCUCUGUGGUAGCAGGCUCAUGGACAACCAUUCUUUGUUCUUGAUGAACUGACACAGGGCGAACAACGGAAAUGGGUUCAACGACUAAGGGCUCUAUGGAAGCAGCCCUAGUCUUCUUGGUCUUGCGCUUCUUCUUGGAGGGAGCGGCAUCAGAGGCUUCAGUGUUCUUUCUCUUUCUGGCGUCGGCCUCGGCAGCCCUCGUCUUCUUCUGUUCUGAAGCAGUUCUGGUGACCUUUGGCUUCGAGCCAGUCAUGCUGCUCGGGAAGAUAAUGCGAGGGGCUGUUCAGGGUGCUUCUUCUUCCUCUUUGCAGCUAUCCUGGGAUCAAUGCCAAGACGGCCAAGGGACUUGCGCUUCUCAGCCUCAUUGUAGGCAAGCACACACUUAUCAGCCAAAAUCUUCAUGCGCUCUCGAGAGCCCUGAGCUUCUUGGUGUUUCUUCAGAAAAGCUUCUUUAAGCUCAUGGAGCAUGACUUUGAAGUUGCGGACGUCUUGAACACUCAGAUUGGCCACAUGCUUCUUGAAUUGAGCCUUUUCAAAAUCAAUCUUGUUUUUGAGCUCAACGAUGCGCUGAGCGAGAGCUAGCUCAGAAGCAAUGGCGCCAUUGAAAGCGACGCUGAGGCCAAUUGGGAGCUAUAAAUCUUCAAAGCUGACGUUGGGGGUGUCGAACCACUCAUCAAUGAAAUUGUGAAUGAUGGCCACAUCAAAGAGAGGCAGGUUGCUGAAGACUUCUGCUUCUUCCUUGCUUUUGAUCAGCUGCUCAAGAGCAUCAUCAGCAAGAUCUUCAUCACUUGAUAGAUCAAUGGGUUCUUCAUGCAGAAUUGCGGCAGGAGUCAAAGCUCUUUGAUCAGAUGGUCUAACAAGUUGCUUUUUCUUGUCCGUUCUCUUGGAGACACGGGACAGAUAUUCAGAUUGCACACUGGCUUCAGGAGGUGCAGUGGCCAGUGGCUUCGCACGCAAAGUCUUCGGAGGUGCAGCUGAGGUUGAAGCCUUAGACUUAUUUUGCUUCUGCGGCUUUGGAGGAGGAGCUGGGGCUUCAUCAGAGUCAGCACCAUUGUCAGAAUGAUCUACUCUGGCGCCUUGGACCAUGAUGUAAGUGAUGAGGCCGUCAAGGUUGGCAUAGGGGCCAAUGACAUUGGGAUUAGCUUCACGGGAGCCAUCAGCAUGGGGAGCAGAGGGACCUGGGUUGAAGUCCAAACCCAAGGACUUCUUGUUCUUCUUGGCCGAAGCCACAGCAAACUGAUAGUUGCGCUUGAAGAGCGAAUCAUCACGACACCAUAGUAGUGAAGUGGGAUCUGCGUUCGUAGGCUGUGGCCCACGGACCAUGCAUGGAUAGAAGCCUUGUUCAAUGGCUUCAGCUCGGCUCUUGGGUUGAAGGCCUCGAUAGAGGAUAUCACCCCAAGGUCUCUUGAUGGCAUGCUUCUCUGCAUAUUCCUUCGUGACAAACUUGUACUUGAACCACUCCUCAGCCCAAUAGCGUCGAAUCCAUUGGAUUCGUGUCUUUCUCUGAUGAUAAUUUUCUUCGGGAUCUGUCUUGUACAUUUCUGCUAAGUCAUCAGGCAGAUCUUUAGAUGUUCCUUCUCUGUGCUGUCUGCCACCCUUCCUUGCUGAUUUUUCUGUUGCCAUGAACUUCAAGCUGAAAGGCUUCAAUACGUUCAAAGGCUUCAGAGAUUUGCGCUUGCUGGUCAAGCAGGAACUGGCUUCAGGAGAAUUUAUAUGGUGCUGUAAGUAUUCUGCAAACGAAUGCAGACUAUGAGAACCAAGGGAUUCUCCCACGGACAUGUACCUAUGACAGCAUUAGAGAUGCGAGGGAAGGGGAAGAGGUCAUAUGCAUUCUCAGAAGAUUUUGAAGAUAAAUCAGUUUGAAGACAUUGACCUCAUGAUGCGAAGACAUUCACUUAUAUUGGUGAGUUGGUUCCAGAUUUGUACCAAUCCGUGAAUAAGUACAAGUGAGGAAUCAAACUAGAAGGAAUCUAAGUGAAUCGACUAAGCAGUAUGAGAUGCAGACGGAAUAGAUCUAACUUGAUCAGACAGAAACAACUUUCGGUAAACAGGAUGAAUCUUGAAGAUAAAAAAGGUGGUAAAAAUAGAGUUAUAAUUACCGCACGAAGAACUGCUAGAUGGAGGAAUAGGAGACCAAGCAGUUCAGCCCACCGUGCCCUAACUUGGCGACGGAGGACACCUACGGCGACGGCGGAGAGGACGAUGUCCGCGGCCGGUGUGAGGACAGCGUCGGAGAAGUCGCGGCAGCUAAGCACUUCGUCGCCGGCGUCGUCGCGAGCUAGCGGUGGCGCUAGGGUUUUGACGGAGGUGGAGAGGUGGGAGAAAGAUUUCUUUACCGCAGGGACAAGUAUUUAUAAGUAGGUGAGAGACAUAGCGCAAUUACGCUGGUGCCCCUGGCGGUUCACAUCUGAGGGGCACGUGGCAAGCAUGCAACACACUCAGGAUUGUCCCACGUUCCCACGCCCGCCAGGCAUGUCGGAGAGUUGUUCCGGCUUCUCCGGAUUUCAACAGUAAAUAUAAGCCAUUUAAAACAGAUUUAAUGUUUGCCUCUUUGCCUUCUGCUGACUAGGACGCAGAGAAGACAUUCGACAGUUUCAACAGAAUGCAUAUGAUUUGGACAGAAAGAGUUUGAGAUAGGAAGCAUAGAGAGGUCAGGGUCCGAUCACACUCACUUAGUUCAAAAGAUCCAAUCUUGAAGACAUAGCUAUAAGUGAAUGCUGUAGAGGACAGAACACUAGUAUGUAUAUAUAUCAGAAACCAAUCAAAUCAUCAUAGUGCAGAAAGUCAUGAAGACAAAUUGAAACUGAAGACAAACCAAAUGCGAAGUCAUUGUAAUAUAACGCCUUGAGUGAAACACUUCAAACAAAGAAGGUUGUGAAGGAAAUAUGCCCUAGAGGCAAUAAUAAAGUUAUUAUUUAUUUCCUCAUAUCAUGAUAAAUGUUUAUUAUUCAUGCUAGAAUUGUAUUAACCGGAAACAUGAUACAUGUGUGAAUACAUAGACAAACAUAUAGUCACUAGUAUGCCUCUACUUGACUAGCUCAUUAAUCAAAGAUGGUUAUGUUUCCUAACCAUAUACAUGUGUUGUCAUUUGAUUAAUGGGAUCACAUCAUUAGGAGAAUGAUGUGAUUGACAUGACCCAUCCCGUUAGCUUAGCACUUGAUCGUUUAGUAUCCUGCUAUUGCUUCCUUCAUGACUUAUACAUGUUCCUGUAACUAUGAGAAUUGUGUAACUCCCGUUUACCGGAGGAACACUUUGGGUACUACCAAACGUCACAAUGUAACUGGGCGAUUAUAAAGGAGUACUACAGGUGUCUCCGAAGGUACAUGUUGAGUUAGCAUAAUUCGAGAUUAGGUUUUGUCACUCCGAUUGUCGGAGAGGUAUCUCUGGGCCCUCUCGGUAAUGCUCAUCACCUAAGCCUUGCAAGCAUAUAACUAAUGAGUUAGUUAUGAGAUGAAGUAUUACAGAACGAGUAAAGAGACUUGUCGGUAACGAGAUUGAACUAGGUAUUGGAUACCGACGAUCGAAUCUCGGACAAGUAACAUACCGAUGACAAAGGGAACAACGUAUGUUAUUGUGCGGUUUGACCGAUAAAGAUCUUCGUAGAAUAUGUAGGAGCCAAUAUGGGCAUCCAGGUCCCGCUAUUGGUUAUUGACCGGAGACGUGUCUCGGUCAUGUCUACAUUGUUCUCGAACCGUAGGGUCCGCACGCUUAACGUUACGAUGACAGUUAUUAUGAGUUUAUGCGUUUUGAUGUACCGAAUGUUGUUCGGAGUCCCGGAUGUGAUCACGGACAUGACGAGGAGUCUCGAAAUGGUCGAGACAUAAAGAUUGAUAUAUUGGAAGCCUAUAUUUGGACAUCGGAAGUGUUCCGGGUGAAAUCGGGAAUUUUACUGGAUUACCGGGAGGUUACCGGAACCCCCCGGGAGCCAAAUGGGCCAACAUGGGCCUUAGUGGAAAGGUGAAAGGGCUACCCACAUAGGGCUGCGCGCCUCCCCCCUCUCCCUAGUCCUAUUAGGACUAGGAGAGGGGCCGGCCCCCUUCUCUCUCUCUCACACGAGGAAUCCUAGUUGGAAUAGGAUUGGAGGGGGGAGUCUUACUCCCGGUAGGAGUAGGACUCCUCCUGCGCCCUCUCCCUGGCCGGCACACCUCUCCCCCUUGGCCCCUUUAUAUACGGGGGCAGGGGGCACCUCUAGACACACAAGUUGAUCAUUGUUGAUCGUUCCUUAGCCAUGUGCGGUGCCCCCUGCCACCAAAUUUCACCUCGGUCAUAUCGUUGUAGAGCUUAGGCGAAGCCCUGCGUCGGUGAAACAUCAAGAUCGUCACCACGCCGUCGUGCUGACGGAACUCUUCCUCGAUGCUUUGCUGGAUCGGAGCCCGAGGAUCAUCAUCGAGCUGAACGUGUGCUAAGAACUUGGAGGUGCCGGAGUAACGGUGCUUGGAUCGGUCGGAUCGGGAAGAAGACGUACGACUACUUCCUCUACGUUGUGUGAUCGCUUCCGCAGUCGGUCUGCGUUGGUACGUAGACAACACUCUCCCCUCGUUGCUAUAUCAUCACCAUGAUCUUGCGUGUGCGUAGGAAUUUUUUUGAAAUACUACGUUCCCCAACAGUGGUAUCAGAGCCUAGGUUUUAUGGUUUGAUGUUAUUUGCACGAGUAGAACACAAGUGAGUUGUGGGCGAUACAAGUCAUACUGCCUACCAGCAUGUCAUACUUUGGUUCGGCGGUAUUGUUGGAUGAGACGACCCGGACCAACCUUACGCGUACGCUUACGCGAGACCGGUUCCCUCGACGUGCUUUGCACAUAGAUGGCUUGCGGGAGACUGUCUCACCAACUUUAGUUGAACCAAGUAUGGCUACGCCCUGUCCUUGAGAAGGUUAAAACGGAGUCUAUUUGACAAACUAUCGUUGCGGUUUUGAUGCGUAGGUAAGAUGAGUUCUUGCUUAAGCCCGUAGCAGCCACGUAAAACUUGCAACAACAAAGUAGAGGACGUCUAACUUGUUUUUGCAGGGCAUGUUGUGAUGUGAUAUGGUCAAGGCAUGAUGCUAAAUUUUAUUGUAUGAGAUGAUCAUGUUUUGUAACUAAGUUAUCGGCAACUGGCAGGAGCCAUAUGGUUGUCGCUUUAUUGUAUGCAAUGCAAUCGCGAUGUAAUGCUUUACUUAAUUACUAAGCGGUAGUGGUAGUCGUGGAAGCAUAAGAUUGGCGAGACGAGAACGAUGCUACGAUGGAGAUCAAGGUGUCACGCCGGUGACGAUGGUGAUCAUGACGGUGCUUCGGAGAUGGAGAUCACAAGCACAAGAUGAUGAUGGCCAUAUCAUAUCACUUAUAUUGAUUGCAUGUGAUGUUUAUCUUUUAUGCAUCUUAUCUUGCUUUGAUUGACAGUAGCAUUUUAAGAUGAUCUCUCACUAAUUAUCAAGAAGUGUUCUCCCUGAGUAUGCACCGUUGUGAAAGUUCUUCGUGCUGAGACACCACGUGAUGAUCGGGUGUGAUAGGCUCUACGUUCAAAUACAACGGGUGCAAAAUAGUUGCACACGCGGAAUACUCAGGUUAUACUUGACGAGCCUAGCAUAUACAGAUAUGGCCUCGGAACAUGGAGACCGAAAGGUCGAGCGUGAAUCAUAUAGUAGAUAUGAUCAACAUAGAGAUGUUCACCAUUGAAACUAAUCCAUCUCACGUGAUGAUCGGACAUGGUUUAGUUGAUAUGGAUCACGUAAUCACUUAUAUGACUAGAGAGAUGUCUGUCUAAGUGGGAGUUCUUUAGUAAUAUGAUUAAUUGAACUUAAAUUUAUCAUGAACUUAGUACCUGAUAGUAUUUUGCUUGUCUAUGUUUGUUUGUAGAUAGAUGGCUCGUGCUGUUGUUCCGUUGAAUUUUAAUGCGUUCCUUGAGAAAGCAAAGUUGAAAGAUGAUGGUAGCAAUUACACGGACUGGGUCCGUAACCUGAGGAUUAUCCUCAUUGCUGCACAGAAGAGUUACGUCCUGGAAGCAUCGCUGGGUGCCAGGCCUGCUGCUGAUGCAACUGACGACGUUAAGAACGUCUGGCAGAGCAAAGCUGAUGACUACUCUAUAGUUCAGUGUGCCAUGCUUUACGGCUUAGAACCGGGUCUUCAACGACGUUUUGAAUGUCAUGGAGCAUAUGAGAUGUUCCAGGAGUUGAAGUUAAUAUUUCAAGCAAAUGCCCGGAUUGAGAGAUAUGAAGUCUCCAAUAAGUUCUACAGCUGCAAGAUGGAGGAGAACAGUUCUGUCAGUGAGCAUAUACUCAAAAUGUCUGGGUAUAAUAAUCACUUGAUUCAACUGGGAGUUAAUCUUCCGGAUGAUAGCGUCAUUGACAGAAUUCUCCAAUCACUGCCACCAAGCUACAAGAGCUUUGUGAUGAACUAUAAUAUGCAAGGGAUGAACAAGACUAUUCCCGAGCUCUUCGCGAUGCUGAAAGCCGCGAAGGUAGAAAUCAAAAAGGAGCAUCAAGUGUUGAUGGUCAACAAGACCACUGGUUUCAAGAAAAGGGGCAAAGGGAAGAAGAAGGGGAACUUCAAAAAGAACAGCAAACAAGUUGCUGCUCAAGAGAAGAAACCCAAGUCUGGACCUAAGCCUGAAACUGAGUGCUUCUACUGCAAGCAGACUGGACACUGGAAGCGGAACUGCCCCAAGUAUUUGGCGGAUAAGAAGGAUGGCAAAGUGAACAAAGGUAUAUGUGAUAUACAUGUUAUUGAUGUGUACCUUACUAAUGCUCGCAGUAGCACCUGGGUAUUUGAUACUGGUUCUGUUGCUAACAUUUGCAACUCGAAACAGGGACUACGGAUUAAGCGAAGAUUAGCUAAGGACGAGGUGACGAUGCGCGUGGGAAAUAGUUCCAAAGUCGAUGUGAUCGCGGUCGGCACGCUACCUCUACAUCUACCAUCGGGAUUAGUUUUAGACCUGAAUAAUUGUUAUUUGGUGCCUGCGUUGAGCAUGAACAUUAUAUCUGGAUCUUGUUUGAUGCGAGACAGUUAUUCAUUUAAAUCAGAGAAUAAUGGUUGUUCUAUUUAUAUGAGUAAUAUCUUUUAUGGUCAUGCACCCUUGGAGAGUGGUCUAUUUUUAUUAAAUCUCGAUAGUAGUGAUACACAUAUUCAUAAUGUUGAAGCCAAAAGAUGCAGAGUUGAUAAUGAUAGUGCAACAUAUUUGUGGCACUGCCGUUUAGGUCAUAUCGGUGUAAAAUGCAUGAAGAAACUCCAUACUGAUGGACUUCUGGAAUCACUUGAUUAUGAAUCACUUGGUACUUGCGAACCGUGUCUCAUGGGUAAGAUGACCAAAACACCGUUCUCCAGAUCUAUGGAGAGAGCAACAGAUUUGUUGGAAAUCAUACAUACAGAUGUAUGUGGCCCGAUGAAUGUUGAGGCUCGUGGCGGAUAUCGUUAUUUUCUCACCUUCACAGAUGAUUUGAGCAGAUAUGGAUAUAUCUACUUGAUGAAACACAAGUCUGAAACAUUUGAAAAGUUCAAAGAAUUUCAGAGUGAAGUAGAAAAUCAUCGUAACAAGAAAAUAAAGUUUCUACGAUCUGAUCGUGGAGGAGAAUAUUUGAGUUACGAGUUUGGUUUACAUUUGAAACAAUGUGGAAUAGUUUCGCAACUCACGCCACCUGGAACACCACAACGAAAUGGUGUGUCCGAACGUUGUAAUCGUACUUUACUUGAUAUGGUGCGAUCUAUGAUGUCUCUUACCGAUUUACCACUAUCGUUUUGGGGUUAUGCUUUAGAGACAGCCGCAUUCACGUUAAAUAGGGCACCAUCAAAAUCCAUUGAGACAACGCCUUAUGAACUGUGGUUUGGCAAGAAACCAAAGUUGUCGUUUCUCAAAGUUUGGGGCUGCGAUGCUUAUGUGAAGAAACUUUAACCAGAUAAGCUCGAACCCAAAUCGGAGAAAUGUGUCUUCAUAGGAUACCCAAAGGAGACCAUUGGGUACACCUUCUAUCACAGAUCUGUGGGCAAGAUUUUCGUUGCUAAAUUCAGAUCCUUUCUAGAGAAGGAGUUUCUCUCGAAAGAAGUGAGUGGGAGGAAAGUAGAACUUGAUGAGAUAACUGUAUCUACUCCCUUAUUGGAAAGUAGUUCAUCACAAGAACCGGUUCCUGUGACAACUACACCAAUUAGUGAGGAAGCUAAUGAUAUUGAUCAUGAAACUUCAAAUCAAGUUUCUACUGAACCUCGUAGGUCUACCAGAGUAAGAUCCGCACCAGAGUGGUACGGAAAUCCUAUUCUGGAAGUCAUGUUACUUGACCAUGAUGAACCUACGAACUAUGAGGAAGCGAUGAUGAGCCCAGAUUCCGCAAAAUGGCUAGAGGCCAUGAAAUCUGAGAUAGGAUCCAUGUAUGAAAACAAAGUAUGGACUUUGGUUGACUUGCCCGAUGAUCGGCAAACCAUUGAGAAUAAAUGGAUCCUUAAGAAGAAGACUGACGCUGAUGGUAAUGUUAUUGUCUACAAAGCUCGACUUGUUGCAAAAGGUUUUCGACAAGUUCAAGGGGUUGACUACGAUGAGACUUUCUCACCCGUAGCGAUGCUUAAGUCUGUCCGAAUCAUGUUGGCUAUUGCUGCAUUUCAUGAUUAUGAAAUUUGGCAAAUGGAUGUCAAGACUGCAUUCUUGAAUGGAUUUCUAGAAGAAGAGUUGUAUAUGAUGCAGCCUGAAGGUUUUGUUGAUCCAAAAGGUGCUGACAAAGUGUGCAAGCUCCAGCGUUCCAUUUAUGGACUGGUGCAAGCAUCUCGGAGUUGGAAUAAACGCUUUGACAGUGUGAUCAAAGCAUAUGGUUUUAUACAGACUUUUGGAGAAGCCUGUAUUUACAAGAAAGUGAGUGGGAGCUCUGUAGCAUUUCUAGUUUUAUAUGUUGAUGACAUAUUAUUAAUUGGAAAUGAUAUAGAAUUUCUGGAUAGCAUAAAGGGAUACUUGAAUAAAAGUUUUUCAAUGAAAGACCUCGGUGAAGCUGCUUACAUAUUGGGCAUCAAGAUCUAUAGAGAUAGAUCAAGACACUUAAUAGGACUUUCACAAAGCACAUACCUUGACAAAAUUUUGAAAAAGUUCAAAAUGGAUCAGGCAAAGAAAGGAUUCUUGCCUGUGCUACAAGGUGUGAAGUUGAGUCGAACUCAAUGCCCGACCACAGCAGAAGAUAGAGAGAAAAUGAAAGAUGUUCCCUAUGCUUCAGCCAUAGGCUCUAUCAUGUAUGCAAUGCUGUGUACCAGACCUGACGUAUGCUUAGCAAUAAGCUUGGCAGGUAGGUACCAAAGUAAUCCAGGAGUGGAUCACUGGACAGCGGUCAAGAACAUCCUGAAAUACCUGAAAAGGACUAAGGAUAUGUUUCUCGUAUAUGGAGGUGACAAAGAGCUAGUCGUAAAUGGUUACGUUGAUGCAAGCUUUGACACUGAUCCGGACGAUUCUAAAUCGCAGACCGGAUACGUGUUUAUAUUAAAUAGUGGAGCUGUAAGUUGGUGCAGUUCAAAACAAAGCGUCGUAGCGGGAUCUACAUGUGAAGCGGAGUACAUAGCUGCUUCUGAAGCAGCAAAUGAAGGAGUAUGGAUGAAGGAGUUCAUUUCCGAUCUAGGUGUCAUACCUAGUGCAUCGGGAGCAAUGAAGAUCUUUUGUGACAAUACUGGUGCAAUUGCCUUGGCAAAGGAAUCCAGAUUUCACAAGAGGACCAAGCACAUCAAGAGACGCUUCAAUUCCAUUCGGGACCAAGUCCAAGUGGGAGACAUAGAGAUUUGCAAGAUACAUACGGAUCUGAAUGUUGCAGACCCGUUGACUAAGCCUCUCUCACGAGCAAAACAUGAUCAGCACCAAGACUCCAUGGGUGUUAGAAUCAUUACUGUGUAAUCUAGAUUAUUGACUCUAGUGCAAGUGGGAGACUGAAGGAAAUAUGCCCUAGAGGCAAUAAUAAAGUUAUUUUUUAUUUACUCAUAUCAUGAUAAAUGUUUAUUAUUCAUGCUAGAAUUGUAUUAACCGGAAACAUGAUACAUGUGUGAAUACAUAGACAAACAUAUAGUCACUAGUAUGCCUCUACUUGACUAGCUCAUUAAUCAAAGAUGGUUAUGUUUCCUAACCAUAGACAUGUGUUGUCAUUUGAUUAAUGGGAUCACAUCAUUAGGAGAAUGAUGUGAUUGACAUGACCCAUCCCGUUAGCUUAGCACUUGAUCGUUUAGUAUUCUUCUAUUGCUUCCUUCAUGACUUAUACAUGUUCCUGUAACUAUGAGAAUUGUGUAACUCCCGUUUACCGGAGGAACACUUUGGGUACUACCAAACGUCACAACGUAACUGGGUGAUUAUAAAGGAGUACUACAGGUGUCUCCGAAGGUACAUGUUGAGUUAGCAUAAUUCGAGAUUAGGUUUUGUCACUCCGAUUGUCGGAGAGGUAUCUCUGGGCCCUCUCGGUAAUGCUCAUCACCUAAGCCUUGCAAGCAUAUAACUAAUGAGUUAGUUAUGAGAUGAAGUAUUACAGAACGAGUAAAGAGACUUGUCGGUAACGAGAUUGAACUAGGUAUUGGAUACCGACGAUCGAAUCUCGGACAAGUAACAUACCGAUGACAAAGGGAACAACGUAUGUUAUUGUGCGGUUUGACCGAUAAAGAUCUUCGUAGAAUAUGUAGGAGCCAAUAUGGGCAUCCAGGUCCCGCUAUUGGUUAUUGACCGGAGACGUGUCUCGGUCAUGUCUACAUUGUUCUGUAACCGUAGGGUCCGCACGCUUAACGUUACGAUGACAGUUAUUAUGAGUUUAUGCAUUUUGAUGUACCGAAUGUUGUUCGGAGUCCCGGAUGUGAUCACGGACAUGACGAGGAGUCUCGAAAUGGUUGAGACAUAAAGAUUGAUAUAUUGGAAGCCUAUAUUUGGACAUCGGAAGUGUUCCGGGUGAAAUCAGGAAUUUUACCGGAUUACCGGGAGGUUACCGGAACCCCCCGGGAGCCAAAUGGGCCAACAUGGGCCUUAGUGGAAAGGUGAAAGGGCUUCCCACAUAAGGCUGCGCGCCUCCCCCCUCUCCCUAGUCCUAUUAGGACUAGGAGAGGGGCCGGCCCCCUUCUCUCUCUCUCUCACACGAGGAAUCCUAGUUGGAAUAGGAUUGGAGGGGGGAGUCCUACUCCCGGUAGGAGUAGGACUCCUCCUGCGCCCUCUCCCUGGCCGGCGCACCUCUCCCCCUUGGCCCCUUUAUAUACGGGGGCAGGGGGCACCUCUAGACACACAAGUUGAUCAUUGUUGAUUGUUCCUUAGCCGUGUGCGGUGCCCCCUGCCACCAAAUUUCACCUCGGUCAUAUCGUUGUAGAGCUUAGGCGAAGCCCUGCGUCGGUGAAACAUCAAGAUCGUCACCACGCCGUCGUGCUGACGGAACUCUUCCUCGACGCUUUGCUGGAUCGGAGCCCGAGGAUCGUCAUCGAGCUGAACGUGUGCUAAGAACUCGGAGGUGCCGGAGUAACGGUGCUUGGAUCGGUCGGAUCGGGAAGAAGACGUACGACUACUUCCUCUACGUUGUGUGAUCGCUUCCGCAGUCGGUCUGCGUUGGUAUGUAGACAACACUCUCCCCUCGUUGCUAUAUCAUCACCAUGAUCUUGUGUGUGCGUAGGAAUUUUUUUGAAAUACUACGUUCCCCAACAGGUUGGUGGUGGUGUUACCCACCGUAUAGGAAGUAUUAGACCCAGACACGACGCACAAUUAUCGUGGCGCUCCGAAGUCAAAUUCCAUGUUUAUGUAUUCACACUCAGAGUGUAAAUCUUCAUUGAUUGAAGAUAUACAUUACUUUGUGUGUUGCACAUCUAAGUCAUCAACAUGCAUAAGUGUUAGGAUGUGUGCCUGAUCACAGGACAUUAGAGGAUUCCAAGAUAUUUAGCUCACACCGUAACUUGCAAAAUCUUUUCUCAUCCAAGGGCUUUGUGAAGAUAUCUGCCAGGUUCUCUUCAGUGUUGACGUGAAUGAUAUCGAUAUCUUUCUUCAUAACAUGAUCUCUGAGAAAGUGAUGACGAAUUUCAAUGUGCUUUGUCUUCGAGUGUUGGACUGGAUUAUUGGCUAUUUUGAUGGCACUUUCGUUGUCGCAGAAGAGAGGUACUUGUUUCAGAUUGAUGCCAUAGUCCUUGAGAGUUUGCUUCAUCCAUAGAAGCUGAGCACAACAGGAUCCAGCAGCAAUGUAUUCAGAUUCAGCAGUUGAGAGUGAUACACAGUUCUGCUUCUUCGAAGACCAACAGACAAGUGAUCGACCAAGAAAAUGGCAUGUGCCAGAUGAAGACUUGCGAUCCACCUUGUCACCAGCAUAAUCAGCAUCCGAGAAUCCAACCAAAUCAAAUUUUGAGCCCUUGGGAUACCAUAAUCCGAGUGUUGGGGUGUAAGCUAAAUAUCGAAGAAUUCGCUUCAAAGCUAAGUGAUGUGAUUCCUUUGGUGCCGCUUGGAAUCGAGCACACAUGCAAACACUAAGCAUAAUAUCUGGCCUAGAUGCACAUAAAUAAAGCAAAGAACCAAUCAUGGAGCGGUAUACCUUUUGAUCGAACUCUUUACCAUUGUCGUCGGGACCAAGAUGGUGUUUGGCCGGCAUUGGCGUCGUGUAGCCUUUGUAGUCUUCCAUUCCAAACUUCUUCAGACAGUCUUUGAGGUAUUUCUCUUGAGAUAUGAAGAUGCCAUUCCUCUGCUGACGAAUUUGAAGACCAAGGAAGAACUUCAGCUCACCCAUCAUGGACAUUUGAUAUUGCUCUUGCAUCAUGUACCCAAACUCAUCACUAUACUUCUGGUUGCUGCAUCCGAAGAUUAUGUCAUCCACAUAUAUUUGGCACACAAACAGUUCACCAUCAUAUGUCUUCGUGAAGAGAGUGGGAUCGAUGGAUCCAGGUUUGAAGCCUUUGCUCUUCAGGAAGUCUUUGAUUGUAUCAUACCAGGCACGAGGAGCUUGUUUGAGGCCAUACAGUGCUUUGUUUAGCUUGUACACCAUAUCAGGAUGUUUUGGAUCUUCAAAGCCAGGUGGUUGUGCGACAUAUACUUCUUCUUCAAUCUUGCCAUUGAGACAUGCACUCUUUACAUCCAUUUGAUAUAGCAAGAUAUUGUGAUGAUUAGCAUAGGCUAGCAGUAUGCGAAUAGCUUCAAGCCUAGCAACAGGAGCAAAUGUUUCAUCGAAGUCAAUUCCUUCAACUUGAGUGUAUCCUUGAGCCACAAGACGUGCUUUGUUUCUGACGACUUGACCAUGCUCAUCUUGCUUGUUUCGAUAUAUCCAUUUUGUUCCAAUAAUGUUAUGCUUGCGAGGAUCUGGUCACUUGACGAGUUCCCAGACAUUAUUCAAUUUGAACUGUUGAAGUUCUUCUUGCAUGGCUUGAAUCCAUUCAGGUUCCAUAAAAGCUUCGGCAACUUUCUUGGGUUCUGAUAUUGACACAAAUGAAAAGUGCCCAUAGAAGUUUGCUAGCUGUGUUGCUCUUGAUCGAGUGAGCGGACCAGGUGCAUUGAUGUUGUCAAUUAUCUUCUCUAUUUGAACUUCAUUUGCAACAUGAGGAUGAACAAGACGAAGAUUUUGCUCUGGCUAAUCAUUGUCAUCAUUGGGAGGAUUGUCUUCGGUCUGAGCAUUGUCUUUAGGUUGAUUUUGUGCAGAGAUGAUAAGUUUCUCUUCAGGCUGUGCUUCAGAGGGCAUGAUUUCACCAGUUCCCAUCAGCUUGAUUGCCUCGUUUGAAGGAGCUUCAUCCAGCGUACUUGGCAGGAUCUCUCUCUGUGAACCAUUGGUUUCAUCAAAUUUCACAUCCACAGUUUCAACGAUCUUGUAGAGAUAAAGGUUGAAGACUCUGUAGGAGUGUGAAUCCUUUCCAUAGCCAAUCAUGAAGCCUUCGUGAGCCUUAGGUGCAAAUUUUGACUUGUGAUGGGGAUCCUUGAUCCAGCAUCUUGCUCCAAAUACUCUGAAGUAACUGACGUUUGGCUUCUUGCCAGUAAGUAGCUCAUAUGAUGUUUUGUUCAGAAGCUUAUGAACGUACACACGGUUGAUGAUAUGACAUGCUGUAUCAAUAGCUUCAGGCCAGAACUUUCUUGGUGUCUUGUAAUCAUCUAGCAUUGUUCGAGCCAUCUCAAUGAGGGUUCUGUUCUUGCGCUCAACAAUGCCAUUUUGCUGAGGUGUGUAUGGAGCAGAGAACUCAUGAGUGAUUCCCAUUGUAUCCAGAUACAGAUCAAGUCCAGUGUUUCUGAAUUCAGUGCCAUUGUCACUUCUGAUGUGCUUGAUCUUCACACCAUAGUUGUUCAUUGCUCGAUUUGCAAAGCGUCUGAAGACAUCUUGCACUUCAGUCUUGUAAAGAAUUAUAUGAACCCAUGUGUAUCUUGAGUAGUCAUCAACAAUGACGAAGCCAUAGAGACAGGUAGUUGUUGUGAGGGUGGAGUAGUGAGUAGGUCCGAACAAGUCCAUGUGUAACAGCUCGAAGGGUUGAGAUGUUGUCAUGAUUGUCUUCGAGGGAUGCUUUGCCCUUGUCAUCUUUCCAGCUUCACAGGCACCACACAGAUGAUCCUUCUUGAACUUAACAUCCUCGAUGCCUAUGACAUGCUUCUUCUUGACGAGUGAGUGUAAGUUCCUCAUGCUAGCAUGUCCCAGCCUUCGAUGCCAGAGCCAACAUUCUAAAGCUUUUUUGAGAAGACAAACGGCAAGCUGUGGACCUGCUGAGAAAUCUACCAUGUAUAGAUCAUCUUUUCGAUACCCUUCAAAGACUAGAGAUUUGUCAGAUUCCAUUAGUACAAGGCAACAAUAUUUGCCAAAUAUCACAAUCAUGUUGAAGUCACAAAGCAUUGAGACACAUUAAGUUGAAUCCAAGGGAUUCAACAAGCAUCACUUUAUCCAUGUGUUGAUCCUUUGAGAUUGCAACUCUACCUAGACCCAAUACCUUGCUUUUACCAGUGUCAGCAAAUGUAAUGUGACUUUUGUCGGAUGGACAUAAGGUUGAGUCCAUGAGAAGACUUCGAUCACCAGUCAUAUGAUUUGUGCAUCCACUGUCCAUAAUCCAUUCUGAAGCUUUUGGUGAUGUACCCUACAGUGCAGUUAGGAGGAUAGGCUUCACAGAAGUGUUGUGAAGCAUAUGCAUUUGAUACAUAUAGGGACACUCACAGCUUAUAACAAAGUUAGGACAUAGUAUGACUGAUAAAUUCAGAUGUGAAGCAUAUAGAAUGACAUUUUAACGUGCGUCCUUAAUGAGUUUUAGGUCCCCAGCAAUAGUAUCGGACGCCAUUGAUUGCUGGUUGGAGACCGUUUUCUGCAAAAGAGAGUUAGUUCUUCUUCGCCACCCACAUUUUCAGUGGGGGCUUAGAAGCAAUGAGUCUAAGUGCAGCAUCUGAGAACUUUGGCUUUGGAGCCCUAGCAAAUAGCCUUCCAGGAGAUGAAUGAUACUCAUAUGAAUAAGCAGAAAAGUUCUUAGUCCUAUGAACAUAGCGGUUCAAAGAUACAUGCUCAUAUUCAUAAGUCUGAGCAUGAUUUCCCUGCAAAACAUUGGCGUUAGGGUGACUCAUGUGAGUCCUGUAUCUGUAUGAAGCCUUUGGACCAUAUGAAGCCAUAGGUCUGGGGUUUGUCUUCUUCCUUGGUGGUGUCAUGAUGAUAUUCACAGAAAGAUUCUCAAUGUACCGCUUAGGUACCCAGAUCUUCUUCAUAGGUGGUCCAUUCCUGCAGUUAGUACCAGUGUACCUGGCAAACACUUCACCAUUCUGAUUUUUGAACAGCUUAUAGUUUGCAUCAAAGGAUUCAUCAAUGAUAAUAGGAUUAGCACAGGUAAAGCCAGAUAAAGUGGAUGGAUCUACUGAAGGUUCCUUUGCAGCAACCCAUGUGGUUUUGGGGUACUGCUCAGGCUUCCAGUACGAGCCAUCAACAUUCAUUUUCCUCUCGAACCCAACACCCUCUUUCCUAGGGUUUCGGUUCAGAAUCUGUUCUUUGAGGACAUCGCAGAGAGUCUGAUGUCCCUUCAAACUUUUGUACAUCCCUGUUUCAAGCAAUGUCUUCAACAUAGCAUUUUCAUCAGCAACAGCAGUGGUAUCCUCCACAGAGGGGUUAGUGACCACAUCAGUAGGUGAAGACAAUGAAACAGUAGCAGCAGUGGAACACUCAGCAACAGAUGUAGCGUUAUCACGCUCAAUGCAUUUUAGACAUGGUGGUUCAAAUCCUUCCUGAGCGGAACUGAUCUGUUGGGCGCAAAGUGACUCAUUCGCCUUUUGAAGAUCUUCAUGAGCCGCUCUCAAUUUCUCAAGCUCUUGUUUCCUUUGAAGAUAAUCAUAGGAGAGCCUUUCAUAGCUAGUUGAGAGCGAUUCAUGACGACCUUCAAGUUCUUGGUGUUGGGGAACGUAGUAAUUUCAAAAAAUUUCCUACGCACAUGCAAGAUCAUGGUGAUGGCAUAGCAACAAGAGGGGAGAGUGUUGUCUACGUACCCUCGUAAACCGUUAAGCGGAAGCGUUAUGACAACGCGGUUGAUGUAGUCGUACGUCUUCAUGAAUCGACCGAUCCAAGCACCGAACGUACGGCACCUCCGUGUUCAGCACACGUCCAGCUCGAUGACGUCCCCUGGACUCCAAUCCAGCAAAGAGUCGGGGAUGAGUUCCGUCAGCACGACGGCGUGGUGACGAUGAUAAUGUUCUACCGGCGCAGGGCUUCGCCUAAACUCCGCGAUGAUAUGACCGAGGAGGAAUAUGGUGGAGGGGGGCACCGCACACGGCUAAGGAACGAUCCGUAGAUCAGCUUGUGUGUCUAUGGGGUGCCCCCUGCCCCCGUAUAUAAAGGAGUGGAGGAGGGGGAGGGCCGGCCCUCUCUAUGGCGCGCCCUAGGGGAGUCCUACUCCCACCGGGAGUAGGAUUCCCCCUUUCCUAGUAGAACUAGGAGCCCUUCCAUGUAGUAGGAGUAGGAGAGAAGGAAAGGGAAGAGAGAAGGAGAAGGAAGGAAGGGGGCGCCCCCUCUCCCUAGGUCAAUUCGGACUAGUCCAUGGGGAGGGGUGCGGCCACCCUUUUGGCCCUUUCUCUCCUUUCCCGUAUGGCCCAUUAAGGCCCAAUACGAAUUCCCGUAACUCUCCGGUACUUCGAAAAAUACCCGAAUCACUCGGAACCUUUCCGAUGUCCGAAUAUAGUCGUCCAAUAUAUCGAUCUUUACGUCUCGACCAUUUCGAGACUCCUCGUCAUGUCCCCGAUCUCAUCCGGGACUCCGAACUCCUUCGGUACAUCAAAACUCAUAAACUCAUAAUAUAACUGUCAUCGAAACCUUAAGCGUGCGGACCCUACGGGUUCGAGAACUAUGUAGACAUGACCUAGAACUAUUCUCGGUCAAUAACCAAUAGCGGAACCUGGAUGCUCAUAUUGGUUCCCACAUAUUCUACGAAGAUCUUUAUCGGUCAAACCGCAUAACAACAUACGUUGUUCCCUUUGUCAUCGGUAUGUUACUUGCCCAAGAUUCGAUCGUCGGUAUCCCAAUACCUAGUUAAUCUCGUUACCGGCAAGUCUCUUUACUCGUUACAUAAUGCAUCAUUCCGUAACUAACUCAUUAGCUACAUUGCUUGCAAGGCUUAUAGUGAUGUGCAUUACCGAGAGGGCCCAGAGAUACCUCUCUGACAAUCGGAGUGACAAAACCUAAUCUCGAAUUAUGCCAACUCAACAUGUACCUUUGGAGACACCUGUAGAGCACCUUUAUAAUCACCCAGUUACGUUGUGACGUUUGGUAGCACACAAAGUGUUCCUCCGGUAAACGGGAGUUGCACAAUCUCAUAGUUGCAGGAACUUUGUAUAAGUCAUGAAGAAAGAAAUAGAAACAUACUAAACGAUCAAGUACUAAGCUAACAGAAUGGGUCAAGUCAAUCACAUCAUUCUCCUAAUGAUGUGAUCCCAUUAAUAAAAUGACAACACAUGCCUAUGGUCAGGAAACAUAACCAUCUUUGAUCAAUGAGCUAGUCAAGUAGAGGCAUACUAGUGACACUAUGUUUGUCUAUGUAUUCACACAUGUAUUAUGUUUCCGGUUAAUACAAUUCUAGCAUGAAUAAUAAACAUUUAUCAUGAUAUAAGGAAAUAAAUAAUAACUUUAUUAUUGCCUCUAGGGCAUAUUUGCUUCAGUCUCCCACUUGCACUAGAGUCAAUAAUCUAGUUCACAUCGCCAUGUGAUUUAACACCAAUAAUCAUAUCUGUAUAUGAUUAACACCCAUAGUUCACAUCGUCAUGUGACCAACACCCAAAGGCUUUACUAGAGUCAAUAAUCUAGUUCACAUUGUUAUGUGAUUAACACCCAAAGAGUACAAAGGUAUGAUCAUGUUUUGCUCGUGAGAGAAGUUUAGUCAACGGGUCUGUCACAUUCAGAGCCGUAUGUAUUUUGCAAAUAUUCUAUGUCUACAAUACUCUACACAGAGCUACUCUAGCUAAUUGCUCCCACUUUCAAUAUGUAUCCAGAUUAAGACUUAGAGUCAUCUGGAUCAGUGCCAAAACUUGUAUCGACGUAACCUUUUACAACGAACCUUUUUGUCACCUCCAUAAUUGAGAAACAUAUUCUUAUUCCACUAAGGAUAAUUUUGACAAAUGUCCAGUGAUCUACUCCUAGAUCACUAUUGUACUCCCUUGCCAAACCAGGGCAGAGUAUACAAUAGGUCUGGUUCACAGCAUAGCAUACUUUAUAGAACCUAUGACUGAGGCAUAGGGAAUGACUUUUCAUUCUCUUUCUAUUUUCUGCUAUGGUCGGGUCUUGAGUCUUACUCAACUUCACACCUUGCAACACAGGCAAGAACUCCUUCUUUGACUGUUCCAUUUUGAACUACUUCAAAAUCUUGUCAAGGUAUGUACUCAUUGAAAAUCUUAUCAAGCGUCUUGAUCUAUCUCAAUAGAUCUUGAUGCUCAAUAUGUAAGUAGCUUUACUGAGGUCUUUAUUUCAAAGAACUCCUUUCAAACACUCCUUUAUGCUUUGCAGAAUAAUUCUACAUUAUUUGCGAUCAACAAUAUGUCAUUCACAUAUACUUAUCAGUAAUGCUGUAGUGCUCCCACUCACUUUCUUGUAAAUACAGGCUUCACCGUAAGUCUGUACAAAACUAUAUGCUUUGAUCAACUCAUCAAAGCAUAUAUUCCAACUCCGAGAUGCUUGCACCAGUCCAUAGAUGGAUCGCUGGAGCAUGCACAUUUUGUUAGUACCUUUAGGAUUGACAAAACCUUCUGGUUGCAUCAUAUACAACUCUUCUUUGAGAAAACCAUUAAGGAAUGCAAUUUUGACAUCCAUUUGCCAGAUUUCAUAAAUUGUGGCAAUUGCUAACAUGAUUCAGACAGACUUAAGCAUCGCUACAGUUGAGAAAAUCUCAUUGUAGUCAACACCUUGAACUUGUCAAAAACCUUUUUGCGACAAGUCGAGCUUUGUAGAUAGUAACACUACUAUCAGCAUCUAUCUUCCUCUUGAAGAUCCAUGUAUACAAUAUGGCUUGCCGAUCAUCGGGCAACUCCACCAAAGUCCACACUUUGUUAUCAUACAUGGAUCCCAUCUCAGAUUUCAUGGCACUACUAGAAAAAGGGCUAUAGAUGGGAUUGACACUAAUGGCGCACCAGACAAGUGGUGCGCCAUUAGUAUAUACUAAUGGCGCACCACCUUCUGAUGCGCCAUUAGUGUUCAACUACUAAUGGUGCACCUGGCCCACGGUGCGCCGUUAGUACCAAUUUUUUUUGAACUAGUGCGCCUGUCCAAACAUACUAAUGGCGCAUCCAUAUGAAGUGCGCCAUUACUAGUUGUAACUAGUAAUGGCGCACCUGCCAGAAAGUGCGCCACUAAUGUUGUUUUUUUUUAUUUUUUAUUCCUUUUUUUGCAAAACUACUAAUGGCGCACUCACACGCGGUGCGCCAUUACUAGUUUAAACUAGUAAUGGCGCACCGUGGUGGAGUGCGCCAUUAGUAUGUUUUUUUUUGCAAAACUACUAAUGGCGCACCACCAGGGGGUGCGCCAUUAGUAACCUGGAUUACUAAUGGCGCAUUUGUGGUUGGUGUGCCAUUAAUAAGUGGGCAGCAACAAAAUAUUUUGGACAGCCUCUCCUCCCACACUCACUUUCUCCCCACUUCAUUCUCUCCACCGCCUCCCCCCUGGUUGUGCAUGAAGAGGAAGUACAUUCACAUGAGUAUGCUAAUUGAAGGGCUGAAACAACUAGGGAACGACAUCAAUCUGUAUCUGGGGCUGCUGAAAGAGGAGCUUGACACGCUGUGGAAAACGCCAGCCAAUACGUGGGACGCCACAGAGAAAGAAUAUUUCCCUAUGAGAGCCGCACUGCUCAUGACGGUGCACGACUAUCUCGGUUACGGAUAUCUUGCGGGGCAGGUAGUCCACGGAUUUUCUGGAUGCGUAAGGUGCAUGGAUGACACAACGUAUCGCCAGCUAGAUAGAGAUCUCGGGUCUUCGAAAACCGUGUUCAUGGGACAUCGAAGGUGGCUUCGCGACGAUGACCCGUGGAGGAAACGCAAGGAUCUGUUCGAUGGUGAAACCGAACCCCGAAAACGCCCGUGUACGAGGAGCGGCGAGGAAAUAGACAAGCUGUUGAAAAAUUGGAAAGACUGCCCACUGCCGGGAAAGAAGCAAAAGGCGCCAGAGCCAGGAAAGAAGCGAAAGGCGCCAGAGCCGCUGCUGAAGGUAUGGAAAACGAGGUCUGUUUUCUGGGACUUGCCGUACUGGAAGAUCCACCGUGUGCCUCACAGCCUUGAUGUCAUGCAUAUCACGAAGAACGUGUGCAAGAGUCUGCUUGGUACCCUGCUCAACAUGCUAGAGAGGACCAAAGAUGGGCCGAAAGCAAGGGCAGACUUGAAAUCAAUGGGCAUCAGGCAGGAGCUUCACGCUAUAUAUGAUGAUGAUGAUGAUGAUGAUGAUGAUGAUGAUGAUGAGGCGAAGCAGGACACAGAAAGUCGUCGCAAAGGCAAAAAGGCCAAGAAGACCAGAAAUGACUACCCUCCCGCGUGCUUCACUCUAAGUCAGGAGGAGAUCGAGCAGUUUUUCACCUGCCUCCUAGGAGUAAAACUUCCUUAUGGUUACGCGGGGAAGAUAAGCAGAUAUCUAGACCCAACGAAGCAGAAGUUCAGCGGGAUGAAGUCUCACGACUGUCACGUGCUGAUGACGCAGAUACUUCCAGUUGCAAUCCAUGGGAUCAUGGACGUGCACGUCCGUGAAACGCUAUUUGGCCUAUGCAACUUCUUCGACGUCAUCUCUCGGAAGUCGAUUGGCGUGAGGCAACUCAGAAGGCUACAGGAAGAGAUCAUGGUGAUACUAUGCGAGCUUGAGAUGUACUUCCCGCCCGCAUUCUUCGACGUUAUGGUGCAUAUGCUGGUCCAUAUAGUGGAGGAUAUCAUCCAACUCGGGCCAACGUCCCUGCACAGCAUGAUGCCAUUCCAAAGGAUGAAUGGUGUCAUCAAAGGAUACGUUCGCAACAUGUCACGUCCAGAAGGAAGCAUAGCCAGGGGCUUUGUGACCGAAGAGUGCAUCUCCUACUGCAUGAAUUAUCUAGGCAUCGAGAACCCCGUUGGUCUGCCCGUCAACAGGCACCUCGGCAGGCUCGCUGGAUGGGGUCACCGUGAGGGUCACAGCGAAAUGCAUGUCGACUUCGAGGGUCGACUCGCCGACUUUGAAAGAGCAAACCUAGUCGCGCUACAACACAUAGAUGUGGUUGAUCCUUGGGUGGUAGAGCACAAAACCUUUAUUAAGAAGACGUACAAUGACCGAGGCCAACAAAGGAUGGACGGAGAUAUACUCAAAGAGCACAACUCAUGUUUCACGCGUUGGUUCAAGCAGAAGCUUCUGUCGUACCCUUUACAUGAGGAUUCUUCCGCGGAAGAACAACUCAUAUUCGCCUUGUCACAGGGCGCCGAGCACAAACUGAUGACCUAUGAGGCGUACGAUAUCAACGGCUACACAUUCUACACCAAGGCCAAGGACAUGAAGAGCGAUGGUUAUCAGAACUCUAGGGUAACGAUGGAAUCCUACACCGGUAACGACAAGGACAGAUACUACGGAAGGAUUGAGGAGAUCUGGGAGCUGAGCUACGCUGGAGAGAUGGUCCUGAUGUUCCGUGUCAGAUGGGCCAUGAACGUCAUAAAAGAAGACCGGUAUUUCACCACCAUGGUUAUACCCGAAGCCAAAUCCAAGACCGCGGGCGCAAACGUCACCGCGAAAAAUGAGCCAUGGGUACUAGCUUCCCAAGUGGACCAAUGCUUCUUCAUUACCGACCCGCCAAAUCCCAGUCGUGUUGUCGUGAGGAGAGGCAAAAGGAAGAUCAUCGGAAUGGAUGGAGUAGCCAAUGAGCAAGACUUCGACAAGUAUGGCGACCCGAGGAUCGAACAUGACGACGAUGAUGAAGUAGCAGCAUACACCACAAGAAGUAGCAGGACCACCCUACCUAAAGGACGUCCGUUCCAUAGAAGAACUCCAUUGCGAAAAAGAAGGGCAAGAAGAUUGUGAACAGAUAGCUAGCUAAGAUCGAUUGUAUUUAAUUCGUAGACUUCAUUUCUUGAUUGUAUUUCAUGGGCACUUUUUGAACUAUCAUGAAUAUUUUUUAAUUUCAUGGACACUCGAUCUCGAUCCCCCUCCAUCUCGAUCGCUAUCCCACCUCGCUAGAUCCGGUCCACCGGCCGCCGCCGCCGACCGCCCGCACCCUCUCGAUUCCCCUACUCAACCGCCGCCGCCGACCCCCCGCACCCCUCCCCCACUCAACCGCCGCCGCCGACCCCCCGCACCCCUCCNNNNNNNNNNNNNNNNNNNNNNNNNNNNNNNNNNNNNNNNNNNNNNNNNNNNNNNNNNNNNNNNNNNNNNNNNNNNNNNNNNNNNNNNNNNNNNNNNNNNNNNNNNNNNNNNNNNNNNNNNNNNNNNCCCUCCCCCGCUCCACCGGCAUUACUAUUUGAUGAUGUUUUUAAAAAAAUUAUUACUGUCUUAUAAAAAAAUAUUACUGUUAUGAUUUAAACAAGUUUGAACAUAUUUAAACACAAAUAAGUAUCAAACAACAUUUUAAAUGCAUAAAAAAAUUGUGGAGCCUGGGAAUCGAACCCAGGACCUCCUCGUGUGAGAACUAGCUACUGACCAGUCGAGCUAGUAGAGAAGACUUGACGUGUAUCAGGUCAGGUGGUAGAUAAUUGUUGGCUCGAGCAGAAAUAAAAAAAAUACUAAUGGCGCACCAGGGUGAGGUGCGCCAUUAGCAUGUAUGUACUUAUGGCGCACCGAGGGGUGGUGCGCCAUUAGUAUUGUGCCACCCCUACUUCGUACAGAUCCCCUCUCUCUCCCUCGCCCUCGCCCGCGAUCCCCUUCCUCGAUCUCCUCUCCCGACGCCACCGUCGCCCCGUCCCAACACCACCGUCGCCCUGCCGCCCUCGACGCCACCGUCGCCCCGCCCCGACACCACCGUCGCCCCGCCGCCCUCGACGCCGCCCCGACACCACCGUCGCCCCGCCGCCCUCGACGCCGCCCCGACACCACCGUCGCCCCACCGCCCCGACACCACCGUCCGUCGCCCUGCCGCCCCGAACCAGGGAGCGGAAGCGCGGCCGGCGUGCGAACGAGCGGAGAAGGCGGCCAUCCUCGUCCUCAACCUGUCGUCGACAUCGUCGAUUCCAGCUCUCGCAGCAAGCUAUGCGGCUGGUUCGUCCCCUGUCAUGGCCAGAUUGAUUUUUUCAGUAAACUAGGCUAGGGUUCGAUGGAUUAUGGACAUUCAUGGUGAUUCAUUAGUGAAUAAAUUCGUUCCAAGAACAAGAUCGAUUCAUUCCAUUUUUUUGUAACUAAAGUCAUGUGCAGUAAUGUGAAACAACCUCUUACUUUUGCGCAUCUUACAGUUUGCAGUAUUCAUUCCACUUUACAGUUGGCACUGGCACUGAGCUAAUUUAUUUAAUUACCACAAGAUCUAAACCAGGAUAAGAGCAAAGAGUAAUCAGACCUGAACUGAAACUAGCUAGGAGCAGAGCACAUUUGUGUUGAAGCAGAGUGCAUGAAAUAUGGGGCUUUUCUGGAUGCUGCUGUUCUUGGUAGGAUGAACAAGUGACACCUUGUAGGGUCUUGAUUGGUUAUGUUGCAAACUGAAUAUGUAGCUGCUAGGACCCAGUUUCCAAUCUAGUCUGUAGUAGUGACAUGCUAGUUUAGCACAUACUGCUUGUAGAAAGGUAGGCCAAGUUGCCUGCCAUUUGCUCUGAAAUUUAGGAGGCAUAAUGUCAGUGGAUCAAAAUUUCUUGCUAGGAUUCCUAGAUGGGAGCUUGUAGGAUAUUAACUGUUGGUGUCUCGAAGCCGAAACAGUGUCAGUUAUGACUGAAUUUCCAAUCUAGUGGGUAGUAGUGGAAUGCUAUUUUAGAUGGUCUAUUACUAUGUAGGACCUUAAUUGGUGGAGUCUCAACAACGCUGAACUGGGUAGUAGUUAGGAGUCAAUUUCUUUAAUCCUAGUGUAGCUGCUCUCUUAAUACUUGUCUGUAGGUUCUGAAUUGUUGGUGUCUCAAAAACUGAAUAUGUUUUCAUAGCAUAACUUGAGGGAUAGUUUGUUUAGUAAAGUGCGGAUUUAGCUAUCCCUUACUAUAUAGAUGAUUGAUCUUUGUCGAAAAAUCUGUGGAUGAUUGAUAGUACGCUUCCUGUUUCUUCACACAGUGCACUCUGUUAUGAACUAUAUGUAUGCUGCACUUUCUUCGUCCGAGUGCAUCGAUGUAGACGUUUUCCUGCUUGUUGUUGGGAGUGAAAAUAAGAACCUCUUCUCCCUGGUUAGCAGUAAAUACUGCAUGGGCAAUGCCUGCUGUUUUCUCUUCUGAAAUUUAUGAAUGUCAGUGGAUCAACAUCUAUGUGCCAUAAAUUGCAUUUUCCCUUUUUGCUUGUUGAGGAAACAUGUUUUCCAUUUACUUGUUUGGCUCAUGCUAUUCUUGCUAGGAUAACAAAAUGGUACCAUGUAGGCUCCUGAUUGCUGGUAUAUGAAAACUGAAUUUGUAGCAGUCAGAACUCAGUUUCCAAUGUGUUGAAGCAGAGCACAUUUGUGUUGAAGCAGAGUGCAUGAAAGAUAAACUGGGUCCUAGCAGCUACAUAUUCAGUUUGCUACAUAAAGCUCUUUAGUCAGGCUGGUUUUCGUGAAAUACACAUGAAGCUUCACCAGCUCCUGUGGGUGUGGGAUCCAUGUGACAUGUGACAUUGCAUCCAUGUCCACCUGGGAUAAUGAUUUUGCAGGUACCCCGAGAGGCCCUUGAGUUUGCCGGAAUGUCGAUUAACUUCCGUUCCGGCAAAUUCGGGUACUCCAUAUGUCCUAUUUUCAGCAAAGGUCAUGCUGAAAUUUUCCAUGAAUUUUAGCAUGACUUUGCUAAAAAUAGGACAUAUGGGGUACUUGUGACUAAUGCAUGGGCCGGGGUAUCGUAGUAGUUAAUUAAGUAGGAUCAAGUGCCCCGGCGUACUUGUGACUAAUGCAUGGCUUUUAGGGUGCCUCGGUGUCGAUAAAAACCGAAAUGAUGAAAGCUUAGGCUUUUAGGGUGCCUCGGCGUCGAAAAACCCUCAAUGAUAAAAGCUUAGAUUUUAGGAUGCCUCGGUGUCGACAAACCCUAAAUGAUGAGACCAUGAUCUUGUUCCUUGACAAUAACCAACUUUUUGACCAAACUUUGUUUCUAUUUAGAGAGAAACAUGGCCCACAACGAUGAGGCCGGGGGUUCGGGCGGCAAGGCAUUCUGGGAGCUGUCCCAGGAGAUGGAGGAACAACCUCACUUGUAUGAGGCCGCCGCCUUCCCCACUGAUCCCGAGACCACUGAUGGUGCCGCCGAGGAUGACCACACUGAUGCCACCACUGAUGGUGCCGCCGAGGAUGCCACCACUGAUGAUGGCGGCGCACGCACAGAUGGGAGCCAACCGAAGAGGCAACGGAAGGACCAGCGCCCGAUCGUGCUCCUCACCCUCAAGGAGGAAGUUACUGAAGUGGACUCCAACGGGAAUCCAACGGCUCCCGAACAAAUAGUCAAGGGGUACUCGCUUUAGCUCGGGUGCAUUAUCCGGAGCACCGUCUCGAUCAACACCGAGAACCUGAGGCAUCCUGACCGAGGGAAUUUGCGCAACCUCCUCUUCAUGAAGCUGCAUGAACGAUACAAGUUCCCCGCUGAAUUUGCAAACACAAGCCUCAAAGGGAAUAAAGUGAACAAUGCUGCCCUCACGAAAAUGAGCAAGGCCCUGUCUACUUGGAAAAGCAAUGUGAAGAGAAUGAUCAAGAAAGGUGAGAGUUAUCAGAAGAUCAAGGAGAAAAAUCCUUCGAUCACCGAAGAUGACUACAACGACUUCAAGAUCAAUUGCUCGAGCACCGCAAACUCCCAAUCAAGUGAGUGGGGGAAACAAAUGCGGGAGCUGAACAUAGGGGAACACACACUCGGUCCCGGCGGUUACAGAGUGGCGGAGCCUAUAUGGGACAAGGAGGAGGCGGACCGUGCCGAGCAAGGCCUACUGUCCCUCUUCGAUAAAUACGGUGACAAGCAGACCAGGAACUUUGUCAGGGCCCGGUACAAGAAGGACCCGAAAACAAAGGAGCUUACCACGGAUCCGAAGACCAGGCAGCUUGAGCUUGUUCUGGUAAGGAAUACACCCCCGCGUAAUUAGCUCCAUAUGGUUGCAUUCUAAUUAAUGAAGCCAAAUUUCUAAAUGGUUCACAUUCCUUCCGCAGGCGACUGAAAGCAGUAGCGCGGGGUCGACUAAGAGCAACCCUUGGGACACCACUCUAAAUAGGGCGUUGAAUGUAAUGAAGAACAAGGAUAAGCUCAGUAAGCCAACGUCAGCUGGUCGUGUGGCCGGCAAAGGCUUGUCGACAAAAUGGGGGUCAUACUAUACCGCUGGUGUACGGAAGGAGAAAAAGACCAGCUCAGAAAGCCAGGCGCGAGAGGUUCAAGAACUCAAGGCACAGGUGGCGCGGAUUCCGAAGAUUGUCCAAGCGCAAGUGGAACAACGACUCGAAGCGACGAUCACUGCCAUUGUGCCUACCUUGAUCUCGGGGUUGAGUGCGUGGAUUGCGGGCGGCCAACAGGGGCCGCCCCCGAUUCCUAGCUUCACGGCCAGCAACUCGCAUAAUGCGAUGGCGGGGCCAUUGGUGCCUCCGGCGGAGGCGGCAUUGGUGUCUUCGACGCCGGCACGGGAGCUUAAUGCACCCGGGUGUACGCCGGCCGGCACCUCUGCAGCAAGCGGCCCCUCCUCAACUGCACUCCCGCCGUUGGUGGUGCGUCGACAUUAGCCGAGCUCGACGCCAUCAUCACGGUAACUAAUUAAGCCUCUCUCAGCCGAGGACUUCAUCUCCUUGCCUUUGACUGGGCAUCCCUGACACCCUACAUGUUUUCGCAGGGCACCGCCGAUGUUCCGUGCACUCUCCUCCACUUCGUGAACAACGAGUUGGUCGAUGUCGCCAAGGGCAAAAUCGUUCAACCGAGCAACCCCUUGUUCCACGGUACCCAGAUGCCACCCAACUUGUUUAGGGUUCAACUGGUUCGGGUGCUGCCAGGCUGCAACGACUUGUUACCUCUGAUUCGACCCGUCGGGGCCGACGAUGAUGACGUGAUGACCCUCAGCGCCUGCCUGAGCUGGCCCCUGCUUUGGCCGAAGAGCCAGAUUCGUUUGGGGACGGGGGACACCACCCCAAAGACAACACCGCCAGUCGUGCCGGCGCCAAGUCGGCCCCAUGGCAAGACCGCCGCAACGGUGCCGGACAUCCCUAUGCCACUGGAUCAAAACAUGCAUAUGGCAUAGGAUCAGAACGACGACGACGACGACGAUGAUACAUUUGGCAACGUCGAUCAGUACUUUGCCGAUCAUGGGUACGAUGGCGACUUCAUGGGGCCUCCUUCUCAAGAACCAAACCCAACAAAAGACGUGUGCGAUCUAGCUGGUACUGCGGAGAAGCCAAGUUGCAACAGGCGCCGUCUGGCGUUCAGCUCUCAGGAGACGCCUCCAGCUGCCGACUUCACCGAGCCUCAGAUAGGCGAGGUGCGAAAUAUUAUCAGCCCCAACACACUCAAGAAGGCGGUCUGUGAGCAGAACUCGGUCCCAUUACAGGAGAAGAAGAAGGCACGCAAAAUAAAGACUAAGAAGGGUGCGAGCCAGCCGGCACCGAGUACGAUCCGUGCUCAGGACGGGCCACCUUCACCGCAGGAUAUCUCGAGGAGGGUGCAUGUGGUGGGUAGGGCGAUGCUACCGACAAAUAUGCUCAAUGCUGCAACCGGUGCUAUGCGGAGUCUGCAUGACAGUGUUCUUUCUUUGGAGAAGCGGCGUCUCAGAGAGAAGGAUGUGGCAUACCCGGUUUUUGCGGCCAAGGUGCCAGAGGGCAAGGGCUUUGUGGAUAACUCCAUCGGGCGUAUGAUCGUCCUAUGUUUUGAUGACAUCCACGCUAUGUUUAACCUUCAUCCGCUGCACUACACCUUCGUUCGGCUAUUUUCGCUGAGUAUGGAGAUGCGGAUCAUUCGCGACAAGACCCCGGACAUCGUGAUAGUCGACCCCUUCUACAUGCGUGCCAAGAUCUUGGGCAGCGCUGGGGACCAGCAAGUCGCGAGUUCUUACCUCGAAGGCGUCAUUCUGGCAAACCAAGAUAAGGAUAACUUCCUCAUGCCUUACUUUCCCGACUAAGUCCUCCCCUCAACCGGCCCAUAACAUAUGAAUUCUUACAUUUCGAUCGUUUUUCUUUUAACAUUCCGUGUUUUCUGCAGUGACACACGUUGCACGCUCAUCCUCCUAAGCCCCAAAUAUUCCAUGGCCACGUAUUUCGACCCGGACCAUCAGUCGAACGUAGACUACACAAAUGUCAAGAAGGUUCUUGAUGAUGUUCUCCCCGGCUACGCCAAAUCUGGAGGCACCUUCACCAAGCCUAUUCAUAAGUACGGCAAGCACGGGUUCUCCCACAAUACGACGUUCUACUGCGUCAAGCAGCCGCCUGGCGGUCAGAAGGGUGCCUACUACGCCAUCCAUCACAUGCGGGCGAUCGUACGGGACCAUCAUCAACUUCUGCUACCGAGUAAACUCAAAGAUUGGGCAAAGAGCGUGUCGGCAAUCCAGGACGCGGACCUCUGACAAGAAUUCUUUCGCAUCCAGUCGGAGUUUGCGGAAAUCAUCCAUCAAGAUGUCCUUCGUACCUCGGGGCAGUUCUACCUCAACAAUCAACCGUCCAACAGUGACAUCGACACAAUGCUACAAAUGCAGGCUGACAACAACCGUUAUUUCAUGACUCCCACGAUAGACGGCGGCUUCAUCCACGCUCUGGUCCCUUGAGUCGAGUCGAAAGCAGUGAUGCUGUCUCUAGUUCUGAAACAUUGAUUGGCUCAUGUUGUAAUUAAACUUUAAUGAACUUGUAGUAUGUCUCUUUGGUUUCGAGAGUCGUUCAACUUAGAUGUAAUCGAUGCUAUUAAUGUCUUGCUUUUCUCUUCCGAUCAUUCUGUUGCAUACUUAUAUAUUGCUUAUGUAUUGUCUAUGAAUUGGUACUAACAUUUUGUUUGGCUAGUGCAUAGCGAUGCCGACGUAUGUCGUGUACAAGGGUAAGGUUCCCGGAGUCUACGAUGACUGGGAGGAGUGUCGGAGACAGGUUCACCGAUUCUGCGGUAACAGUUACAAAGGGUACACCACUAGGGCCGAGGCCGAAUCUAGAUACGCCCGCUAUCUAGCGGGAGAGGGGAGGGAGCGUUGGAGGAACCGGAUGAAGACGAGUUUCAUCGUGAUGAUGCUCAUCGUGAUGACCGCAGCUCUCUUCUAUGUGAUGGUAGUUUAGAUGAUCGAUAUCGACUUGUAAUGUGAAGACAAACUCGCUACUCGCGGUCUCGAGACUUGUAAUAUAAUGUUCUAUCUUUGUUCGGUCUUUUCAAUUCGGAGACUAAUAUGAUGAAUUGUAUUCGGAGACUAAUAUGAUGAAUUGUAUUCAAAGACUAAUCUUCUAUUGUAUUCAAUGAAUUUGUUGUUGAUGUGUGUUGUCUAUAUUUUGUCAAAUUAUACAUUUUGUAACCUUGCAAAAAACAGAAAAUAAAAAAUAAAAAAACCUAAUAUUCAUACUAAUGGCGCAUCACAUGACAGUGCGCCAUUAGUAUGACAAAGCAUACUAAUGGCGCAUCACUGGAUAGUGCGCCAUUAGUAUGCCACGGUUACUAAUGGCGCAUCCCGUUGUAGUGCGCCAUUAGUAUGCCAAAGCACCUGGGUAUACAUGGCCCCUGGGAGGCAUACUAAUGGCGCACCGUGGCCUACACUAAUGGCGCACCACUGGUGCGCCAUUAGUAUACCAGAUACAAAUGGCGCACCAGUGGUGCGCCAUUAGUAAAAAUUACUAAUGGCGUGCUAGUAAUGGCGCACCAGUGAUGCGCCAUUAAUGGCCAAAUUAGGUGCGCCAUUAGUAGCGGUUUUUCUAGUAGUGUGGCCUCAAACCAUUUCGCGGAAUCUGGGCUCACCAUCGCUUCCUCAUAGUUCAUAGGUUUAUCAUGGUCUAGUAACAUGACUUCCUGAACAAUAUUACCGUACUACUCUGGUGCAGACUGUACUUUGGAAGACCUACGAGGUUUUAUAGUAACUUGAUCUGAAGUUUCAUGAUCAUCAUCGUUAGCUUCCUCACUAAUUGGUGUAGGAAUCACUGGAACUGAUUUCCGUGAUGAAUUACUUUCCAAUUCGGAGAAGGUACAAAUUACCUUAUCAAGCUCUACUUUCCUCCCACUCACUUCUUUCGAGAGAAACGCCUUCUUUAGAAAGGAUCCGAAUUUAGCAACGAAACUCUUGCCCUCAGAUCUGUGAUAGAAGGUCUACCCAACAGUUUCCUUUGGGUAUUCUAUGAAGACGCACUUCUCCGAUUUGGGUUUGAGCUUAUCAGGAUGAAACUUUUUUACAUAAGCAUCACAACCCAAAACUUUAAGAAACGACAACUUGGGUUUCUUGCCAAACCACAGUUCAUAGGGUGUCAUCUCAACGGAUUUAGAUGGUGCCCUAUUUAACGUGAAUGCAGCUGUCUCUAAUGCAUAACCCCAAAACGAUAUUGGUAAACUGAUAAGAGAUAUCAUAGAUCGCACCAUAUCUAGUAAAGUACGAUUACGACAUUGGGACACACCACAUUGUUUAUGGUGUUUCAGGUGGCGUGAGCUGUGAAACUAUUCCACAUUGUUUUAAUUAAAGACCAAACUCGUAACUCAAAUAUUCGUCUCCGCGAUCAGAUCGCAAAAACUUUAUUUUCUUGUUAUGAUGAUUUUUCCACUUCACUCUGAAAUUCUUUGAACCUUUCAACUAUUUCAGACUUAUGUUUCAUCAAGUAGAUAUACCCAUAUCUGCUCAAAUCAUCUUGUGAAGGUCAGAAAAUAACGAUACUUGCCACGAGCAUCAACACUCAUUGGAUCGCAUACAUCGGUAUGUAUUAUUUCCAAUAAGUCAGUAGCUUGUUCCAUUGUUUCGGAGAACGGAGUUUUAGUCAUCUUGCACAAAAAGGCACGGUUCGCAAGCAUCAAAUGAUUCAUAACCAAGUGAUUCCGAAAAUCCAUCUUUAUGGAGUUUCUUCAUGCGCUUUACACCGAUAUGACCAAAACGGCAGUGCCAAAAAUAAGUUGCACUAUCAUUAUUAACUUUGCAUCUUUUGGCUUCAAUAUUAUGAAUAUGUGUAUCACUACGAUCGAGAUCCAACGAACUAUUUUCAUUGGGUGUAUGACCAUUAAAGGUUUUAUUCAUGUAAAUAGAAUAACAAUUAUUCUCUAAUUUUUAAAUGAAUAACCGUAUCGCAAUAAACAUGAUCAAAUCAUAUUCAUGCUUAACGCAAACGCCAAAUAACAUUUAUUUAGGUUUAACACUAAUCCCGAAAGUAUAAAGAGUGUGUGAUGAUGAUUAUAUCAAUAUUGGAACUAGUUCCAACACUCAUCGUCACUUCCCCUUCAACUAGUCUCUGCUUAUUCUGUAACUCCUGUUUCGAGUUACUAAUCUUAGCAACCGAACAAGUAUCAAAUACUUAGGGGCUACUAUAAACACUAGUAAGGCACACAUCAAUAACCUGUAUAUCAAAUAUACCCUUGUUCACUUUGCCAUCCUUCUUAUCAACCAAAUAUUCAAGGUAUUUCCACUUCCAGUGACCAUUUCCUUUGCAGUGUAAGCACUCAGUUUCAGGCUUUGGUUCCGCUUUUGGGCUUCUUCGUGGGAGUGACAACUUGCUUGUCAUUCUACUUGAAGUUCCCUUUCUUUCCCUUUGCCCUUUUCUUGAAACUAGUGAUCUUGUUAACCAUCAACACUUGAUGCACUUUCUUGAUUUCUACCUUCGUUGAUUACAGCAUGACGAAGAGCUUGGGAAUUGUUUUCGUCAUCCCUUGCAUACUAUAGUUCAUCGCGAAGUUCUAGUAACUUAGUGAUGGUGACUAGAGAAUUCUGUCAAUCACUAUCUUAUCUGGAAGAUUAACUCCCACUUGAUUCAAGCGAUUGAAGUACCCAGACAAUCUGAGCACAUGCUCACUAGUUGAGUGAUCUCCUCCAUCUUUUAGCUAUAGAACUUGUUGGAGAUUUCAUAUCUCUCAACUCGAGUAUUUGCUUGAAAUAUUAACUUCAAUUCCUGGAACAUCUCGUAUGGUCCAUGAUGUUCAAAACAUCUUUGAAGUCCCGAUUCUAAGCCGUUAAGCAUGGUGCACUAAACUAUCAAGUAGUCAUCAUAUUGAGCUUAGCCAAACGUUCAUAACGUCUGCAUCUUCUCCUGCAAUAGGUCUGUCACCUAGCGGUGCAUUAAGGACAUAAUUCUUCUAUGCAGCAAUGAGGAUAAACCUCAGAUCACGGAUCCAAUCCGCAUCAUUGCUACUAACAUCUUUCAACACAAUUUUCUCUAGGAACAUAUCAAAAUAAACAUAUGAAAGCAACAACACGAGCUAUUGAUCUACAACAUAAUUUGCAAAAUACUACCAGGACUAAGUUCAUGAUAAAUUUAAGUUCAAUUAAUCAUAUUACUUAAGAACUCCCACUUAGACAGACAUCUCUCUAGUCAUCUAAGUGAUCACGUGAUCCAAAUCAACUAAACCAUAACCGAUCAUCACGUGAGAUGGAGUAGUUAUCAAUGGUGAACAUCACUAUGUUGAUCAUAUCUACUAUAUGAUUCACGCUCGAUCUUUCGGUCUCCGUGUUCCAAGGCCAUAUCUGCAUAUGCUAGGCUCGUCAAGUUUAACCUGAGUAUUCUGCGUGUGCAAAACUGGCUUGCACCCGUUGUAGAUGGACGUAGAGCUUAUCACACCCGAUCAUCACGUGGUGUCUGGGCACGACGAACUUUGGCAACGGUGCAUACUCAGGGAGAACACUUCUUGAUAAUUUUAGUGAGAGAUCAUCUUAAAAUGCUACCGUCAAUCAAAGCAAGAUAAGAUGCAUAAAGGAUAAACAUCACAUGCAAUCAAUAUAAGUGAUAUGAUAUGGGCAUCAUCAUCUUGUGCUUGUGAUCUCCAUCUCCGAAGCACCGUCGUGAUCACCAUCGUCACCGACACGACACCUUGAUCUCCAUCGUAGCAUCAUUGUCGUUUACGCCAUCUAUUGCUUCUACGACUAUCACUACCGCUUAGUGAUAAAGUAAAGCAAUUACAGGGCGUUUGCAUUUCAUACAAUAAAGCGACAACCAUAUGGCUCCUGCCAGUUGCCGAUAACUUCGGUUACAAAACAUGAUCAUCUCAUACAAUAAAAUAUAGCAUCACGUCUUGACCAUAUCACAUCACAACAUGCCCUGCAAAAACAAGUUAGACGUCCUCUACUUUGUUGUUGCAAGUUUUACGUGGCUGCUACGGGCUGAGCAAGAACCGUUCUUACCUACGCAUCAAAAACCACAACGAUAGUUUGUCAAGUUGGUGCUGUUUUAACCUUCGCAAGGACCGGGCGUAGCCACACUCGGUUCAACUAAAGUUGGAGAAACUGACACCCGCCAGCCACCUGUGUGCAAAGCACGUCGGUAGAACCAGUCUCGCGUAAGCGUACGCGUAAUGUCGGUCCGGGCCGCUUCAUCCAACAAUACCGCCGAACCAAAGUAUGACAUGCUGGUAAGCAGUAUGACUUGUAUCGCCCACAACUCACUUGUGUUCUACUCGUGCAUAUAACAUCAAACCGUAAAACCUAGGCUCGGAUGCCACUGUUGGGGAACGUAGUAAUUUCAAAAAAAUUCCUACGCACACGCAAGAUCAUGGUGAUGACAUAGCAACGAGAGGGGAGAGUGUUGUCUACGUACCCUCGUAGAACGUUAAGCGGAAGCGUUAUGACAACGCGGUUGAUGUAGUCGUACGUCUUCACGAAUCGACCGAUCCAAGCACCGAACGUACGGCACCUCCGUGUUCAGCACAUGUCCAGCUCGAUGACGUCCCCCGGACUCCAAUCCAGCGAAGCUUCGGGGAUGAGUUCCGUCAGCACGAUGGCGUGGUGACGAUGAUAAUGUUCUACCGGCGCAGGGCUUUGCCUAAACUCCGCAACGAUAUGACCGAGGUGGAAUAUGGUGGAGGGGGGCACCGCACACGGCUAAGGAAUGAUCCGUAGAUCAACUUGUGUGUCUAUGGGGUGCCCCCUGCCCCCGUAUAUAAAGGAGUGGAGGAGGGGGAGGGCCGUCCCUCUCUAUGGCGCGCCCUAGGGGAGUCCUACUCCCACCGGGAGUAGGAUUCCCCCUUUCCUAGUAGAACUAGGAGCCCUUCCAUGUAGUAGGAGUAGGAGAGAAGGAAAGGGAAGAGAGAAGGAGAAGGAAGGAAGGGGGCGCCCCCUCUCCUUAGUCCAAUUCGGACUAGUCCAUGGGGAGGGGUGCGGCCACCCUUUUGGCCCUUUCUCUCCUUUCCCGUAUGGCCCAUUAAGGCCCAAUACGAAUUCCCGUAACUCUCCGGUACUCCGAAAAAUACUUGAAUCACUCAGAACCUUUCCGAUGUCCGAAUAUAGUCGUCCAAUAUAUCGAUCUUUACGUCUCGACCAUUUGAAGACUCCUCGUCAUGUCCCCGAUCUCAUCCGGGACUCCGAACUCCUUCGGUACAUCAAAAAUCAUAAACUCAUAAUAUAACUGCCAUCGCAACCUUAAGCGUGCGGACCCUACGGGUUCGAGAACUAUGUAGACAUGACCUAGAACUAUUCUCGGUCAAUAACCAAUAGCGGAACCUGGAUGCUCAUAUUGGUUCCCACAUAUUCUACGAAGAUCUUUAUCGGUCAAACCGCAUAACAACAUACGUUGUUCCCUUUAUCAUCGGUGUGUUACUUGCCCGAGAUUCGAUCAUCGGUAUCCCUAUACCUAGUUCAAUCUCGUUACCGGCAAGUCUCUUUACUCGUUACGUAAUGCAUCAUUCCGUAACUAACUAAUUAGCUACAUUGCUUGCAAGGCUUAUAGUGAUGUGCAUUACCGAGAGGGCCCAGAGAUACCUCUCUGACAAUCGGAGUGACAAAACCUAAUCUCAAAUUAUGCCAACUCAACAUGUACCUUUGGAGACAUCUGUAGAGCACCUUUAUAAUCACCCAGUUAUGUUGUGACGUUUGGUAGCACACAAAAUGUUCCUCCGGUAAACGGGAGUUGUACAAUCUCAUAGUUGCAGGAACUUUGUAUAAGUCAUGAAGAAAGCAAUAGCAACAUACUAAAUGAUCAAGUACUAAGCUAACGGAAUGGGUCAAGUCAAUCACAUCAUUCUCCUAAUGAUGUGAUCCCAUUAAUCAAAUGACAACACAUGCCUAUGGUCAGGAAACAUAACCAUCUUUGAUCAAUGAGCUAUUCAAGUAGAGGCAUACUAGUGACACUAUGUUUGUCUAUGUAUUCACACAUGUAUUAUGUUUCCGGUUAAUACAAUUCUAGCAUGAAUAAUAAAAAUUUAUCAUGAUAUAAGGAAAUAAAUAAUAACUUUAUUAUUGCCUCUAGGGCAUAUUUCCUUCACUUGGUACUUAGCAUGAAGAUUUUUUAUGUCAUCAACUAAGGACUGUGAGCGGGUCAUUUCAGCGUCCAACGGGUCAUCACUUUUGUCUAACAGUUUUUGAGUAUGUUCCAUAGCCUUUUGUCGUUCAGUUGCAAUUUUAGCAAGUGUUUUGUAGCUGGGUUUGGAUUCACAAUCAGAGUCAUCUUCACCUGAAGUUUGAAAGUAAGCAUCGCGUGAUUUUACCUUGGCACCACGUGCCAUGAAGCAGUAGGUGGGAGUAGGAUCGUCUUCGUCAUUAGCUUCAGCGUUGGUGUGGAAGUCAUUGUCUUCAGUGUUGAAGAUGGACUUGGCAACAUAAGCAGUGGCUAGAGCCAGACUUGCAACACUAGGGUCAGACUCCUCUCCAGACUCCACCUUCGCCUCCUCCGAAGCAGACUCCUCCUCUGAAUCCAUUUCCUUGCCAACAAAAGCACGAGCCUUGCCAGAUGAGCUCUUCCUAUAUGAUGAAGACUUGGAAGAAGACUUAGAAGACUUUGAGGAUUUCUUCUUCUUCUUGUCAUCAGAAUCAUAUUCCUUGCUUUUCUUCUUCUUCUUCUCAUUGUCCCACUGUGGACACUCAGAUAUGUAGUGACCAGGUUUCUUGUACUUGUGGCAGGUUCUCUUUUUGUGAUCAUGUGUGGAAGCUUCAUCAUUUCUUGAGCUAGAUUGUGAAGACUUUCUGAAGCCUUUCUUCUUUGUGAAUUUCUGGAACUUCUUCACAACCAUAGCAAGUUCCCUUCCAAUGUCUUCAGGAUCUUCAGAACUGCAGUCAGAUUCUUCUUCAGAUGAGGAAACAACUUUUGCUUUCAAGGCACGAGUUCGGCCAUAGCUUGGACCAUAGAUAUCUCUUUUCUCAGAUAGCUGGAACUCAUGUGUGUUGAGCCUCUCAAGUAUAUCAGGCGGAUCGAGUGUCUUGAAGUCAGGACGUUCUUGUAUCAUGAGGGCAAGGGUGUCAAAGGAGCUGUCAAGUGAUCUCAGCAGUGUCUUGACGAUUUCAUGCUUGGUAAUCUCAGUUGCACCAAGAGCUUGAAGUUCAUUUGUGAUAUUAGUGAGGCGAUCAAACGUGAGCUGGACAUUCUCAUUGUCGUUUCUCUUGAAGCGGUUGAAGAGGUUGCGAAGAACACUGAUUCUUUGAUCUCUCUGGGUUGAAACGCCUUCGUUGACCUUGGAUAGCCAGUCCCAGACUAGCUUCGACGUUUCCAGAGCACUCACACAGCCAUACUGUCCUCUGGUCAGAUGACCACAGAUGAUGUUCUUUGCAGUAGAGUCCAGUUGAAUGAACUUCUUGACAUCAGUGGGGGUGACACCUUCACCAUUUUUGGGAACGCCAUUCUUGACGACAUACCAGAGGUCGACAUCAAUGGCUUCAAGAUGCAUGCGCAUCUUAUUCUUCCAGUAGGGAUAUUCAGUUCCAUCGAACACGGGGCAAGCAGCGGAGACCUUGAUUAUCCCUGCAGUCGACAUAGCUGAAACUCCAGGUGGUUAAACCGAAUCACACAGAACAAGGGAGUACCUUGCUCUGAUACCAAUUGAAAGUGCUAUUAUCGACUAGAGGGAGGGGGGGUGAAUAGGCGAUUUUUAUGAAAGUCUUCAAAACUUGGAAGUUUCGAAGACAAACAACAGAAACAACCUAAUUGAUAUGCAGCGGAAGAUAAACUACCGUAAACAAGCCAUAGUCAAGUAUGUAGUGAUGUGAAAGUACAGGACUAAUAGCAGUUAGGUAAUAAGGAUCAAGAUGGAAGAUAGUGUGAAGCCAAUCAACAAUAGUACUCAAGCAAUGAAGUCAAACAGAUACACGGACAAGCAAUGACUUCAUGAAGACAAACUAAAGUAAGGUUGGAAGGGAUAGAACCAGUUGCUUGUUGAAGACACAGGAUUUGUUGGACCAGUUCCAGUUGCUGUGACAACUGUACGUCUGGUUAGAGAGGCUGAGAUUUAACUCAGAAGACCGUGUCUUCACCUUAUUCCCCCUGAGCUAAGGACACCCAGUUCUCGCCCAAUCACUCUGGUAAGUCUUCAAGGGAGACUUCCAAACCUUCACAGACUUUGUUCACCGGCAAUCCACAAUGACUCUUGGAUGCUCAGAACGCGACGCCUAGCCGGCUGGAGGAUUCACAGUCCUCAAGUGUAAUAAGUCUUUAGGUCACACAGACGGAAAGACUUCAGUGAUGCCUAACACUCUUUGGCUCUGGGUGUUUGGGCUUUGUCCUCGCAAGGAUUUCUCUCUCUCAAAUGCUUCGAGGUGGGUUGCUCUCAAACGACAAAAGCCGUGCACAAACUCUGAGCAGCCACCAAUUUAUGGUGUAGGGGGUGGGCUAUUUAUAGCCACUAGGCAACCCGACCUGAUUUGUCCAAAAUGACCCUGGGUCACUAAGGAACUGACACGUGUUCCAACGGUCAGAUUUCAAACACACGCGACAACUUUACUUGGGCUACAAGCAAAGCUGACUCAUCUAGCUCUGGAUAAGAUUUGCUCUCAUUGUCUUCGCUCGAAGACAUAGGAUUUGAGUUGAGCAUCACUUCAGUCACUCUGACUUAGUUCACUUGGACCCCACUUAACAGUACGGUGGUUCCUAUGACUCAACAAAGAAGAAAAUGAAACAGCGAAUCCACACAGUCUUCGCGCUCCAAAGUCUUCACACAAUGUCUUCUCAUGUCAUAGUCUUCAAUAUGAAUAUCUUCUCAUACCACCAUUGUCUUCAAUGUCUUCAUACAUUUUUAGGGGUCAUCUCUGAUAGGUAAACCAAAUCAAUGAGGGACACUACCUGCGUUAUCCUGCAAUUCUCACAAACGCUUCAGUCCCUCAACCAACUUUGUCGUCAAUACUCCAAAACCAACUAGGGGUGGCACUAGAUGCACUUACAAGAGCAAAACCUCAAAAUACUCUGAAGAUUUAAAGAGUUGGACGACUUUGAAGAUUUAUUGACCUUUAGAAGACCAAACAUGUUAUAUACUUACGUUAGAUGCGAUGAUUGUGAGUUGUCAUUUGUUUGAUGUUUUUCCGACGACCACAAAAUAAAACCCGUCUCUUCAAAACUAUUGUUUGUAUUGUGUGUAUCCCUCUCCCUCCAACUUUAUCUCGUCCUUACCCAAAACCCUUGGAACCAAUAGAGGAUGAAUGGAGAUGAACUCAUAUUUUCUGAACCGAUGACUCAAUUGGAGACGGACCGAUGGAUUCAGAACAUGGAAGAUCACAUGAAGAAUAACACUAUAACCGGAAAGGAUAUGUCCCAGCAUGCUCUUCAGUGCUUUGAGAGAGGUGCUGCUACUUGGUGGAGGAUGUACCAAACCAUCAACCGAUGGCCAAGAUUAACCACUUGGGAAGAAUUUAAGUUGACUCUGCUAAGGUCUCGUCUUGUGUCCCCGAAUUUGAAGCCUUAUGGAAAUGAUAUGAAGAAACCUUGUGCAUGCAAGCUUGUGGAGCAAUAGGACACAACCAUAAAGAACACAAGGAUGAAUGCCCUCAUUGUGAAGAAAGUCACCCAGCUGAAAGAAUGCCCAACUAGACAGAUUACUUGUUUCUUGUGUGAAGGGACUACCCACUACCCUGCUCAGUGUCACAUUUACCCCAUGGUACAAAGAACCAUCCAGCAGAAGAAAGAAGCAAUGAAAGGAGCCCUCAAGGAAACUUUAGAAGAACCUGCGAUGAAGGAAGAGGCGGAGGGCACACCUGAAGAAGACCCAAUUAAAACCUGCACCAAGUCAUGCUAUUCAUGUGGAGAAGAAGGACACAUCUCCCAGAAUUGUCUGAAGGGGGAUCUAGUUGCAUUCCCAACAGAGGAAGUAGAGUGUGACCCACAAUAAAUAGAAGCCCUAAUUGGCACGGAAAAGUCCAGGAAGAAAAAUAGAUUGGAUUCCAGGAACAACCCAAUUUCUACAAAGGACCUGAGUCAUAUCACAUGUUUCAGGUGCAAAGAUUCAGGACACUACUUUAGCAGUUGCCCAAAAAGGAAGACGAGGACCCAAGGAUGCCAUGUGAUCACAAGGAAACCUCGAGACUUGUCAUAAGUAAUAUGUUUCCGCUGUAAUGAAGCAAGGCACUUUGCCAGAGAUUAUCCCAAGGAGGAUAUUCGUGUUAAAUAGUUGAGUCUGUGAGGAAUAUAGUAGUAGUGGUGGGAACAAUUCUUUUAUAUUGAGGUGUUGAGUUGAGGCAUGUAAUGGAAAUGCAAAAGAUUGCAUGAAAUUUAUGAAAUCAAUAAAGUUCAUGUGUCAUGAUUUCAUACGAGGAAUUUUACGAGUUGUUACUAUAGGAAGAAAGAUUUUGACCAUUUUCGAGGAUAUGAGAAAUAUGGUCUAUGGAAGAACUUGUGCAAUUCCAAGGGUGGUAGUACCCUGUGAGGACCCUUGACCCCUGGAAAGGAUAAUGAUAUUCCAUGAAGUGGACUACGGACAAAAUAAGUACGAGUUUUAUCUCAAUAAGUGGGAAUACCCCAAGAGUAUAAAGGGAUGAAGUACUAUUUGAUAUAAAGGAGGUAUAAUAUUGGUAAUAUGGAGCAACUGUAACCCCAUGAUGAGUCUGAGUAAUCACGUCUUAGUUUGGUACCAAUAGAAGGAAGGGGACAGUACAAUUGGAUGGAUUUAAGAAUGCUGGGAAGUUGGAAGUUGGAAUAAAAUGAUCAGUUGCCCCUGAUGAUGAGUUCAAGGUUUACAAGUGAUGAGAUGGGCCAUAACCCACAGGCCCUAGGACCUGCCAAGAAGCAAGCACACUAUUGCUGAAGAAAAAACCCUGGAAGAAGUAACGACUUUAUCAACAAACGAUCUUAUAGGAGUUACACAAAACCUGAGAGUUGUGAAGAAGCAAUAGAUGUUUGUUUGGCUUGCAGAAUCAAUGGAUUUAUCCAAAUUUAGUUCGGGGACAAUGAGAAAUUCUGUAAUGCUGGUGAGGACGACCGAGUGUUAGAAUGCGCGAUUCACUAAACCAUAUACAAGGUAAUGAUUUGGGUGUGGAAUGGAUUGAUCACCAUGCCGAUUUACUCUUAUUAUUCGCCUCUGUUAUAUGGGAUGGUAAUCUGAGUGACUUACCCAUAGUAGAGCGACGAUGAUCAAAACCUUGUUUAAAGCCUUAGAAUGGUAUGACAAUUUUCCCUUGUACAAGGCAGUUGUUGCCAACCGUAGGUCAUACGGCAAGAAUGAAGUCCAGACCCAUUUUCUGCAGGGACCCAGUCAAAUUGUUUGAUGACCACUGAGGGAGUCCUGGACUAGGGGGUGUCCGGAUAGCCGGACUAUCAUCAUCGGCCGGACUCCAAGACUAUGAAGAUACAAGAUUGAAGACUUCGUCCCGUGUCUGGAUGGGACUUUCCUUGGCGUGGAAGGCAAGCUUGGCUAUACGGAUAUGUAGAUCUCCUACCAUUGCAACCGACUCUGUGUGACCCUAGCCCUCUCCGGUGUCUAUAUAAACCGGAGGGUUUUAGUCCGUAGGACAACAUAACCAUUACAAUAAUCAUACCAUAGGCUAGCUUCUAGGGUUUAGCCUCCUUGAUCUCAUGGUAGAUCCACUCUUGUACUACCCAUAUCAUCAAUAUCAGUCAAGCAGGAGUAGGGUUUUACCUCCAUCGAGAGGGCCCGAACCUGGGUAAAAACAUCGUGUCCCAUGUCUCCUGUUACCAUCCGCCUAGACGCACAGUCCGGGACCCCCUACCCGAGAUCCGCCGGUUUUGACACCGACAUUGGUGCUUUCAUUGAGAGUUCCUCUGUGUCGUGACCGAUAGGCUUGAUGGCUUCUUCAAUCAGCAACGACGCAGUCCAGGGUGAGACUUUUCUCCCCGGACAGAUCUUCGUAUUCGGCGGCUUCGCACUGCGGGCCAAUUCACUUGGCCAUCUGGAGCAGAUCGAAAGCUACGCCCCUGGCCACCAGGUCAGAUUUGGAAGCCUAAACUUCACGGUGGACAUCCGCGGACACUUGAUCUUUGAUGGAUCUGAGCCGCAGCCGAGUGUGCCGCACUGUUACGAUGGGCAUGAUCUAACUCUGCCGCUGGAUAGUACCUUGGAGGACGCACACGAAUCCGCUCCGACCCAUAGUUCGGAGCCGAUCAUGCAGAUCGAGGACGGGUGGCUGGACACCGCCUCGGGAGCUGCAACAUCCACGACGAUGGAGCCGAACACUGACCUCGUCCCUAAUAAAGCUUGUGACUCCGAGGCGCCGGACUCCAUACCGGACUCCGAACCUCCCGCGCCCCUGCCAAUCGAAUCCGAUUGGGCGCCGAUCAUGGAGUUCACUGCCGCGGACAUCUUUCAACACUCACCCUUUGGCGACAUCUUGAAUUCGCUAAAGCAUCUCUCGCUAUCCGGAGAGCCCUGGCCGGACUACGGCCAGGAUGAUGGGGAUGCGGACGACGAAGAAAUUCAAAGCCCACCCACCACCCACUUUGUAGCCACUGUCGAGGACCUAACCGACAUGCUAGACUACGACUCCGAAGACAUCGACGGUAUGGACGACGACGCCGGAGACGAUAAAGAACUAGCGCCUACGGGGCACUGGAAGACCACCUCGUCAUACGACAUAUACAUGGUGGACACCCCAAAAGAUGGGGACAUCGAAGAAGCAACGGAGGCAGAUUCCUUAAAGAAACAGCCCAAGCGCCGACGUCAGCGGCGCCGCUCUAAAUCCCGCCACAGCAAGAAUGGAGAUUCCGGCACAGGAGAUAAUAACACCCCAGAAAGUGCCAAAGACAACCCCCUCCAGCAGGAUUCAGCGCAGGAGGAGGCAGAAGCCAGCCCUCACGAGAGAGCGGCAGACGAAGAGGUCGAGGACGAUAAUUAUAUACCUCCCUCCGGAGACGAGGCAAGCCUCGACGACGACAAAUUCAUCGUGCCUGAGGAUCCCGUCGAACAAGAGCGUUUCAAACACAUGCUAAUGGCCACGGCGAAUAGCCUAAAGAAAAAGCAGCAACAGCUUCAAGCUGAUCAAGACCUACUGGCCAACAGAUGGACCGAGGUCCUCGCGGCCGAAGAGUAUGAACUCGAACGCCCCUCCAAAAGCUACCCAAAAUGCAAGUUGCUCCCCCGAUUAGAGGAGGAGGCAUAUAAACCUUCAUCACCAGGACACAAUACGGCAGACCGACCACCGCGUGGCCGCGACAGAGAGGCAUCUAAGCCCUCCACCAGGACCGUACCCCGGCAUCGCUCGAAAAGUACGAAGCCAAGGGGGAACGCGCUGGACUUGCGGGAUAUAUUGGAGGACAAGGCAAGACAAUCCAGAUCCAUCUAUGGAUCAGGUGGGCGCCCCACGACCCACAACGAAUACUGUCGCGCCGGAUACAGCAACUCCGGCCGGGCCGAACACAGUAGACAACGCUCUCUUGAGCUACGUCGUGAUAUUGCUCAAUAUAGAGGCGCCGCACACCCACUAUGCUUCACAGACAAAGUAUUGGAUCAUCAAAUCCCUGAAGGGUUUAAACCCGUGAACAUUGAAUCCUACGAUGGCACAACAGACCCCGCGGUUUGGAUCGAGGAUUAUCUCCUUCAUAUCCAUAUGGCCCGCAGCGACGAUCUCCACGCCAUCAAAUACCUCCCACUCAAGCUUAAAGGACCAGCUCGGCAUUGUCUUAACAGCUUGCCCGCAGAGUCAAAUGGGUGUUGGGAAGACCUGGAAGCCGCAUUCCUCGACAACUUCCAGGGCACAUAUGUGCGGCCACCAGAAGCUGAUGACCUAAGCCACAUAAUUCAGCAGCCAGACGAAUCGGCCAGACAGUUCUGGACACGGUUCUUAACAAAGAAAAAUCAAAUCGUCGACUGUCCGGAUGCAGAGGCCCUUGCAGCCUUCAAACAUAACAUCCGCGACGAGUGGCUGGCCCGGCACCUAGGACAGGAAAAGCCGAAAUCCAUGGCAACACUCACAUCACUCAUGAUCCGCUUCUGUGCAGGAGAGGACAGCUGGCUAGCUCACAACAACAACCUUAGCAAAAAUGCUGGCAGUCCGGAUACCAAGGACCACAAUGGCAGGUCGCGUCGAAACAAAAACAAACGCCGCAUUAACGGCGAUAACAAUGAGGAUACGGCAGUGAACGCCGGAUUCCGAGGCUCUAAAUCCGGUCAGCGGAAGAAGCCAUUCAAAAGAACCACUCCGGGUCUGUCCAAUUUGGACCGAAUACUCGACCGCUCUUUCCAGAUACAUGGCACUCCCAAAAAGCCAGCUAACCACACCAACAGGGAUUGUUGGGUAUUCAAGCAGGCAGGCAAGUUAAUUGCCGAAAACAAUGACAAGGGGUUGCACAGCGACGACGAGGAAGAGACCCGGCCGCCGAACAGUAGAGGACAGAAGGGUUUCCCCCCACAAGUGCGGACGGUAAACAUGAUAUACGCAACCCAUAUACCCAAGAGGGAGCGGAAGCGUGCACUUAGGGACGUAUAUGCGAUGGAGCCAGUCGCCCCGAAGUUCAAUCCAUGGUCCUCUUGCCCGAUCACUUUCGAUCGAAGAGACCACCCAACCAGUAUCCGCCAUGGCGGAUUCGCCGCAUUGGUUUUAGACCCAAUCGUCGAUGGAUUUCACCUAACCAGAGUCCUGAUGGACGGCGGCAGCAGCCUGAACCUGCUUUAUCAGGAUACAGUGCGCAAAAUGGGCAUAGACCCCUCAAGGAUCAAACCUACAAAGACGACCUUCAAAGGCGUCAUACCAGGCGUUGAGGCCAAUUGUACAGGCUCAGUCACCCUGGAAGUGGUCUUCGGAUCCCCGGAUAAUUUCCGAAGCGAGGAGUUAAUCUUCAACAUAGUCCCGUUCCGCAGCGGCUAUCACGCUCUGCUCGGACGAACCGCGUUCGCAAAGUUCAACGCGGUGCCGCAUUAUGCAUACCUCAAGCUCAAGAUGCCAGGCCCUCGUGGAGUCAUCACGGUCAACGGAAAUACGGAAUGCUCCCUCCGAACGGAGGAACACACAGCGGCUCUCGCGGGAGAAGUACAGAGUAGCCUUUUAAGGCAAUUUUCGAGUCCGGCCGUUAAACGACCGGACAUGGCCAAACGCGCCCGGAGCAACAUCAAUCAAGACCGUCUGGCAUGUUCCGAGCACGCAUAGCAAUGCGGCCCCAACCCCAGCCCUUGCAUGAUUGCAAGACCAGCUCUCCACGUAUAUCAUUACACUCUGGAGAUACCAUGGGCAUAGGGGGAGGGACACGACCACGACAGGCCCAGAGUGUGGCUCAACCACACCAGGGGCUCCCAAGUGCGUCGCUCUUUUUAUCUUUAUUUUUUCUUCUUCUUUUUAUACAUAGGACUCCGUUCACCAGAGGCCCUGUCCGGCGGCGAACCUGCCGAACUCACGAUACAACAGCCAGGGAGGGACAAAGGCUGCGACGAACACUCAGGUGGUCUCCAUUAUGAGCAUUAAAUUUGUUAAAUACACAAGUCCGUAGCCUACCCCUGGAGGGGGACAUAUUUAAAUAGUCCAAUCCCUUGCUUACCGCACUAUUUGUAUCGUUCUGCACUCAUGACAGAAUUCUUUGAAUAAACAAUGCAUUAUUUUUUUGCCUAUAAUUGCAUUACUUUUUAUAUAUAUAUGCUUAUUCUUGACAUCUUGCACCCGUACAUUUUGGUACGGCCAAAUACACCAGGGGCUUAUGUUCCCCGCAUUAUGGUGUGAUAAGUCCGAACACUUUCACAAGUGCGGCACCCCGAACUUAUAGCAUUAUAUGCAUCGGCUCCGAAUCAUGUCUUGGGUCAAUAGUUGGGUUUGCCCGGCUCCCAUGUUUUGGUACCUUACGUUCCGUUCUGUCGGCUAAGGUAGCACUGGGAGAACCACUGCGAUUGCGCCCCGGUUGAGCUGGGCGAGCGCCUCAGUGGAGAAAGCUAAAACUGACUGUCAUGAUAAGGCGAGAGACUGGUCGCUGUUUGAGAGGUCUUUUCGAGUCCCUAAAGACUUAUGCCGCUUCGAGCGAAGAACCGAAUAAUGUCCGGCCAAGGCGUGGAUAGCGCCCCGAACUCGGUCCUCCGAAUACUAGGGGCUUCGCCGAAAUUUAAAAUUAUAGAAUUCUAUGGCUAAGUGAGAGUGUUCAAGCAUUAUAAGUCCGGUUGCCUUGUUCGUUGUGUUGAGCGCCUCCCUAGAUGGACCCAAAAAUGGGAACAAGAGUGCUCAAGUUUAUCCCGAACACCCCAGCACUAGUGGCAUGGGGGCUGAAGCCAACGACUUGCCAUCUCUCAGAUUUAAUAAACGGCCGCACAGAAGGUAAUAUUUUAAAUCAAUAAGCGUUGCUUAGCGCAUAUGAACAAAGUUUUCAGCGCACAGGAUAACACAUUGCGAGUUUACUCAAUAAUUACAUCUCUAGGGCACUCAUCCGCAAUCUUGCGGGCACCCUUCAGGACAGUCUUAUAGUACAUCUCGGGCGUACGAUACUCCUUGCCCGCUGGCGGCGCAUUAGUGAUAAGCCUCUCCGCAUCCAGCCUGCCCCAAUGCACCUUUGCGCGGGCAAGGCCCCGAUGGGCACCUUCAAUACAGGCGGAGCGCUUGAUGACUUCCACCCAGGGGCACGCAUCCACCAGCCGCCGCACGAGGCCGAAGUAGCUCCCAGGCAUGGCCUCUCCAGGCCACAGCCGAACUAUGAGGCCCUUCAUGGCCUGCUCAGCUACCUUGUGGAGUUCGACCAGCUGCUUCAGCUGGUCGCUAGGGGGCACCGGCUGUCCGGCCUCAGCGAACUGAGACCAGAAAACCUUCUCCGUUGAGCUCCCCUCCUCGGCUCGGUAGAAUGCGGCGGCAUCAGACACGCUGCAAGGCAGAUCUGCAAAUGCCCUUGGAGAGCUCCGAAUCCGGGUAAGUAACAGGUAAUUUACAUUAACAUGCUUGCUUUGCAUGAAAAAUGCCUUACCCGCCGCUAUUUUCUUCACCGCCUCAAUCUCCUGGAGGGCCUUAUGGGCCUCGGCCUUAGCGGCUUUGGCACUUUCAAGAGCUGAGGCAAGCUCGGACUCUCGAGUCUUCGAGUCACGCUCCAAACUCUCAUGCUUUUCCAUGAGAGCCUGGAGCUCUUGCCGCACCUCCGCCACCCGCGCCUCCUGCUUCUCUCGCUCCGUCCGUUCCGCGGCCGCAUUGCGUUCGGCUGCGGACAUGGCCUCCUUCAGGGUUGCCACCUCGUUCGUGGCCCCUGCAGUACCCACGUUAUCCUUGUUAUUUUCAUUGCAACCAAAAUCCUUUUUUGUAAGGUACAAAUUUAAAGAUGGUAUUACUCACCUUCUUUGUCCUCGAGCUGCUUCUUGGCAAGGCCGAUCUCUUGCUCGGACCGCUCGAGGUCCUGCUUCAACGCACCGACCUCCGCAGUCAGUGCGGCAGAGGUCAGCAGCGCAGCCUGCAAACCCAUAUUGACACAAUUUUUAGCACUCCUGCGUAUAUCUUUUUUAGAUCCUCAAUCCGGUUUUUCUUUCCGAACACCGAACCGAGCAUCAUGGGCUACUGUCUAUGCGGUAUUACAUUACAUAUUUUUAAACUUCUUACCUCAAAGCCUGUUAGAAGGCUACUGCAGGCUUCGGUCAGCCCGCUCUUGGCGAGCUGAACCUUCUGAAUCACCGCACUCAUGAUAGUGCGGUGUUCUUCCUCGAUGGAAGCGCCUUUGAGCGCCUCCAACAAGUUGUCUGGCGCCUCCGGUUGGACGGAGGCCGCCGGCGUCACGGUCUUGCCCUUCUCGCGAAGGGGCCGCCUGCCGGACUCCGAAACCACUGCGGGUUCCGGCGUGGAGUCCGGUGCAAAGUCCGGGAGGCUGCCUUGUGGCGCCUCCGGAGCCUCCUCCUGAUGGGUCCCUUCCUGGGAUCCCACCUUGGCGUCCUCAGCGUCACAAGGGGUGGAGGCCGUCAGGAUGGAAUCCACAUCCGACGGAGCCAACGACCCGCUCAAUGAAGCCGGGAGAUCAUCAUCGGCCGGACUAUAGAUAGUGUGCGGCAUUAGAAGGACACUAUGUGACUCAAAAGAGAAAAUAUAAAUUAUUCAGGAAUCUGGAUACUUAAGAUCUUGCCGGAGGCCUGGCCCUUGAGGGCCACUCUUCGUCGCCAACAUUGACAUUGGCGGAGCUGUCCGGGGGAAUAGUCCUUCCCCUCUUGGACCCUUCGGCCUCCCCCGUUGGGUAAGCCUUCCUCUUCCUCUCUCCCCCCUCUGGGAGAGAGUCCUCUUUCUCCUCCUCGUCUUCAGGGGAGGAGUCCGCCUCGGAGCCAUCGGACGAUGAGUCCGAUAUCACCUGGCGCCGGGAACUUCUUCGAGUUCCCGUGGCCUUCUUCUUGGCCUUCUUCUCCGGCACCACAUAGAGUGCCGGGACCAGCAGUCCCGUUAAACGGGCGUCCGCUAGGUCUUCGGGAAGGGGAGUCGGACAGUCUACCUGUCCGGACGUCCUCUGCCAGUCCUGUUAAAGGCAUUGGGAGUUUUAGAUCCCACAUAGAGUCAAACUAUAAAAGAAAAUGAGUGUCCCAUAGAGGAUAACAAAGCUUACCUCACCGGCCGGGCGCUCGGUGCUGAAUCCGCGAUCUUCCGUCACGGACGCGGGGGCUUCUCCGCCCUUGAACAGCACCCUCCAGACGGCUUCGUACGUCGUGUCGAAGAGCCCAUUCAGAGUCCGGUGCUGUGCCGGAUCGAACUCCCACAGAUUGAAGGCCCGCUGUUAGCAGGGGAGAAUCCGGCGGACGAGCAUGACUUGGAUCACAUUAACAAGCCUAAGCUUCUUGUUCACCAAGGUCUGGAGACAGGACUGGAGUCCUGUCAGAUCCUCCGAACUACCCCAUAGCAAGCCCUUCUCUUUCUAGGAGGUGAGCUGCAUGGGGAUACCAGAUCUGAAUUCGGGGGCCGCUGCCCAUUUAGGGUCACGCGGCUCGGUGAUGUAGAACCACCCCGAUUGCCAUCCCUUGAUGGACUCCACAAAGGCCCCCUCGAGCCAGGUGACGUUGGGCAUUUUGCCCACCAUGGCGCCUCCGCACUCUGCUUGGACGCCCUUCACUACCUUCGGCUUGACGUUGAAGGUCUUGAGCCACAAGUCGAAGUGGGGCUGGAUGCAGAGGAAGGCCUCGCACACGACGAUAAACGCCGAGAUGUUGAGGAUGAAGUUUGGCGCCGGAUCGUGGAAGUCCAGGCCAUAAUAGAACAUGAGCCCCCGGACGAAGGGAUGAAGUGGGAAGCCCAAUCCGCGGAGGAAGUGGGGAAGGAAUACGACCCUCUCAUGGGGACUGGGGGUGGGGAUGAGCUGCCCCUUGUCGGGCAGCCGGUGCGCGAUGUCGCCGGAAAGGUAUCCGGCGCUACGCAGCUUUGCGAUGUGCUCCUCCGUAACGGAGGAGGCCAACCAUUUGCCUCCCGCUCCAGACAUGGCCGGAGAAGGUUGAGGCGAGAUGUGCGAACUUGGGCGCUGGAGCUCGAGUACGCGGAGAUGGAUAAGCAAAGGAGGAAGAAGGCGUAGGUAAAAAGGUGGAUCCUUAUCCCCUUAUAUAUGGGCGGACGAAGACUAUGCGUCCCCACCGGCCUGGUAAAACUCGCUUAUCUCCCAAGCGCCACCAUCAAUGGCGCGGUUGGGUUACCCACGUCCGUAUUGAUGGGAAUCCCGGAAUAAGGGGAACACGAUCUCUGCUUGGACAAAACGUGCCAAGGAAACCGCUUCGCUAAACGCGCUGAGGUGGUAUAAUAAAAAACGAUUCCAGUAAAGGCUUGGUAGUAGCAUGACGUCGUGCUACAAAAUACGUCAGCAGAUUGAAUUUUUGUACAUAUUAUUCUCUCUACGGUGGUAUGUGGAAUUUAUUUUGCAGAGCCGGACACUAUCCUGGUGUUCACAAUCUUCUAUGAAUUAUUCGGAGGAGGAACCCGCCUUGCAAUGCCGAACAUUAUGCGCCCUGGACUCAUCGUCAUUGAAGCCUGGUUCAGGGGCUACUGAGGGAGUCCUGGACUAGGGGGUGUCCGGAUAGCCGGACUAUCAUCAUCGGCCGGACUCCAAGACUAUGAAGAUACAAGAUUGAAGACUUUGUCCCGUGUCCGGAUGGGACUUUCCUUGGCGUGGAAGGCAAGCUUGGCGAUACGGAUAUGUAGAUGUCCUACCAUUGUAACCGACUCUGUGUAUCCCUAGCCCUCUCCAGUGUCUAUAUAAACCGGAGGGUUUUAGUCCGUAGGACAACAUAACCAUUACAACAAUCAUACCAUAGGCUAGCUUCUAGGGUUUAGCCUCCUUGAUCUCGUGGUAGAUCCACUCUUGUACUACCCAUAUCAUCAAUAUCAAUCAAGCAGGAGUAGGGUUUUACCUCCAUCGAGAGGGCCCGAACCUGGGUAAAAACAUCGUGUCCCUUGUCUCCUGUUACCAUCCGCCUAGACGCACAGUCCGGGACCCCCUACCCGAGAUCCGUCGGUUUUGACACCGACAACCACCAUGAGAUAUCGAUAGUUGUUUAGUAUUGGUGCCAGACCUGUCAGCUAAGAAGACCCAAUCAUGGAAGAACCUUACUAAGAUAAAAGGACAGAAGAAUUGAGGAAAAAGGUUAUGCCACUAUCGGAAGAGCCCAGAGGAGGAAUUAUCCUGAAGAUUUGAGAAGAUCGACACUAUCAACAAUAAGGAUGGAGUAUAUGAGUUUUGAUGGAACCGUAACCAUGUUUCUAAGGGUGGUAGCACCCCAGACCCUCUGUGACGAUCAAUGGAUUUUGUGGAGACCCACGAACCCAACCUAAUUCUUGCUAGCCUCUCCGAAUCUCGAGGGCGAGAUUCAUUUCAAGGGUGGUAGGUUUGUAAAAUCCCAAAAUUCUAAAUUUUGGAAUGUUAUAUUAAAUAAAUAGUUUUGAUUGUUUAUUUCAUUCUGGUGUUGUUGUUUGUGUGAAAUUUACUGAAAUUUGAAAGUUUUUGAAAGUUAAAUGAGAGGGAAUGAAAUGACUUUCCCAAACUUUCACCUUGCAUUUAUGAUCUCCAUGAAUUCAAAUUCUUUUCAAAUACAAAACCCUACAGAGAAGAUGACAUGAGUUCUUCCAUUAUAAAUGAAAAGAGUUUUGAAAAAAUUUGAAUUUCAUUUGGAAAUAUUUCUAAUUCAGAAACUUUAUUCAGUUUUCUUUUUCCUACAUGGGCCAGGCCCAGCCAGCAAUUUUCUUCUCGGGAGCCCCUAGUCAGCGCUACAGGCGCCCUCUAAGGAGCUGGCGCUCGCACUGUCGCUGCCAUGGGCCGGCCCACGAGCACACUCGCUCGAUCACUCGGGGAAACGAAUUCCAUCGCUAGAUCCGUCGCUGGCUCGGACGCUUGCUAGGAGCCAGUUUUUUUCCUUUUUUUGCUGAAAAACCACCCAGUUUUCCUAUUUCUUACGAAAUAAAAACAAGUUUACAAAUGUAAAGAAAAACUUCGUGCAUUUCAAAAAAGUUCAUCUCUUUCAAAAAGGUUCAUCGAUUUUUGGAAAAUGUUCUGAUAUUGAACAAAGUUCAUUGAAUUUGAAACAAAGUUCAUCAGAUUUAAAAAAAGUUCAUAGAUUCUGAAAAAAGUUCAUCUAUUAUGAAAAAAGUUCAUCGAAAUUGAAAAUAGUUCAUCAAAAUUGAAAAAAAAAUCAUCCAAUUUGGAAAAAGUUCAUCGAAAUUCAAAAACAGUUCAUGAAUUAUGAAAAAAAGUUCAUGAAUUAUGAAAAAAAGUUCAUCAAUUUGAAAAAAUGGUUCAACGAAUUCAAAAAAGUUCACGUACUUGGGGACAAUUCAUCGGUCAAGGAAACAGAUGAAAAAAAAACAGAAACCAAAAAAGGAAAAACGAAAACGGAAAAAAGAAAAAGGAAAAAGGAUCGAAUAAAAGUAGAAUAGUUAGAUUGUUAGCACAACUGCCUUUGUUGGCGUGGUGGUUACAGCAGCAAGCCAUCGAGGAGAAGGUCGCAGUUUCAAAUCCUUUACAGCGCGGUCAUUUUUUCUUUUUUGAUAGAAAAAGUAAUAGCCCAAACUGGGCCGAUCCCAACAAGCCGCGCCUGCAGGCGCCCGUUUGCGAAUGCGCGCUUAAGCGCCAAAUAGGAAUCGCCGUUUUUCCCUUUUUUUCCUUUUUCCUUUGGCUGAAAAAAAACUAGAGCGUGCGCACGGCCGGCCCGUGGUGCUUUUUAGCCCAUGCGAUUCACUUCGUUUUAUUUGUUCGGCUACGUUUAGUGCCACAUUGCCUAGCCUUUGACCUAUAAACCUCUUUUACCUAUAAAUAUAAACCCGUAGAGCCUUUAAAAAUCAUUCACUGCAGGUUAAAUCAAUAUUUUGGUUUGACUAGCUGAAAAAUAUAUUGCUUCUCUCCGGCGGGGCUUCUAGAAGUUGUCUCCUCUCUCUAAAGUCGUCUUUUCUCUAUCUUAUAAAGGUAUCUUUCUUCGUAUUUAUUUUAUAUAUACUUCCAUAGCUUAUUAAUUUUUGGACUAGUGUACAUUAGAAUAAUUAGAUUUAUAAAUUAGACCCUAUAUUUACAUUUUAAGAGUAGAAUUCUUUUAGCCGUAGCCCUUUUUCUUCUGUAAAACAGCUUGACCCUGAUUUUUCAAAUAGCCAUAACGUUUUAGUCGUUCAUCCAAAUUAGACAAAACCAACGCCAAUAUUUUUGUCUUCAUUCCACCUAUCUAGUAAACCUAUCAAAUAAACUUUUUGCAACUUUCAAAUUUUAAAUUUUUUUCAGAUUCAUACUCAAAUUUCUUUUGAUCAUAUCUUUAUAUCCGUACCUUCGUUUUCGAUGAAACCAACACCUAAAUCUUCUUAAUGACCCCCCUCUGUCCAGUAAACCAACUUGAACAAGAUUUUGACAAUUUAAAAUUUGAGUUUAGUUCAGAUUAGUAUUUUCGUCUUUUCUUGAGUUUCGUAAAUCCGUUUGAGUUGAUUUUUUUUUACAAAUCGUAGCUAAUCACAUAGACCUACUGUUAAGAUCUAAUACACAUAAAUAGAAUGUUGUUAAAUUUUUUUUUCUGUUUAGAUUCGUUAUUUGCGUGUCUUCGAGUUUUAUUUGGAUCUUUUCUCGAUUUCCCUUUGCAUCUUUUGCUUGAGUGCUUAUGCAUGUAAUUGCUUGCUCACGAUAGAUUGAACGGAGUGUGACGAGUAGAACUAUCAGAAAUUAUGAGUGUAAAGGAUCUUCGUCAACAGUACAAGGCAAGUUCACACUUUGAUCAUAUUCUUCCUAUAACCAGUUUUUACUUGCAUUAGUCUCACCCCUCAAAGAUUGCACGAGUAGGACUGGGAAUAUGUGGGUAUUGCUGUGUAGUUGAUGAGGUAUGAACCUAUUACCUUUUUGAUUCACCCCGGGUUCAUUCGUUAUGUCAUAUAUUGCUUAGCGAUACUCGUAGACGGGGAUUGGAUCGAGAUACACAUGGAAGUUGUGAGAGUUAUUAAUCUGGGAUAAUAUUAAGGUGGCAAUUUUAAUAUACAUAUGGGUGGAAUGGUUGGGGCACCCUGUGGAUAUACCAAGUGGCUUGCCCGGACACAUGGGGAAUCCAGUGUUGUCCUAGGAGAUCCCGAGGGACCCGUGUGAUCAUCCUAUGGAAUGUUACCUAGGCUCAAAGGGAUCAUAUGAUAUUUCAUAACUAGAAACUUUCGUGUGCAGCCACAAGUCAUUAUGGGCUCCGACAUAGUUGAGUAAGUUGUGUGAGCUCUUGAAGAGGUGGACUAGCAUAUGUAGGGGGAUUGUAGGUGUACCGGUCCGCCCGGAGAAGAGAGUAAAUGCUUCAGAAAGACUGUGUCUCGGUCAUCCCGUUCUCAAACACCAGGCAGUGCGAGGACUUCAAGGGAGGCAAUCGAGUCUUGUGGGGAAAAGUGCGCAAACCUCUGCAGAAUGUGUAAACUAAUCAUGGUUAGCCUUGUCCCUGGUUAUGGACAAUUUUGAGUAUCUGGAAGUGGAUAUUAUUGUUGAUCUCAUCACUCUUAUUUAAUGUAUUGGGUUUAAUGAUUAAUUAUGGGAAUGAGUUGGGGGAACCAUCUCAAUAUUGGUAUAAAAUUUGUAGUAAAUAAAAUUUAUUCCUUUGUUGUAUGGAAAAAUUAGCUUUAUGCAAAAACUAAACUUAGAGCCUCCACCAACCAAAUAUGCAUGUAGUGAUAGAUAUUGUUCAUCAUUAUUCUACGGUGUGAAUUUGCCGGUACAUUAAAUGUACUGACCUACAUGGCUGCAACGUUAUUGUUGAGUUAUGAUGUCUACACUCAACUUUACCGUUGGUAUUGUUGGGACUCCACAACCUUGUUGUUAUUUCCGCUCUAUGGAUUGAGGUAAUAGUAUUUACGUUACUUUAUACAUGUGAUUUAUAUCUGUUAUAAAUCCUCGAGUACUGUGUGUGUCAGCAUACCGAUCCAGGGAUGACUCUUCAGCACAAAGACUUGACCGUUUGAGGUCGGGUCGCUAUAGCAACCUUCUGUACCCGUGAGAUCCAUUUAGGGGCCUUUUCCGGCAUCCUGCCGGAGAGGGAUUCGAUCACGGAGGGUUUCUACAUCAACUCUAUCGCCCUUCGGAUGAAGCGUGAGUUUACCACAGACCUACGGGUCCAUAGCUAGUAGCUAGAUGGCUUUUUCUCUCUCUUUGAUUCUCAAUACCAUGUUCUCCUCGAUGUUCUUGGAGAUCUAUUCGAUGUAAUACUUUUUUGCGGUGUGUUUGCUGAGAUCCGAUGAAUUGUGGAUUUAUGAUCAGCUUAUCUAUGAAUAUUUUUUGAAUCUUCUCUGAAUUCUUGUAUGCAUGAUUUGAUAUCUUUGUAAUUCUCUUUGAACUAUCGGUUUGGUUUGGCCAACUAGAUUGGUUUUUGUUGCAAUGGGAGAAGUGCUUAGUUUUGGGUUCAAUGUGGUGUCCUUUCCCAGUGACGGUAGGGGCAGCAAGGCACGUAUUUUAUUGUUGCCAUCGAGGAUAAAGAGAUGGGGUUUUCAUCAUAUUGCUUGAGUUAAUUCUCUAUAUCAUGUCAUCUUACUUAAUGUGUUACUCUGUUCUUUAUGAACUUAAUACUAUAGAUGCAUGCUGGAUAGCGGUUGAUGUUUGAAGUAAUAGUAGUAGAUGCACAAUUGUUUUGGUCUACUUGACACGGACGUGAUGCCUAUAUUCAUGAUCGUUGCCUUAGAUAUCGUUAUAACUUUGCGCUUUUCUAUCAAUUGCUCGGCAGUAAUUUGUUCACCCACAGUAUUAUUUGUUAUCUCAAGAGAAGCCUCUAGUGAAACCUAUGGCCCCCGGUCUAUUUUCCAUCAUACAAGUUUCCGAUCUACAAUAUUAGUUUUUGAUCUACUAUUCUUGCAAUCUUUUACUUUUUGAUCUAUAAACCAAAAAUACCAAAAAUAUUUACUUUAUCGUUUAUCUAUCUAUAUCAGAUCUCACUUUUGCAAGUAACCAUGAAGGGAUUGACAACCCCUUUAUCUUGUUGGGUGCAAGUUUGUUUGAUUAUUUGUGCAGGUAUUCGGAGAUUUGUGCAUUAUCUCCUACUGGAUUGAUACCUUGGUUCUCAAACUGAGAGAAAUACUUAUCUCUACUUUGCUGCAUCACCCUUUCCUCUUCAAGGAAAAAACUAACGCAAGCUUAGAAAGUAGCAGUGUGCAGAACUCGAAGGUGUCGUACAUUUGGUAGUUGAUCGGUCAGAGCAAGAAGAAGUUCGACUACAUCAACCGCGUUGUCAAACGCUUCCGCUUUUGGUCUAUGAGGGCAUGUAGACACACUCUCCCCCUCUCGUUGCUAUGCAUCUCCUAGAUAGAUCUUGCGUGAGCGUAGAAAAUUUCUUAAAAUUGCAUGCUACAUUCCCCAACAAGAUGCUCCGCCAGCCGGACAUCGGUGGCUCCAGGAGGACCCUCGUCUUCCACCACAUGGGCCUCCUCACCCAGGCUAAUGGUUGGCUCCCGCGCGGGCCGCCUGAUAGAUUCGCCGUCGCUGAGCUCGCCUCCCAUGGCGCCAGCGCCAGCCUCGAGCAGUUUCUCUCGGAGAAAGCAGAGUGGGAGAAGGUGAUGGGCGUGCCGUGCGGACCUCCGCCCCCACGCGGGAUGGAGGUGAACCAGGAGACGGUUGCCUUCGGCGGCAGCCUGUGGUGGGUCAAUCUCACCUUGGGUGCGGUGUCCGUCGACCCCUUCGCCGACCGACCGGAGAUCCGCUUCGUCGAGCUGCCAAGCGGCAGCGUGUUGCCUGUGCGUGCUCACACAGAAGAUGAUGGAGAUCUCAGGCAGGUCGAGGACCGGGGGCUGUUCUUGCGGGAGGUGGCCAAGCACCGGCGCAUUAGCAUGAGCAAGAGACAGCUGCGCUAUGCUAAGGUGACUCCGAACGGGCGAUCCUGCUCAGCUCCUUUGCGCUCGACAACGAGUGCAGCUACUGGACGCUGGAGCACCAGGUGGAGCUCAGGCAAGUCUUGGCGGACGGAGGCUACCCGUGGCAUGAGAACUUGGCGUAGGCAGUGCUGCAAAUCGUCGUCGUUGACCCGCUCAACGCCAAUGCCGUCUACCUCAAGGUCGGCGAGCACGUGGUCGUGGUGGACAUGCACAACGGCAAGGAUCUCGGGGCUGGUUAUUAUAUGCUAUUAUCAUAAUUAUAACCAUUAUAAAUAUGAUAUUGUAUACUGCCAUGGCUAUACUCUUCUACCGCUGCAAGAAUGCGACAAGCUGCUAGUCUUUGUAGGCUAGGCAUUUCCUCUACUCUGGCAUUUCUGCAGUUCAGUCAACAUAUAUAGCCCCAAUCCUUUGAUACUCAUGCAUAUUUAGGGUAGUAGAGUGUAAGUCUUGCGAGUACCUUGGAUGAGUACUCAUGGUUGCUUUCCCCUCUUUUCCCCCACCUGUUUGCUGCGACCAAAUGAUGGAGUUCGGGAGCAGGAGAUUCCAGGAGACUACUACCACGUGAAGAUCCCUGUCGGUGUCAAAACCGGCGGAUCUCAGGUAGGGGGUCCCGAACUAUGCGUCUAGGCGGAUGGUAACAGGAGACAAGGGACAUGAUGUUUUUACCCAGGUUUGGGCCCUCUCGGUGGAGGUAAAACCCUACUCCUGCUUGAUUAAUAUUGAUGAUAUGGGUAGUACAAGAGUAGAUCUACCACGAGAUCAAAGAGGCUAAACCCUAGAAGCUAGCGUAUGGUAUGAUUGUUUUUCGUCCUACGGACUAAAACCCUCCGGUUUAUAUAGACACCGGAGAGGGCUAGGGUUACACAGAGUCGGUUACAAUGGUAGGAGAUCUACCUAUCCGUAUCACCAAGCUUGCCUUCCACGCCAAGGAAAGUCCCAUCCGAACACGGGACGAAGUCUUCAAUCUUGUAUCUUCAUAGUCUAGGAGUCCGGCCAAAGAUGAUAGUUCGGCUAUCCGGACACCCCCUAAUCCGGGAUUCCCUCAGUAGCCCCCGAACCAGGCUUCAAUGACGAUGAGUCCGGCGCGUAGAUUGUCUUCGGCAUUGUGAGGCGGGUUCUUCUCCAAAUUCCAUACACUUGUCGAAUAGUGUCUGGCUUCUUAUAAAUGCUGUGCUCCUUGGCUUCCACGCCCAAUAAUGGCCAUCUUCCACGUGUCGAACGAAUGCGAAAAGCCAGGGUAUUUUUACACUUUCCCCCCUAGCUGCGCAAAUGAGCCGCCUAUAAAAAGAGACGAGGAUCUAGAUCCGAAUCACACCAUCCCCCCUCCGCAAGCUUUCAUCGGAGCACUUCUGACAAACAAUCCAUUCCAUCAUGGACAGUCGACGUGGCUCCUCCUCUCGUGCUCCCAGCCCUCAGCCCGGGGAUUGGGAGAGAUGCUCGGUCCCGCAUAGCAAGCUAGUGAUGCUCCAAACCAAGGGAUUUCUUCCCCCAGCCUUCAUGGUUCUGGUUCGAGCCGGACUUGCCACCUACAAAGGCGGAAAGAAAGCAGAGAGCGUCCCCGAUCCUUCCAAAGGAGAGCGGGUAUGCUUUGUCUCUUAUCUGUUAAGAGGACUCGGAUUUCCAAUACAUCCGUUUCUCCGGGGGCUACUCGAGUUCUAUGGCCUCCAGUUGCACCACCUUACGCCUGCCUCCAUUCUGCACAUCGCGGGCUUCGUGGCCCUUUGUGAGCUGUUCUUGAGCGUCGAGGCUCAUUUUGCGCUGUGGAAGAGAUUAUUCUGCCUCGUACCCCGUUCUCAUGAGGGGUCAAUAUAUCAAGUGGGCGGAGCCGAGCUAUGGCGCAUCGCCGGGACCGGAUAUCUAUCCGGAACCCCGAAGAAGGCGUCCGAAGACUGGCCUUCGGAAUGGUUUUAUAUAGAAGACGCCCCACUACCGGAUCCAGUUCGGAUUGGCCUCCCGGAGUUCAGUAAUGCUUCUCUGAAGAAACGCCUAAGUUGGCGUCCGCGGAGCCCUCAAAGGGAGAAUGACAGGGACUACCUUUACCUGAUGAGCCGAAUAAGAUUAUUGGCUCAUUCCGGACUGACCAUGAUCGGGGUCAUGGCCACAUGCAUUAUGCGGGGGGCGCAGCCGCUCCAGUAUAGGGGCCACCCUAUGUGGGAUUUCAACGGGGAGGAUGAUGCCACCCGUCAUGGCUGUAAGGGGCCGGGAUCAGUCGCCGACCUGGUGAAGAUCCUGUCCGCCCUGUACAAAGGGGAAAAGGAGGAUUUUCUCCGUGUCAGUCCACUGAACAGAUUUUCUAUGAACAAUCCUCGAAGCUGGGUAAGCGGACGUUUCUUUUUGCUUAUCCAAUUCACAUUCCCAUAGUUAAGUAUCUCAUUUUGUGAUUUCGACGCAGGAACUGCGCCGGGCCGUAGAAGAUAUACACAACCCGCCUCCACAACCCGAGGAUCCGGAACGGUCCCUCGAUCCGGCCUCCGAAGAGGAUCCGUACAUAAAGGUGGAGCUGAUCGAUGGGGUGUUCCACCAACUUAGCAUCGAAAAUGCUUUGGUCGCCAUUACGGCCGACAACCCCAGAAUAUUUCCAGCCUCCCAGGUAACUGUGACCGAAGUCCUGAUACCAUGACCCAUCCGUGCUUAUUUCUUAUCACCGCAUACCGAUGGUGUUUCGCAGGGGGUGCCUUUGAGGCGGGAAGCCGAGCCCGCGGCGGCUAGCCAACAAGGGGCAUCUCGGCCCAACAGGCAGAAAAGAAGUGCGGCGCGGAUCGAGAUGUUACCACAACGGUAUAGCGCGCCACCGUGUUUCAAAGAAAGAUUCCUGGAAGGCAUACUAACGCUCGUGAUCUUUUCAGGAAAGGGAGCGCUCGCCGGACUGUGUCCGGAGAGGUUGCCAAUCGAGCCUCCGUCAGCCAGGCUCCAAAGCCAGGUCCAGAAGGGGAGGUGAACACAAGGCACGUGUCGGAUGCUCCUCCAACGGAGGAUGCCGACAGGUUGUCCACCACCAAAUCCGAGGUGGAGAGUGCCAUGAACCAUAGGUGCCGCCGGACAGUUCUUCGUGACGCAUGUUUCUCCCAAGAGGCAUUGAAUGCCUUUAAUUCGGGAGAUGCGCACCUCCGUGCCGCUCAAGAUGGUCUAGCCAGGGCCACGGAGCAGUAUGUGAAAGACAUACGGGUGAGGAAUUUUGAUAGUUAUAUAUGCCAGUAGCCCCCCAGACUUAAAAUAGUUAGAAUAACUGAUUUAAGGAUCAUUUGUUAUGCAGGAUCUUACAGAAAAGAAUACCCAACUGUCCCAGGAGCUUCAAGAGUGCAAGGCCCAACUUGAGGCCGCACUAGCCGCCACAGGGGGAGCCACAAAGACCCCCUCCGGUAAUAUAUACUUCGAAAGAUAAGUAGUUUGUGAAGUGCGGCGUGUAUAUAAGUCUGACAAUAAUAUUACAGAUGGCGCCGGACUAGAUCCGGACAGGCAACAGCUACUGCGCCGGUUAAAGGCCGGCGAGAAUGUGCUUACAAGGGUGAGGCAAGAGAAAAAUAAUCUCCAAGAUGCCAACACCCAGCUGGGUGAGGAACUGAAGGAUGUUCGAGCCCAGCUGUCUGACUCCGUUAAGGAGAAUCAGCGGCUUCGUCGCGGCAUUUAUAGUAAGUGCUUGAGCGAACUUUUGAAAAUAAGAGUUCGGCGAGGAAGUCGAUUAACAGAAAUAUGUCUGUAGGUAUGCUCACAGGUCGUCCUGCAGAGGAAAUGCCCGGUUCAACGGGUGACCUACUUCCCGAGCUGCUGCAACUGCACGAACGAGUUCGGCAGGUGAUGAGAGCCGUCGCCCAGGCCUUGUGGCCAUCCAUCUCCCUACCCGAAGGCCUUGGAGAGCUUGCCGAGAAGCUUCAGGGAGCACGGCGGCGCUUCCGGCUAUGGAAGAUAUCGGCCUGUCGUCAAGGCGACAGGGAGGCCUGGGCCAUGGUGAAGACGCGGUACACGAAGGCUGACCCAAACCACAUGGCCGAGGUCGGACCUGUUGGGCCCAAUGGGAAGGAGAUCCCUGUGAGCUUAGUGUACGACCAAGUAGAGUUGGUCGCAAAGUAUUCCCAGCGGGACUGUAAACUAGACAGCCUGUUAGAUGGUAUUGAAGAGGAAUACAAUUAGUCAAUUUGACUAUGAAAUUUAAAAUGACAUGUAAAAUGCCUUCUAGCCGGAUUGUAGAUCGUUUGUCGUAGCAGACCUUUUCGCUUCAACCUCGGGACCUGACGGUCCGGAGUGUGUCCUAAUACCCUCGCGGUUAUGUAAGAACCGGGGCAUGCGUGGAGACUAGGUGUAGGGGUCAUGAGUGCUUUAUCAGACAAGUGCCCAACUAGUUAUGUUAUAUUACAUGGUUAGUAAGAAACAUCUUCCAGGGAGAAUAGUUCCGUUAGGGGUUCCUUUCCCUGGGAGGCAUGCCCUAAAGUGCAUGUCCGGACUGCGAAAAAAGCAGAAAAACAUCUGGGGGCAGAUAAAUGAAUAAGUAAGUCGUCUUUUAGUUCACCGACCGAAAAUUCCCUCAAGAAUGCUAGCUUUCGGCUUCACCCAGUCUGAGGUACACAUCCGGCUGACCCGGCAGUAACAAUCGCAGAGGUGCUCCCUUUACCGCCUAACCGAACAAUGGGGAAUGUAGGGGUAAGCACAGGAGCCAGGCAACCCAGCUUGGCCAGAACUUAAGUCAUAUCGAUGCAUAUAAUGGUGAAUAAAAGGUACAUGCAGAAGUGUGACACAUGUGUUGGGCAUAAAGCAUGUAUAAAUAAGCUUCUGUUAAAGAAGCCCCCAGGUAUAAUGAGCGCGGGUAGCGCGUCAAGUGUGACGCCCGGAUAAUUAAGCUACAGUGAUCCCCCGCUAAUGAUGCCACCUCACCUCGGAUACUGUUGAUAAACUCUAGAUAAUUCAAAACCGAAACAAAUUCAAAAUUUAAUUAUAGGAAAACAAUAAAAGUUUUCAAACAUUAAAAUAAAAAUGUUCGGUUUGUACUAAAUAUUACGUAAAUAAUUAUGGUGUAGAAGACACAGUUUUAUAAAAUGCAUAAAUAUUUUAAAUUGAAUUAAAACAGAAGAGAAAAUAAAUAAAAGAAAGAAAAUACAAAAAACAAAAGGAAAGAAAGAGAAAAGGCCUCCUCCCCCCCACUAGGCCACGGCCCAGCAGGCCACCAGGCCGGCCCAUCAGCCGCGCCCAUAUCCCCCANNNNNNNNNNNNNNNNNNNNNNNNNNNNNNNNNNNNNNNNNNNNNNNNNNNNNNNNNNNNNNNNNNNNNNNNNNNNNNNNNNNNNNNNNNNNNNNNNNNNNNNNNNNNNNNNNNNNNNNNNNNNNNNNNNNNNNNNNNNNNNNNNNNNNNNNNNNNNNNNNNNNNNNNNNNNNNNNNNNNNNNNNNNNNNNNNNNNNNNNNNNNNNNNNNNNNNNNNNNNNNNNNCCAGAUUGGAUCGGGAUCGACCCCAUCGUCACGGACCGCCGCCUCCGCCCCGCAGGUCCUCCUGCCGUCCUCGUGUCAUCGCAUCGCCACCGGAGAUGGAAGGAUCCUCAAGGCCCCGUUGAGGAUCUGGGCUACCUCGCCUCCUCCUUGCCAUGGCCGGCCCCGAGCGUCGUGCUUGCAGCAGCACCGCCGUCACGGCCACCUCAUCGCCGGACCUCCUCGACGGACUGCACACGUCCUCGUCCUCCUCCCCAGCUUGCAUCAUCGAGCCUCGCCACCCCAGAUCCCCUGCAACGGGGGUGAGCAACGAAUCCCCCUCCCUCUCUAUGUCCCCUUCCCACUGCAACGUCGCAAUACCGCUCAUUCCCCUAUCGGUCACCGCGACCCCGUGCACGCACUGGCCGUGUCCGCGUCACCCCUGGCUGGGGCUCACCGCACCCACAGCCGAGUUCGCUCGCGCCCUGCCUGGACCGCGGCCACCUAGGGCCGCGCCCCGCCUCCUCACCCCGCCUCUUUCCCCCGCGCAGCUCGUCGCUCCCGUCCGUAGCGUCGCCGCGCUUGGAGCUCUGCUCCCACGCCCACGCGCGCCCGCUACACUCUGCCGGCCACCGCCAGCGUCCUCCAUGGUCCCGACCGUCCCUGCUUCAUCUCCGCGCCCCAUUGCGCCCUCCGCCGCUCGACCUCUGCGCGCGGUGACGCCCCGCACCGCCUGGGUCUGGCACCCACAGUCGGCGCCCGUCGCCGUGGCCUCAACCUCCUGGGCGGGUCCCCCGGCGCCAUGCGGGUUCGCCCACGCCCCAGCGCCCGUGCCCGCGCCCUGCUCCUCCCCUUUUUGCCAUGUCGUGGCCUUCGCCGCUGCCAUGCCGGCGAACGCCCCCCCCCCUCGCCGUGGCCCCGACUGGCUGCAUCCAGUGCGGGCGCCCGCAACCGCACGCGCCCCUGUGCCCGUUUCGCCCGCCCGCCAAGGCCUUUGGCCUAUGACAAACGGGCCCCAGCGCCCAGAACGUUUUAAAAAAAGCAAUAAAAUAAAUUUAAUUAAUUAAUUAAUUAAUUAAAUUAAUUAAGUCAAUUAAUCCUAUUUAAUUAAUCUAAUUAACCUGUUAGUUUAUCUAAACAGUAAUUAGUUUAAUCUAAACCCUAAUUAACAUAAUAGUGUAUGACAGGUGGGUCCCACUGGACCCACACGUCAGUUUGACCAGUCAACACCUUUGUUGACUGCUGACGUCAUGCUGACAUCGUGAUGACGUCAUCAAACACUGUUUUGGAUAAUGUUGAAUUAAAUUAAUUAAAUAAAUUCUAAAAAUGAUUUAAAACUUUAGAAAAUCAUAUAAAAUAAACCGUAGCUCUGAUGAAAAUGCUUUCUACAUGAAAGUUGCUCAGAACGAUGACACGAAUCCAGAUACGCAGCAUGUUCGUCCGCGACGUGUCCCUAGCAUAGUGAACCUACAACAUUUCAACUCCGGUUCAUUUGACCAAAAACACGAAACACCGGGAAUACUUUCCCGGAUGUUUCCCCUUUCGCCGGUAUCACCUACUACCGCGAUUGGGCACACCUAGCAUCGUUACUUGUCAUGUCAUGCAUCGAUAUGCAUCUGUUUGCAUGGUAUUCAUUGUUUCUUCCCCCUCUUCUCUCCUGUAGACUUCGAGACGGACGCUGCUGCUGCCCAGUUCGACUACGGAGUUGACGACCCCUCCUUCUUGACAGAGCAAUCAGGCAAGCCCCCCCCCCUUGAUCACCAGAUAUCGCCUAUUCUUCUCUAUACUGCUUGCAUUAGAGUAGUGUAGCAUGUUACUGUUCGGUUACUCCUAUUCUAUUGCAUAGCCUGUCAUUGUUGCUACAGUCAUUGCUACCUUACCCGCAAUCCUAAAUGCUUAGUAUAGGAUGCUAGUUUAUCACCAUUGGCCCUACAUUCUUGUCAGUCUGCCUUACUAUACUAUUGGGCCGUGAUCACUCGGGAGGUGAUCACGGGUAUAUACUAUACAUAUAUACAUACUACAGAUGGUGACUAAAGUCGUGUCCGCUCGAAGAGUACCCGCGAGUGAUUCACGGAUUGGGGGCUGAAAGGACCUUUGUCCCAACGGCCCUCUGUGUGGAUCUUUGUGGCGGAGAGACAGGGCAGGUUGAGACCACCUAGGCGAGAGGUGGGCAUGGCCCUGGUCGGCGUCCGCGGUUGCUUCAUAAUAACACGCUUAACGAGAUCUUGGUAUUUGAUCUGAGUCUGGCCAUUUGGUCUAUACGCACUAACCAACUACGUGGGAAAGAUAUGGGCACUCGAUGUCGUGGUAUCAGCCGAAGCCUUCUAGACGUCAGCGACUGAGCGGCGCGUGCCAGAUUGGAACGUAAGCCUGCUCUUUUAUUAAGGGGGCUAGUUCUGCUUUCGGCCGCCCUCGCAAUGUGCAGGUGUGCAAUGGGCGAUGGGCCCAGACCCCUGCGCCAUAGGAGUUAGACCGGUGUGCUGACCUCUCUGUUAGGCCUAGGUGGGGCUGUGACGUGUUGAUCUUCCGAGGCUGGGCAUGACCCAGGAAAGUGUGUCCGGCCAAAUGGGAUCGAGCGUGUUGGGUUAUGUGGUGCACCCCUGCAGGGAAGUUUAUCUAUUCGAAUAGCCGUGUCCCUCGGUAAAAGGACGACCCGGAGUUGUACCUUGACCUUAUGACAACUAGAACCGGAUACUUAAUAAACACACCCUUCCAAGUUCCACAGACAACCCGGCGAUCGCUUUUCCACAGGGCGACGAGGGGAGGAUCGCCGGGUAGAAUUAUGCUAUGCGAUGCUACUGGAGAUGCUACUUGGAGAUGCUACUUGGAGGACUUCAAUCUACUCUCUUCUACAUGCUGCAAGACGGAGGCUGCCAGAAGCGUAGUCUUCAAUAGGACUAGCUAUCCCCCUCUUAUUCUGGCAUUCUGCAGUUCAGUCCACUGAUAUGGCCUCCUUACACAUAUAGCCAUGCAUAUGUAGUGUAGUUCCUUGCUUGCGAGUACUUUGGAUGAGUACUCACGGUUGCUUUCGCCCCCCUUUUCCCCCUUUCCUUUCUUUCUGGUUGUCGCAACCAGAUGCUGGAGUCCAGGAGCCAGACGCCACCGUCGACGACGACCCCUACUACACUGGAGGUGCCUACUACUACGUGCAGCCCGCUACGACGACCAGGAGUAGUUAGGAGAAUCCCAGGCAGGAGGCAUGCACCUCUUUCGAUCUGUAUCCCAGUUUGUGCUAGCCUUCUUAAGGCAAACUUGUUUAACUUAUGUCUAUACUCAGAUAUUGUUGCUUCCGCUGACUCGUCUAUGAUCGAGCACUUGUAUUCGAGCCCUCGAGGCCCCUGGCUUGUAUUAUGAUGCUUUUAUGACUUAUUUAUGUUUUAGAGUUAUGUUUUGAUAUCUUCCCGUGAGUCCUUGAUCUUGAUCGUACACAUUUGCGUGCAUGAUUAGUGUAUGAUUGAAUCGGGGGCAUCACAAGUUGGUAUCAGAGCCGACUGCCUGUAGGAAUCCCCCUUUCCAACUCCUUGGCCGAAGUUGAGUCUAGACAUUGCUAAACUUUACUAACAUGGCUGUGUGGCUUACGGGCCCACGUCGCCAUUGGGUAGUAUUAUGAUCUUUUAUUCCUCGACCUUUACUCCGGGACUCUGAUCUCUCUUCUAUUCGGGUGAAAUGAUUUUACUAACUCUGACUCUAGGUUCUCGUAACUACUUCCUCCCGAAAAGCCCUCACUCCAGAUGAUUGCUUGGUGCACCGAAGGAUUUCGAAGAUACUCUCCGAUGUUCUCGAGACUUUGUGCUCGUUGCUCUUGCAAUUACCUACCACUGAUUUAUCCCUAUGGAUAAAUACUUACACCCGUCGUUCUUAAUUUUAUUCCAAGUGAUCUUGUUAAUACAAGAUGCCCCGAAGCGCUCUCCGUUGUUCCAAGAAUCCUUUGAGCUUACUGCUUUACAGUUCUUGCCUCAUGAAUACCCUUACGGAUAAUUCCUCGCACUUAUCGAGUAUCUGCUCUUUCCCAGUUGUUCAUGUGUUUCACAAAAGAUUUUGAAAUACCAUUCGAUCUUCCAAAAAUCCCGAGCAUCCUCUUGCUCUUGAUAUUCUUGCUUGCUUGCAUUAUGGUUAAUCCCAUAAGUCUCGUAAUCUUAUUGGCAUCUCUUGUCAUUAUGAUUUUGAUCCUAUGGAUUCAACAUGAGUGCGAAUGCACGCAAUCAUCGGUUGAUCCUUUUAAAUUAUCUUUCUGGCUUAGAUGUCAUUUUAAACAUGAGAUGGAUCUCGACCGAUCAAAUUGCCAUCGAUUGUACCCCUAAGACUACUCAACUUAUCCAUCCCUAUUCAGAGCAUUGCUUCUGAUCCCUUCUCUUGGAAUUCAUAAUUCCUUUUCAUUUGAGCUUUGAAUUAGUCGAUUGUUUCUAUAAUAGGAUGACUAUGCAUUCUUUUUCCUUCUGAUUGAGUAUCAAUACUCACAUCAGAUUCCUUGUGGUCCGCGAGACCAAUUGCUUGGUUAUUAUCCGACAAUGUCCUCCAUAUCCAAUAACCUUGUCAGUUCUUCCCCUGAUAUAUAAUGACUUUGGUAAAUUGUAUCCUCUGCUUUUGUCAACCAUGCUCUGCUCUUGUGCUGGUGAUUUUACUCCGAAGUUUGUGGUAUAUAUUCCUAGAUGCCCCGAUGGGUUGAACCAAUGCCUUCCCUAACCUGUGUGAACCCGAAAGAUUUCACGGGCCAUACUUAUUUGGUAUUGCACCAGGUAAAACGUUCAACAACUAAUGUCAUUUUCGAAAUACGAGAGGUGAAUGGAAGGUUAUGCAUUGAGGAAGUGGGAGUCGACCUUGAACCUUUGUGUUCAUGCCCAUGGACACGAUGUAGAUCCUAUCAUGGAAGCUUCUUGUAAUAAUAACUAUUUCCUUGAUAUAAUAUCCUUUGGUAUCGGUGAAUUGAUCCUUUGCAAUCGUGGUUCCGACCAUAUGUUCUUCUUUGAUCCCAUUUCUCGGGCAAGUUUAAGCACUUGUCUUCUGUGGAUCAAUACACAUGUCCAACCAUUACUUUGGUCUGUCCUCGAGUAUUACCCCCUAGUAUCUCGAGAUUGUCACGGAAUUGCAUAACUUCUUAUGAGUUCUCCAUCAUGUACUACAUUCUCAUUGAUACCAAUUUUUCACGUGCUUCGAGUUAUUAAACACUCAAGGACAUCGAUAACUGAAUCGAGUCCGCAUCGCGAUUAGACAACUCUUAGUAAUCUUCUUUGCUUACGAGUUUGUACUCGAUCACGUCAUCCCUAGCCUGAUCGGCUAUAUCAUUACCAUGCUAAAUUUUAACCGUACUACCUGGUCCUUCUUUCUGGAGCACAAUUUUCGAUGAUGAACUAACCUUACGUCAAUCCUCCUCGUCAUAUCAUUUCGCCUUGAACAAGCUUGGUUUCGAGCUUGUGUCAUACCCUUGGUUCCAAUAACCUUUCGCUUCAUCAUUCCUUUGACUUGAUGUCGUCGCCGAUCGAUUACAUCUUCAUGAACUCUCGCGACAAAUGUGUCGUGAAUAUCAUCAACAUUCUGAGUUCUUCCAAGAGAUAUAUCGAAUUUUGGCAAGAAAUACCAUCCUUGCCCUCGAUGAUUUGUGUUGUUAUCGACCACUUUAUUGCCUUCCCUCCAACACAAACUUGUUUGUGUUCUGUGUUAUACCUUGAGUUCCUUGCUAUCCAGCAUUUGUUCUUCUUUACCUUGGAGUAUUACCAUCUUUUAUGUUAAGAAUGUCAUGAGGAUUACUCCACCUCUUAAGAAUUCUUGGUAUAGUGAUACUUCUCACCAUCACCAUUCUUUCUUGGUCCCCGUGUUGAUUCCCACAAGUGAACGGUGUUGUUUGGAUUCUUUCCUUCUAGCAACCCUAUUGCUUUGAAGUGAAUGGCCGAUAGUUUCAUUCUAAGUCUUUUGGUUAUCAAAUCACCAUUCUAACAUUGAUCGUGCUACUUAGUCCCUACUUCUAGGUGCACUUUCGAUCAAUUAUUAAUUGUGGAUGUUUUUCCUCGAGCAUACAUCAUUGUAUCAUUUGAUCUGACUAAUGUUAUCUCCUUGUUCACAUAAUUGUGGAAAUCCAUCUUUUUUGGAAAUCUCAAUGAAUUGUCGCUGAGUUCAUUGGCCACCUUCCCAUUCUCUCCUUGGUUUAAUGAUGAACUCUUGUCUCGGAACCCACUUCCAUAGUUCAUUUUCCGAGAAUCUCACAUUGUCAUCUCGUCAAUUGGUGUCACACCUUCUCUUCCCAGGCAUCCUAAGUCUGAGGUAUCCUGACACCAAUCAGAUCUAAAUCUCGGUCGGAUAUGAUGGUUGGAACAUAUUUUCAAAAGUUAUAACAUUGGUAUUUAGAAUAGCCCGGUAAGGUGAUGUCAUACCUAGCACAGCUGGCCGGAGGACCCAUUGUUAAGUUCUUCCUUUUUAGCAAGGUUAACCAUUCUUCCAUGAGGAAAUUGCAAGGCUUAUUCUAUAAGAUGUUCCUGAUGGAUCCUUUUUGUUUCCAAAGUUUGAUCUUCACCUGCUGACCAUGUCAAUGCUAUCUGGAAGCAUGUCUAUGGUACUCCGAUUUUCAACAGAAACAUUUGAAACCCAAUGCUAAAUGUUUCCUGCUAAAUUAUCCAAACACCGCUGUAUGGGUAAUUUCAUGAAAAUUCUCUCCCCUACCUAAAGAGUUUACUACAUUAUAUCCUGUCAUGGAUAUCAUGCUCUGCUCGUCCUUCUGGAGGAUAUACCUUUGAAAUAUGUGUUUAAACACAUUUUCCUUUCCAUUGUUCUGCUUAAUCUGAUAAUCAUAGUUUUCUUUCCAUUUGUUGGGUUAACAUUUCUUCUGAUCUAUAUGAUCUAAGCAGUAAUAUUCUCCUGCUUAGGUAAACACCUCGGUUUACAAUUAUGUCAGCAAGACCCUGUUACUAUUGUUGAUGACAUUCUGGUAGCCACCGAUGGAUGAGAACUUUGCCUAUUGGUCCGCCUCGUUCAACGAGCUGGAAAAUGGUUCUCUUCGUCCCUCGCCCUUGGUACCAAUGGUUGUUGCCGACAUAAUCGAUAGACUAUCCUCUGACAUGCCUUGCUUACAUGACCAUGCAAGACGUCAUCCCCUUCCUACUUUUAACCCACAUGGUGGGCCCAUAACCCACAGUUCCACAGGAUCGAAACCUGACUCUCCUGUACACCCUGUUGUCAAAGUUAUUCCUCACGCUUGACUUAGUAUGUAAUUCACGGGCCACCUUCCUAGUGAUCUAUUCUGGUAACAAACGCAAUACUUAAUCUCAUUGCUCUGGACCCCUAUUGCACUUUGUUCAGGCGUCAAACAAUUGCCUACCCGCGUGAAACUUCUCAGGGUACCUCCUUACUUUACUCUCCAUAUUUUCUUAAGUUUCAGUUCGAGAGUUACUCUCCGCCUCCGUCCCUGAUGUUAUCGACCAGAUAGUCAACCUUGUAGAGGUUCGUUCUCCCGGAAUACCUUCCUUAUUCUUUCGUAAAUACGAUGGAACCCCUGAAGAAAGCAUGCCGACUUCAUCUUGAUGACUUGAAGUAGAAAAAUGAAGGCAUCAAUAAAAUGGAUCGACCACUUCGAGAAGAGCAACCAAGACCGAGAAGAUUCGUUAGAAUUUCGUAACCAGACUUUUCCCCCGUUUUCCACCUCUUAAAUCUCGGGACGAGAUUUCUUGUAGUGGUGGAGAAUUGUGACGCCCGGAUAAUUAAGCUACAGUGAUCCCCCGCUAAUGAUGCCACGUCACCUCGGUUACUGUUUGUCACACCCUGAUUUUCAUGGCACAACACUUAAGAUGAUAAAUCAUGAUAAAAUGUGGUUUGACAAAAACUUCUGAGUGUUUUGGACUUUGCUUGAUUGGAUUUUUGUCUGCUGUUUGAAAGUGCUCUAAAAAUCAAAUAAAUCCUCCAACUUCUAUACUUCAUCUCCUUGCUCCAAAAACCUUUCCCAAUGAUCAUGCCAUGUGUAUAGGACAUAAAAAUAAUUUCUUGCAAAAAUAAUUUGGCCAAAUAAUAUUUUAAAAAAUUAGUUUUUCAAAAACCCCUGAAUUGAGGUUUGCACUGCAAGUACUUAAUUAAGGGAAGUAAAAAUCUUUCCAAAAAUAUAUUUGGCUCCUAUUAGAUAUAGGAUACCCAUAAACCACAAAAAUAUAAUUUUAAAAGUUAUUUUCCUAUUUUAUUUAAAAUCUUUUUCUUAAGGCCAGAAAUGGUCUUUAAUAGGGAAAAAUUAUUUUAUUGUUUUAAAAAUAUUUGACAAAUUUUAGGGAAACUCAUAGGACAUAUAUUGUCCAUAUAUAAGAGUUUCAACACAUGGUCAUGUUCAAAAUAUUGGUCAAAUCCCACAAAAACCCUUUCUGGAUAUUUCAAGAUUUUGAAAUAUUUACAAAGGAAAUAUUCUCCAAAAAUUCCAAGAAAAUUCUAGCAUGUCACAUAUGACAUGUUUGAUGAUCCUAACAAGUAUCAUGUCAUGGAGAAUAGCAUAACUCCAUGAAAUCCCCUCAAAACCAUUUCUGUCCAUUUUGAAGUUUGAGCAACUUUACAUUGCCAAACAUGUCCAAAUUUUCUUAAACCUUGUGAACAUGCUCCAAUGGUCUAAUAAUUCAUCUAGACCAAAUGGCAUAGGUUGGAGAAAAUGUUAUAUUGAUCAAAGUGCCCCAAAACCCUUCCUGUCCAGAACCAAAUUUGGACAACUCUAUAUUGGAAACUUUCUUCUUUUGAUCUCAACUUUUGUGGACAUGUUCACAUGACCAAAUGAGGUCACUACACCAAGUGGUGCAUCAAGGAGAAUUGAUUUGAAUGACUAAAUCUUGGUAAAGCCAUUUCUGCUAAUUUCUAGGGUUUACCAAAGUUACAAUGGCAACUUUUCCCAAAUGAGCUCAAAUUUGGUGGCACAGCCUAUUUCUAAGUGUCAUCCCAUCCUGUUAAUUCUCAUGCCAAAUGGAAUCCUUUUCCUUGCCCAAACAAGCAACAAACACCUUCUGCAAAAUUUCCUAAACCACCUUUUUGACCACUUGCACUAAUCUCCAUGACCCUAUAUUUUUACCAUAGCCCCUCCUAGACCUCCUCUACCUCCAGUAACAAUGGCUGCAUUUUAGCUCAAUUAUUUGGUGGUGAAACCCUCACUUUCUCUCUCUGGAUAGCCUCUUUCUCUCUCUCCAUCAACCUCUCUCCUCUCCUACUAGAUCUCCAGGGCAUCCAAUGCCUCUCCACCCUUCUUUACUACCCCCAAGCACUACCAGACAUCAGUGGCUGCGCCCACAUUGCCAAAAAAAUGCCAUGCCGGCCAUUUGCAUGCUCUGGAGCACGCUACAGUGCACUCCCGCACUGUAGCCGCCCCCUGCCAACCGCCUCCGGCCACCUCGUGCCUCCCCAGCGUGUCUCAUGAGGCCGCCUCGGCGUCUGGGACACGGAAAGCUGACGGCCCCCUAUUAAACCUCUCCCCUCUCUCCUCCAUGGAGCUCGCCCGAGUGCGCCGUAGGCCGCGUCCACGGUGCACCACGGCCCCUCUAUUUAGAGGCCCUCCCGAGCUCUCCUACAGCUUCUUUCCGCUCUCCCUCUUCCCCAGCAAUCUCCCAGACAACAUCCCUCUCCCCCUAGUGCUCUCCUGCCCUCUCCAUGGCCGGAGUGCCACCGCGGACCGCCGCUCAGAUUCGGGCACCACAACCCCUCUCUCUUCACCCUACCCACUCCAGUACUCCCUCACCACCACCACGAAGCCCCCCAUCGCCUCCAUUCUUCCUCGGGACGCCCCUGCGCUCGAAGCCGGAAAUGGCCGACACCAUCCUCCGCUGUGGUCGUGGCCCCACUCGCCUUCGUCCUCUGUCGGAUGUGCUAACAGGGGGGAGAAGGCGUGGCGCAGUCCCCCGAGCUCGCCGGUGCGCCGGGCACCCGCAGCAGCGCCCCUGGUCGUCGGGGACGAGCUCGGCCUCGCCCCUUUGUUCCUGCGGCACGGGAGGCCGCGCGAGGAAGAAGAAGGCCGGCCGGUGGACCGGCGACCCCACCGGUCAGCCUCUGCCGACGUGUCCAGCCGGACCCACUCAGGUUAAGUGGAGGCGAGAUCUGCGGGAACCGCCUUCCCGGCAGGGAAGCGUACUCCCGUAACACGCCUUCGGCGUCGCCCUGUCGCCCGCGUGGCCGAGCCGCUGGGCCGGGCCAGUGCGCUGCGGCGCUAUGCUGCGCUCGGUGCGCGGUAUAGGUAUAACCCCCCCCACUUCCUUUGUCUUUUCCUUUUUACAGAAACUUGUAAAAUCUCUCAAAUAUUCAUAUUAACUCCAAAUUUGAUGAUUCAAAUUUCUAGUAGUUCCUAAAAUCAUUCCCUAUCACAUGGUGCUAUUUGCACAUUUUUCCAGAAUCAUUUCCUUCACAAAUAUUUAUCAAAUCCUGUUUUUCCAUUUCUGUGAUGAACUUUAGAAAAUCACAGGGAGCUCAAAAUUGAUCCAAAUGCCAUGAUUCAAAUUCCUAAAUGCUUAUAAGUUCAAAACUUAGUUUUUGAACAUUUUUACUAAUACUUUCUGUAUCACCUCAAAUAAUGGUCUAUUUCUUUAUAUAUAGCCAACUUUGCAAAUUCAUAGGAAAAUCAUCUCAACUCAAAAUCCAGUGAAACUAAUUCCUAGAUGCUUCUAAAAUCAUCCUUUGUUAAAUGGGUGCCCUUUCUCAUUUUUCCAAAAUAUAUUUCUGUACACUUCUUAAAAAUCCAUAAACCCCUUGAUUCCAUCAUAUUGAAAUGUUCAGAGAUGUCCAUUGAUCAAAUCCUUAUGAAACCACUUUGGUCAUCCCUCAUAUGACCAGAGGUAUCCCAGAAAAGUCCAACUCAUAUUUUUAGAGCACUUUUAUUUCCUGCCUUGUUGUGUUGCUUAUUAUGGUUGUUUUCAACGAUAGUUGACGAAGUAGACGAAAUGCUCGGAGUUGGACCAGAGAUAUUGAAGACCUCGAAGACCUUGUUAAAACAGGCAAGCAGCCCUUUGACCAUGUCUAUGAAACCCUUUUUAUGCAUGUCAUAUAGCACCAUAUUGUUGUUGCAAUGGAAUCAUGAUGAGGUGGUAACAACCUUGAUGGUUUGCCACCGUACUUCCUCGUUGAUACUUGCAUUGUGCAUGACCCUACCUUCUUAUGAGGGUUAUGCCGGUGGGAGUAGAUAGGAUGCUAAAGUAGUGCUACGCAAAAAGGGACGGGAAUAUGCAUGGUGAUGGAGACAAAGUAUUUUCAAAGGACUUUUCGAAAACCCCGUCGGGUGCCACUUAUGCCCGAGGGAGAUGAUGAGAUGGGUAACCACUUGAUGACAAAGUGGUAUACCGAGGCAGGUGUGUGUUGUUUUCAAAAUGGAUUGGUCGAAGUUGCGACCGUUAUUCCAACCUUACAUGCGCAACCACUCUACCCUUAUAUGGGAAAGGGCAUUAUUGAUUACCUAGAACAAUACUAGCUUGGAGCCCGCAUUACUAGUGACGGGAGAGUUGUUGGUGCGCUCUCUUGGGACGGGGUCGUGCCAGGUAGGGCGGCCAUGACCAUUUUUAUGGGGCACGGGACACACUGUUGGUACCCCAUGCCAGUGGUAUGUGAUAAAUAUGGGAGAAAGGCUCCACGAAAAUGUUAUGUGAAAUGUUGGGCACGGGGGUCACUGCCAAUCGAGUGGACUCCAUGUUAGUGUCGUCUAGGGAAAGGUAGUGAUCGGGUGCUUACCCCGGGUACUUGAGGUACUGCGGGUCGUGGCUGACACGGAAGUUCCCCAGAUCUUGUGGGUACAGUGUGCAACCUCUGCAGAGUGUAAAACUAUUCGAAUAUCCGUGUCCACGGUCAAGGACAGUUGGGUAACCGCUCUUGGGCUACAUCCACUUGUUUACAAACCAAGUGUGUGUGUUGAUAAAAAUGACUUGGGUCAAGUCAAGGGACUUGACAUGAUUGAGAUGGGUUGGUGCCCACUCUAUUUAUGUUAGAUGGGUUGGUGCCCACUCUAUUUAUGUUGAUACAUGUAACCUGUCCUCAUGUUACUUGAAUUCUUUUGAUGCAUGCCUUACAAAGUUGUUGAACAUGUCAUUGCACUCAAAACUAGCUUUCUGCAAAAAUUUACCUAUAUCAAGCAUUGUUGUACCUUGAACCAAAACAUGGGUUGCUUGCGAGUACAUUCAAAGUACUCAUUGGCUUGCCACUGGUUAUUUUAUUGGUCAGGCAUGAAAGAACAUGAUGUGAUGAAGAACACUUCGGUGACGAACAUGUGAGCUAGGACGCUUCCCAGUCAGAAUGCAUGUAGGGUUAAGGCAGAUGGCAUGGGUCCAAGUUGUUAUUGAAGAUUAUCCGCUGCGAUGAUACACUCAAGACUUGACCAUAAUGGUCCUACUUGUGUAAUACGGUAUGUAUGGAUGUAAGACUCUUGUUAUUCAGCUUCUGUGUGUUCAGUGAGCAUUGAUCUCUGGGAUCACUGUACACGUGCAUUCGGUGAUCACGACUUAUGAGUCGGGGUCCCCACACUGUUGAUAAACUCUAGAUAAUUCAAAACCGAAACAAAUUCAAAAUUUAAUUAUAGGAAAACAAUAAAAGUUUUCAAAUAUUAAAAUAAAAAUGUUCGGUUUGUACUAAAUAUUACAUAAAUAAUUAUGGUGUAGAAGACACAGUUUUAUAAAAUGCAUUAAUAUUUUAAAUUGAAUUAAAACAGAAGAGAAAAUAAAUAAAAGAAAGAAAAUACAAAAAAACAAAAGGAAAGAAAGAGAAAAGGCCUCCUCCCCCACCACUGGGCCAUGGCCCAACAGGCCACCAGGCCGGCCCAUCAGCCGCGCCCAUAUCCCCCACUACCCCUAACCCUAACCCCCACCGACACCCCACUCCUCCCCCACGUCGCCACCUCCCCCCUCUCGAUCCAGAUUGGAUCGGGAUCGACCCCAUCGUCAUGGACCGCCGCCUCCGCCCCGCAGGUCCUCCUGCCGUCCUCAUGUCGUCGCCUCACCACCGGAGAUGGAAGGAUCCUCAAGGCCCCGUUGAGGAUCUGGGCUACCUCGCCUCCUCCUUGCCAGGGCCGGCCCCGAGCGUCGUGCCUGCAGUAGCACCGCCGUCGCGGCCACCUCAUCGCCGGACCUCCUCGACGGACUGCACAUGUCCUCGUCCUCCUCCCCAGCUUGCAUCAUUGAGCCUCGCCGCCCCAGAUCCCCUGCAACGGGGGUGAGAAACAAAUCCCCCUCCCUCUCUAUGUCCCCUUCCCACUGCAACGUCGCAAUACCGCUCAUUCCCCUAUCGGUUACCGCGACCCCGUGCACGCACCGGCCGUGCCCGCGUCACCCCUGGCUGGGGCUCACCGCACCCACAGCCGAGUUCGCUCGCGCCCUGCCUGGACCGCGGCCACCUAGGGCCGCGCCCCGCCUCCUCACCCCGCCUCUUUCCCCCGCGCAGCUCAUCGCUCCCGUCCGUAGCGCCGCCGCACUUGGAGCUCUGCUCCCACGCCCACGCGCGCCCGCUACACUCUACCGGCCACCGCCAGCGUCCUCCACAGUCCCGACCGUCCCUGCUUCGUCUCCGCGCCCCGUUGCGCCCUCCGCCGCUCGGCCUCUGCCCGCGGUGACGCCCCGCACCGCCCGGGUCCGGCACCCACAGUCGGCGCCCGUCGCCGCGGCCUCAACCUCCUGGGCGGGCUCCCUUGACGCCAUGCGGGUUCACCCACGCCCAGGCGCCCGUGCCCGCGCCCUGCUCCUCCCCUUUUUGCCAUGUCGUGGCCUUCGCCGCUGCCACGCCGGCGAACGCCCCCCCUCGCCGUGGCCCCCAGUGCGGGCGCCCGCAACCGCACACGCCCCUGUGCCCGUUUCGCCCGCCCGCUAAGGCCUCUGGCCUAUGACAAACGGGCCCCAACGCCCCAGAACGUUUUAAAAAAAGUAAUAAAAAUAAAUUUAAUUAAUCAAUUAAUUAAUUAAGUCAAUUAAUCCUAUUUAAUUAAUCUAAUUAACAUGUUAGUUUAUCUAAACAGUAAUUAGUUUAAUCUAAACCCUAAUUAACCUAAUAGUGUAUGACAGGUGGGUCCCACUGGACCCACACGUCAGUUUGACCAGUCAACACCUCUGUUGACUCCUGAUGUCAUGCUGACAUCAUGAUGACAUCAUCAAACACUGUUUUGGAUAAUGUUGAAUUAAAUUAAUUAAAUAAAUUCUAAAAAUGAUUUAAACUUUAGAAAAUCAUAUAAAAUAAACCGUAGCUCCGAUGAAAAUGCUUUCUACACGAAAGUUGCUCAGAAUGACGGCACGAAUCCAGAUAUGCAGCCCGUUCAUCCGCCACGCGUCCCUAGCAUAGUGAACCUGCAACAUUUCACCUCCGGUUCAUUUGAUCGAAAACACGAAACACCGGGAAUACUUUCCCGGAUGUUUCCCCUUUCGCCGGUAUCACCUACUACCGCGAUUGGGCACACCUAGCAUCGUUACUUGUCAUGUCAUGCAUCGAUAUGCAUCUGUUUGCAUUGUAUUCAUUGUUUCUUCCCCCUCUUCUCUCGGUAGACUUCAAGACCGACGCUGCUGCUGCCCAGUUCGACUACGGAGUUGACGACCCCUCCUUGCCAGAGCAAUCAGGCAAGCCCCCCCCCCCUUGAUCACCAGAUAUUGCCUAUUCUUCUCUAUACUGCUUGCAUUAGAGUAGUGUAGCAUGUUACUGUUCGGUUACUCCUAUUCUGUUGCAUAGCCUGUCAUUGUUGCUACAGUCAUUGCUACCUUACCCGCAAUCCUAAAUGCUUAGUAUAGGAUGCUAGUUUAUCACCAUUGGCCCUACAUUCUUGUCAGUCUGCCUUGCUAUACUAUUGGGCUGUGAUCACUCGGGAGGUGAUCACGGGUAUAUACUAUACAUAUAUACAUACUACAGAUGGUGACUAAAGUCGAGUCCGCUCGAAGAGUACCCGCGAGUGAUUGACGGAUUGGGGGUUGAAAGGACCUUUGUCCCGACGGCCCUCUGUGUGGAUCUUUGUGGCGGAGCGACAGGGCAGGUUGAGACCACCUAGGCGAGAGGUGGGCAUGGCCCUGGUCGGCAUCCGCGGUUGCUUCAUAAUAACACGCUUAACGAGAUCUUGGUAUUUGAUCUGAGUCUGGCCAUUUGGUCUAUACGCACUAACCAACUACGUGGGAAAGAUAUGGGCACUCGAUGUCGUGGUAUCAGCCGAAGCCUUCUAGACGUCAGCGACUGAGCGGCGCGCGCCGGAUUGGAACAUGAGCCUGCUCUUGUAUUAAGGGGGCUAGUUCUACGUUCGGCCGCCCUCGCAACGUGCAGGUGUGCAAUGGGCGAUGGGCCCAGACCCCUGCGCCAUAGGAGUUAGACCGGCGUGCUGACCUCUCUGUUAGGCCUAGGUGGGGCUACGACGUGUUGAUCUUCCGAGGCCGGGCAUGACCCGGCAAAGUGUGUCCGGCCAAAUGGGAUCGAGCGUGUUGGGUUAUGUGGUGCACCCCUGCAGGGAAGUUUAUCUAUUCGAAUAGCCGUGUCCCUCGGUAAAAGGAUGACCCGGAGUUGUACCUUGACCUUAUGACAACUAGAACCGGAUACUUAAUAAAACACACCCUUCCAAGUUCUACAGACAACCCGGUGAUCGCUUUUCCAUAGGGCGACGAGGGGAGGAUCGCCGGGUAGGAUUAUGCUAUGCGAUGCUACUGGAGAUGCUACUUGGAGGACUUCAAUCUACUCUCUUCUACAUGCUGCAAGAUGGAGGCUGCCAGAAGCAUAGUAUUUGAUAGGACUAGCUAUCCCCCUCUUAUUCUGGCAUUAUGCAGUUCAGUCCACUGAUAUGGCCUCCUUACACAUAUACCCAUGCAUAUGUAGUGUAGUUCCUUGCUUGCGAGUACUUUGGAUGAGUACUCACGGUUGCUUUCUCCCCCCUUUUCCCCCUUUCCUUUCUUUCUGGUUGUUGCAACCAGAUGCUGGAGUCCAGGAGCUAGACGCCACCGUCGACGACAACCCCUAUUACAUUGGAGGUGCCUACUACUACGUGCAGCCCGCUGACGACGACCAGGAGUAGUUAGGAGAAUCCCAGGCAGGAGGCCGGCGCCUCUUUCGAUCUGUAUCCCAGUUUGUGCUAGCCUUCUUAAGGCAAACUUGUUUAACUUAUGUUUGUACUCAGAUAUUGUUGCUUCCGCUGACUCGUCUAUCAUCGAGCACUUGUAUUCGAGCCCUCGAGGCCCCUGGCUUGUAUUAUGAUGCUUGUAUGACUUAUUUAUGUUUUAGAGUUAUGUUGUGAUAUCUUCCCGUGAGUCCUUGAUCUUGAUCGUACACAUUUGCGUGCAUGAUUAGUGUACGAUUGAAUCGGGGGCGUCACAUCAAGUGUGUGCGAACAAUGCGCAAACGAGCCUACGAAGGCUUCAAGAAAAAGGAGGGAGAAGGAGAGAAAUAAAGGACAGUUAAAGUAUAAAAUAUAGACGGAGUAAGGAGACGAACUCAGAGUCUGGUGCUAGGCGUAGAAUCUUCGGAGACGGGCUGUGUUCCAUGGGUUCGGCUCAAGUCGGUUAUCCGAUGCGUUCCGCAGACGGUACGCUCCACCGGUUAGGACUAGGUCGAUGAUGAAGGGACCAUCGCAUUUGGGCUUGAGUUUGUCCUUUUUCUUGUUCGGCAGGCGUAGAACUAACUCGCCAACAUUGUAAGCUUUGGCCCGUACUUCUCUGCUUUGGUAUCUUCGAGCCUGCUAUUGAUAGAAUGCGGAACGAGCUUUUGCCACGUCGCGCUCCUCCUCCAACGCGUCCAAACUGUCCUGCCGAUCGAGCUCGGCUUCUCUUUCUUCAUACAUGCGCAUGCGAGGUGAGUCAUGAAUUAUGUCGCAGGGCAAAACUGCCUCUACUCCGUACACCAUAAAAAUGGUGUGAAUCCGGUAGUGCGAUUCAGCGUGGUCCGCAGCCCCCAGAGUACGGAGUCGAGCUCCUCUGCCUAGUGCGUAUUAGAUUCCUUGAGGGACCACACUAGUAUGGGUUUAAUGCCGCUCAUGAUUAGACCAUUUGCUCGCUCGACUUGACCGUUAGUUUGAGGGUGAUAGACUGAAGCGUAGUCGAGCUUGAUGCCCAUGUUUUUGCACCAGAGUUUAACCUCAUCGGCCAUGAAGUUCGUGCCGUUAUCAGUGAUGAUGCUAUGGGGGACGCCGUAACAGUGUACUACCCCUGAUAUGAAGUCUAUCACGGGUCCGGAUUCGGCUGUCUUAACUGGCUUGGCCUUUAUCCAUUUGGUGAAUUUAUCCACCAUGACCAAUAGGUAUUUUUGCUUGUGGGUUCCUCCUUUAAGGGGUCCAACCAUGUCAAGCCCCCAGACCGCGAACGGCUAGGUGAUGGGUAUAGUUUUGAGGACGGUGGGUGGCAUGUGGCUUUGAUUAGCAAAGAGCUGGCAACCGACGCAUCGUUGGACUAAGUCCUGAGCGGCGUGGCGCCCACCGAGUCCGGCAUGAAUUUCAGCCAGAAGAUUUUGCCCUUCCUCUUCGGAGAUACACCUUUGAAGGACUCCGGUUGUGCUUUUCUUAUAAAGCUCUCCCUCAUGGACCUUAUAGGCUUUAGAUCAUCGUACUAUGCAGCGGGCCUCAUUUUGGUCCUCAGGAAGUUCCUGUCUAGUUAAGUAGGCUAGGAAUGGUUCCGUCCACGGGGCAAUGACUGCCAUUAUUUCGUGGGCUGAAUGUGUUAUUUCAUUGGCAGAACCGCCGAUUGUGUCAGAAUGUUCGGGGUUGGGUGGUGCGGUUGGGUCCGGAUUGUUGUUUUCGGACUCCCCUUCCCAUAGUACGGAUGGCUUGAACAGCCGCUCUAGGAAGAUAUUGGGAGGGACGGCAUCGCGCUUUAUGCCAAUGCAUGCCAAUACGUUCGCCGCCUGGUUAUUAUCCCAGGCUAUAUGGUGAAAUUCGAGCCCUUCAAACCGAGCUGACAUUUUUAGGAUGGCGUUACGGUAAGCUGCCAUUUUCGGAUCCUUGGCGUCGAAGUCUCCAUUUAUUUGGGAUAUCGCGAGGUUCAAAUCCCUGCGCACCUCUAGGCGUUUAAUGCCCAUGGAGACCGCCAUCCGGAGGCCAUGUAGAAGGGCCUCGUAUUCGGCUGCGUUGUUGGAGUCCGUGUACAUUAUCUGGAGUACGUAUUGAACUGUGUCUCCGGUUGGGGAUGUCAGGACGACGCCAGCCCCCAGGCCGGCCAACAUUUUGGAGCCGUCGAAGUGCAUGAUCCAAUUGGAAUAUGCGCCGUACUCUUUAGGGAGUUCAACUUCAGUCCAUUCAGCGACGAAUUCGGCCAAAACUUGCGACUUGAUAGCUCGCCGUGGCUUGUAGGUUAUGUCGAACGGGAGGAGCUCGAUGGCCCAUUUUGCAAUCCGUCCAGUCGCGUCGUGGUUGUUUAUAAUGUCAUUAAGAGGUACUUCGGAGGCUACUGUUAUCGAACACUCUUAAAAGUAGUGUCGCAGCUUCCGGGAUGCCAUGAUCACCGCGUACGCUAUCUUUUGAUAAUGUGGAUACCGGGACUUGCAUGGAGUUAGGACAGUGGACACGUAGUAAACUGGUUUUUGAAGGGGGAACUUGUGUCCGUCCAUUUCUCGUUCGACGACGAGCACCGCGCUUACAACUUGAUGUGUUGCCGCGAUAUAUCAUAACUUUGGUUCGCCCAUGUUGGGCGCGGCCAGGACCGGAUUGGUUGCCAAUAUGGCUUUUAUUUCUUCGAGUACGACUGUGGCGGCAUCCGUCCACUCGAAGAGUUCAGUGUGCUAGAGGAGGCGAUAAAGGGGUAAUGCCUUUUCUCCCAAACGGGAGAUAAAGCGGCUUAGAGCCGCCACGCAUCCAGUCAAUUUUUGUAUUUGUUUGAGGUCUUUUGGGAUAUCCAAUUGUGACAGAGCUCGGAUCUUGGCUGGGUUUUCUUCAAUUCAUGUACCGGAUACAAUGAAGCCCAAGAGCUUUCCGGCUGGUACGCCGAAGACGCAUUUUUCCGGAUUCAGCUUAAUGUCAUAUGUUUGGAGAUUGUCGAAUGUGAGCCUGAGUCGUCUACUAGAGUUUCGACAUGCUUGGAUUUGACGACCACAUCAUCUAUGUAUGCCUCCACUAUUUUGCCGAUCUGGUUUGCCAAACAUGUCUGAAUCAUGCGCUGAUAUGUUGCGCCGACGUUUUUGAGCCCAAAGGGCAUUGUGUUGAAGCAGAAUGGGCCGUAUGGAGUGAUGAAUGCCGUUGCGGCUUGGUCUGGCUCUGCCAUCAUGAUUUGGUGGUAGCCGGAGUAUGCGUCGAGGAAGCACAAUGAAUCGUGUCCUGCGGUAGCAUCGAUAAUUUGAUCGAUGCGGGGGAGGGGAAGGGGUCCUUUGGGCAAGCCUUGUUAAGGUCCUUGAAGUCGACACAUAGGCGCCAGGAUUUAUCCUUCUUUGGUACCAUCACUAGGUUUGCUAGCCAGUCCGGAUGUUUUAUAUCUAUGAUGAAUCCGGCUUCCAAUAGUUUAGCUAGAUCCUCUCCCAUUGCCUGUCUCUUGGGUUCGGAAAAUCGCCGAAGAGCCUGUUUGACUGGCUUGAAUCCUUUUAGGAUAUUUAGACUGUGCUCGGCCAGCCGGCGUGGGAUCCCUGACAUGUCUGAAGGGUGCCAGGCAAAAAUGUCCCACUUUUCCCGUAGGAAUUCUCGUUGUGCGGCGUCUACAUCAGGGUUUAACUGUGCCCCAAUGGAGGCCGUCUUUGUAGGGUUCGUUGGAUGGACUUGGAAUUUGACUAUUUCGUUCGCUGGCUUAAAAGAGGUGGACUUGGAUCUCUUAUCGAGUAUCACAUCGUCCCUGUUCACCGUGGAGCGCAGCGCAGUGAGUUCCUCGGCCGCUAGGGCUUCAGAUAGUGCCUCUAGGGAUAGUGCAGCUGUCUUAUUUUCGGCGCGGAGUUCUAUGUCCGGAUCACUGGCAAGAGUGAUGAUUCCGUUGGGCCCGGGCAUUUUGAGCUUCAUGUACCCGUAAUGGGGUAUAGCUUAAAAAAUUGUGAACGCCUCUCGCCCUAAUAAAGCGUGAUAUCCGCUGCUGAACGGGGCCACUUGGAACGUGACCUCCUCGGAACUGUAAUUGUCCGGCAAGCCGAACACCACAUCCAGUGUGAUUUAUGCUGUGCAGCAUGCUUCCCGACUAGGGAUUAUUCCUCUAAAGGUUGUGCUGCUUCACUCAAUGCGGCUCUAGUCUAUUUCCAUUUUUCGGAGGGUUUCCUCGUAGAUGAGGUUUAAUCUGCUGCCACCGUCCAUGAGUACCUUAGUAAGGCGAAAGCCGUCCACUAUUGGACUAAGGACCAAUGCGGCUGGUGCUCGGGCUGUUCGUAAUUUAGGUUCGUCACUGGCGUUGAAGGUAAUAGCCGUGUCACUCCAUGGGUUUAUUGUUUCUACCUAGUAGACUUCGGCAAGGCUGCGGAGUGUUCGUUUCCGCAUAUUAUUUGAUGCGAAAGUCUCGACGACUGUUAAUACUGUUGGGGAUAUUACCACUAGGCGUAAACCGGCCUACUUGGGCCGGGUUAACUUCAUUAGUGGUAUAAGCAGAUGAAGGCCCAAGGCUUGUAGUCGGUUUAGAACAUGUAGCCGUAAACCGGCCUGAUGUAUAACUUGUAUUGUAAGUUAGGAAUAGAGAGAUGCCAACCGGAAUACGAGUAUGAACCGGUUGGGACUCUAUGGACCGACGGGCGUCACCCGUGUAUAUAAGGGGACGACCCGGCGGCGGUUCAGGAGAGACAACCAACAACUCGAGCCUAGGCGAAGCUUGCUUGCUCCCUAGCCAUCGAGACUACAUCAAUUCCAUCACAACUAGACGUAGGCUUUUACCUUCAUCGAAGGGGCCGAACUAGUAUAAAACCCUCGUGUCUUUGUGUCUGCUUUAACCCCUUCAAGUAAACUCGUAGCGAUGGCUCCACGACUAAGUCCUUUCACUAGGACAUCUGCCGUGACAAAUCCAUGACAGUUGGCGCCCAGCGUGGGGCUAUCGCACGAUGGUUUGACAAUCUUGGAGGGCAAGCUCAAGGGACUCGAAGGCUAUGUUGUGGGCCGGAUGACCAAGAGUCGUCGCGGCAGGAUCUACAUCGACGACGCAGGAUGGGGUCCCGAGGCCGAUUCAACCGAGUACGGGUACCGGGUCCCCUUCGGCAGCAUACACGUUUUCAUUGGCAAGAUCGGUGAGCCUGGGCCUGAGCCGGACAUCUGCCCCGACCUCGUCAAAACGGCUCAGCAUGCGAGAUCUACCCAGGCUAAACCGGCCAUGAAGCGUGACUUCGUUGGAGUCAUCCACGGAGGAGAAUGUGAGGACGAGUCAGAACACGGUAGCGAGACCGUCGUUUAUUCCGGCGACAAGUCCUCGACCGGAGAGACCGAAUCACUAUACCAGUUGCAAGACGACCAGGUUAGGGGCUGUUCCGAUGGCGACAGUAUUCCGGACCCCCCGAGCCAGAUCAACCGGGUUGGAAUAUUCAUGGCCAGCACCCAGGCGGCGAAUCAUUCUUCGACCGCCGCAGCAAUGCUCUUCGGAUCAGCAGCGGCAGCGGCAGCAGGGGCAGGAGGCCUUGUGCGCCCACCGGUUCAAGUCCUAUCCGACCUGUUUGAUGCACUAGCCGCGCUUAUGGCAGAAGCCAAUCCGGCGGAUCAGGAGGCUCAUGAUGCAGAGAUUGCAAAGGUGAAAGAACUGAUCGUGCAAGCCAAAGCGGAUCUGGCGGCAGAGAAGGACAGGCUGGCUGCAGAGCGGGCCGCUUUGGACGCCCAGGCCUAUAAGCUCAUGCUUGACCAGAAUGCAUCAUAGGAGGUCUUGAAGCGGAAGCACAGAUCACGCCUGCCGUUAGGGUUUGACCCCCGAAAUCUCUUUCACACUCCAGGAGCAGGGCCCAGCAAUCCGCCGCAGUACCUGGAGGCAAACCGGAUUGAGGCACCAGGGCCAGGAGCGACGGUCCAGCCCCGACUGAUGGAACCUCCGCAACAGAACAUUGUGGCCCCUCUGCCGGUCCAGACGCCCCCGGGUCAUUAUUCGAAUCCUAUGGACAACCUUGUUGCAGCCGCCGCACGAUUAGAGGCUAUCCCGGUCGAAGGGGACUCUCCGCAAGCGAUCGAGACGCGCCGGGUUAAGGAGCUUCUUCGGACUGUGCUGAUUCAGCAGGAAGCAUAUUCAUACAACCGUGAUCGGAUUCACUCUACGCCCCGUCCAAGCCGGAGCUAUAGCAGGCGCAUGGAUGAACCGGCCAUAUCGAGCAAUGCGCGAGUCCGUGAAGCGGCCCGUGGCAAUAACCUGGCAGGUGGUGUCCGCGAUGCUCAGGAUGUGGUGGACCGGGCCCGGGCACGAAGGGAGGCCGAGUUAGCGGCACAGGAUGAUGCGGGUCAACUUACACCGGUUCGCCCUACCACCUUCGCCGGGCCAGGAGUCGCAUCCGCUUUGGGAGUGCCUUGCUUAAUCCCCGCUUUGGGCAAUGUGCGCCUGCCCAAGGAUUUCAAGGGUCCACACAAGGUGCCGAAUUACACCGCGGAUUUAUCCCCUAAAGCGUGGGUAGAGAGUUAUGAGAUGGCCAUGGAGAUGCUAGACGUGGAUGAGGCCGCGUGUGCAAAAUACUUCACCAUGAUGCUUGAGGGCACGGCUCAUACUUGGUUGAAGAGCCUGCCACCCAAUUCUAUCAGCUCAUGGGCCCAGUUGCGGGCCCGGUUUAUACAGAAUUUUAAGGAUACAUGUAAGCAGCCCAAGUCCAUAGUAGACCUGGCGGCUUGUGUCCAGGAGGAAGGAGAAUCAACGACCCGUUGGGUGCGCCGCGUUUCGGAAAUUUUGCACUCGUCUGACAGGAUUAAUGCUGACUCUGCGAUCUUAACUCUGGAAGGCAACUGCCGGUUUGAGCCUUUAAAAUUGAAAUUGGGACGCAUGAAGCGGUUCUGUAAUGACAAGGGAACCCUUAUGGCCGCUUUAGUGAAGUAUGCUGAUUCGGACAGUACCAAGGAUCCCGAGGCUGAUGAUGAUGAAGCAGGGAAGGGAAGGAAGAAUGGCAACUCCAAACAGCAGCAGUACAAACCGGCGGGUCAUGGAAACGGAGGCAAGCGCUAGGCGGAUAGCAGCAUGGAUUUUGUGGCCAAUGCUAAUGCACAGGACAGGGGGUAGCGGCGCAGAGGUAAAGCGGCAAAUCGUAAUGGGGCUCCCAAUCCUAACGCAAGCCGUUUGAAUUAUUUGUUGAAUCAGCCAUGCCCAAAGCACAGGACGAAGGAGUCGCCGGCUAACCACCUUUGGAAGGAUUGUUAUAUUAUGCAGGAGUUUAAAAACUCUAAUGCCUUCCGAUAUGACCAUGGGUCAGGUGGCGGUUCAGGAUCUGGUUUCCAUGGACCGGGUCACGAUGGAGCUUCCGGUUCAGGUCUCAAUCAGGGCGGUCACAACAACCAGAAUAGUCAGAACGGUCAGCAUCAGCAGUCGGGUUAUUAGAGCCAGCCAAAGCAGUUGAACAAUGGGCAAUACCAUGUUUUCACAACUAGCUUGGAUAAGCGCGACUGAAAACUCCACAAGCGAGCAGUGAAUUCUGUUGAACCGGCCUUACCACGUUACUUACGCUGGUCAGAGCAGCCUAUCAUGUGGAGCAGAGAGGAUCACCCGCCCCGGGUUGAUAAUCCGGGACAGCUAGCAUUAGUGGUAGACCCUCAGGUGGGGGGUUAUAAGUUCACCAAGGUACUCAUGGAUGGAGGAAGCAGUAUUAACAUACUAUACUAUGAGACAUUCCGGCGCAUGGGUCUCACAGACAAGGAUCUCAGACCGUCUAAUACGGUGUUCCAUGGUGUAGUGCCAGGCAAAUCUGCAUAUCCUGUUGGUAAGAUAGCCGUAGAUGUGGCUUUUGGGGACGAGCACGAUUCUCGGUCAGAAAAAUUAACCUUUGAGGUGGUGAAGAUCCGGAGCCCGUAUCACGCCUUGUUUGGGCGGCCGGCUUAUGCCAAGUUUAUGGCGCGGCCUUGUUAUGUCUACUUACAGCUCAAGAUGCCGGGUUACAAGGGGACGAUAACGGUUCAUGGGAGCCGUAGGGUCGCUUUGGAAUGUGAGGAAGGUGAUGCGGCUUAUGCAGAGUCGGUCUGUGCCACGGAAGAGUUGAAGUAUUAUAAGGACAAUGUUGAUCCGGCGGAUAUGACCCCUUUGAAGAAGCCAACUACAGAGCAUGAUUCGGAUUUGAAGUUCAAAUCGGCAGCUGAGACCAAGCUUGUUGACUUCGUGCCCGGCGAUUCAUCCAAGUAGUUCACUAUCAGUGCCAACCUGGAUCCCAAAUAAGAAAGCACGCUCAUCGAGUUCAUCCGUGAGAAUCGGGACAUCUUUGCAUGGAAACCGUCCGACAUGCCAGGUGUACCGAGGGAACUCGCUGAGCACACUCUUAAUGUGGAUCCUAAGUAUAAACCGGUGAAACAAUUCCUCCGCCGGUUUAAGGAAGAAAGGCGCAAAGCCAUUGGAGAGGAAGUGGCCAGGCUUUUAGCAGCUGGUUUUAUCAUUGAGGUGUUCCAUCCAGAGUGGCUUGCUAAUCCGGUGCUGGUUCUUAAGAAAAACGGCACUUGGCGUAUGUGUGUGGAUUACACAGAUCUUAACAAGGCCUGUCCGGCAGAUCCUUUUGCCCUCCCCCGCAUUGACCAGAUCAUUGAUGCCACGGCGGGUUGUGAGCGUUUGAGUUUUUUGGAUGCAUACUCUGGAUAUCAUCAGAUCAAGAUGGCGGUUAAGGACCAGGAGAAAACAUCAUUUAUUACUCCCUUUGGAGCCUUUUGCUAUGUAUCUAUGCCCUUCGGGCUCAAGAGUGCCCAAGCCACCUAUCAACGGUGUGUACAGAAUUGCCUGCAUAAACAGAUCGGCCGCAAUGUGCACGCCUAUGUGGAUGAUAUUGUAGUGAAGUCAAGACAGAAGGAGACGCUGAUGGAUGAUUUGAAGGAGACCUUUGACAACUUGAGAGUUUACAAGAUGAUGCUUAAUCCGGCCAAGUGUGUCUUUGGUGUUCCGGCAGGCAAGUUAUUGGGUUUCCUGGUGUCUAAUAGAAGAAUUGAAGCUAACCCGGAGAAGAUUACGGAUAUUACCUCCCUAGCUAAACCAAAGUGUAUCAACGAUGUUCAGCGUUUGGCGGGCCGAAUCGCCGCACUGAGCCGGUUUAUCAGCCGCCUCGGAGAGAAGGCCAUCCCUUUGUACCAAAUGCUGAGGAAGACACACAAUUUCGUCUGGAGUCCGGCUGCUGAUGAAGCAUUUGAGGACUUGAAGCGGCAGUUAGCCAAUCCGCCGGUUCUUGCAGGUCCGGUUGACAAGGAGCCACUAUUAUUAUACGUAGCAGCUAAUUCUCGGGCAGUUAGCGUGGCUAUUGUGGUGGAACGCAAGGAGGCAGGCAAGGAAUAUCCGGUUCAGCGGCCGGUUUAUUAUAUCAGCGAGGUGCUUAUUGAAUCCAAGCAAAGGUAUCCGCAUUGGCAGAAGUUGGUUUAUGGUGUCUUCAUGGCCAGCCGGAAGUUGAAGCAGUAUUUUCAAGGGCACCCCAUCACAGUGGUCAGUUCAGCUCCCUUGGGUGAUAUCAUACAGAACCGGGAGGCGACUGGCCGGAUUGCUAAGUGGGCUAUAGAGCUUGGGCCGCACGGACUGAAGUAUGUACCUCGGACGGCGGUGAAGUCUCAAGCACUUGUUGAUUUCAUCAAUGACUGGACGGAGUUACAAGCGCCAGAGGAGAAGCCGGAUCACACAUAUUGGACUAUUCAUUUUGAUGGAUCCAGGCAAUUGGAAGGCUCGGGGGCUGGAGUCGUAUUAACUUCCCCACGAGGUGAUAAGUUCUGUUAUGUUCUCCGCUUAAUGUUCCCUUAUACUAACAAUGCAGCUGAGUACGAAGCCUUGCUCCAUGGUCUCCGGAUGGCUAAAGAGAUGAACUUAAGCCGGGUUAAGUGUUUCGGUGACUCGGACCUUGUGGCUCAACAGGUGUCUGGCACUUGGGAUUCUAAGGACCCGCUCAUGGCUGCAUAUCGUCGGGAAGUGGAUAAUAUUGCGGGUUGCUUCAAGGGUUAUCAAGUGGAUCAUGUGGACCGUCGGAAGAAUGAAGCGGCGGACGCUUUAAGCCGGUUGGGUUCUCAGCGCAAACCGGUCCCGCCUAAUGUCUUUUUGGACGUGUUGCACAAUCCGUCAGUCCAGCUCCCAAGUGAAGUGGAUUUGGCUAUUCCUGACCCGGAGGCUCAAUUGGUGGCAGCAUUACAUGCUAUUCCGAUUGGACGGUUCCUUAUAUUGCAUACAUGAACCGGGGGGAGUUUCCAGAAGAUGAAAUUCUAGCAAGGCAGAUAGUCCGGCGAUCCAAGUCCAUGAUGAUUCUCAAUGGUGAAUUGCAUCGUUGCAGUGUAUCAGGGGCGUUUCAACAUUGUGUUUCUCCUGAGGAAGGCUGUGAAAUCUUAAGAGAAAUCCAUGAGGGGGAUUGUGGACACCACGCCGGUUCAAAGUCUCUGGUGGCAAAGGCGUUUCGUCACGGGUUUUACUGGUUGACAGCACAUGCUGAUGCGGAGGACUUGGUUAAACGGUGCGAUGGAUGUCAGAAAUUUUCAAGGCGAGCGCAUGUGCCGGCUCAAGAAUUGAGGAUGAUUCCAAUAACAUGGCCGUUUGCAACUUGGGGGCUGGAUAUGGUCGGACCUUUUAAAAGAUCCAAGGAUAAGAAAACCCACCUUUUGGUGGCAGUUGAUAAAUUUACCAAGUGGGUUGAAGCGGAGCCUGUCAGCAAGUGCGAUGCAGCAACAGCGGUGCAGUUCAUCAAAAAGGUGAUUUUCCGGUUUGGUUUUCCGCACAGUAUCAUUACUGACAAUGGAACCAAUUUAUCCAAGGGGGCUAUGAAGGAGUUCUGUGAACGUGAGCACAUCUGACUUGACGUGUCAUCAGUGGUGCACCCCCAGUCCAAUGGACAGGCAGAAAGAGCUAAUCAAGAGAUUUUGCGAGGCAUCAAACCCCGGCUUAUGGUCCCAUUGCAAAGAACACCGGGAUGUUGGGUUGAAGAGCUACCAUCUGCGCUCUGGAGUAUCAAUACUACGCCAAACCGGUCCACAGGAUACACACCAUUUUUUAUGGUCUAUGGAGCAAAGGCAGUUCUCCCUAGUGAUAUCCGGCAUGAUUCGCCUCGUGUGGCAGCUUAUGUUGAAGCGGGCAAUGAGACAGCACGGCAAGACGCUUUGGACCUAUUGGACGAAGCGCGUGAUCUAGCGGCUGCCUGUUCGGCGAUUUACCAACAAGAUCUUUGUCGCUAUCACAGUCGCCGGGUUAGAACCAGAACUUUUCAAGAAGGAGAUUUGGUGCUUCGACUAAUCCAGGACCAGACAGAUAUGUACAAGUUAUCCCCACCUUGGGAAGGACCUUUCGUGGUCAGCAAGAAUCUGCACAACGGGUCGUACUAUCUGAUUGAUAUUCGAGAGCAUCAAGACUCACGUACAUCAGAGGAGGAGACCAACAGGCCAUGGAACAUAGCUCAUCUUCGGCCUUACUAUACUUGAGCCAUCGGCUCUAUCUAUGUACAUAUCAUGACAAUGUAUAUAUUAUCUUUGAUAUAUAAAACCGGAGCCUCAGCUAAAGCGGGGUCUCUGUCUUUCUUAUCAUGCGUGGUUACACGGAGUGGCUCUGUUUAAAGCGGCCUCCGGUUUACCCCUUGACAUUUGCUUUCUAUAUAUCACUGGGGGCCUUGGUCGUGUCCGAACCAACGCGACACCCUUUGAUAGGCGACAGCCACCAGAUCAUUUGGGGACAUGGUCAAGUCUGAACCAGUCACGCCUCUUGGUCGGCCUAAGGCCACAAAAUCACUUGGGGGCAUGGUCGAACCCGAACCAUUGCCACGCCUCUUGAUCUGGCAUAUAUGCCACGAAUCAUUUGGGGACCUGGCUGACUUGAAUCAUUGUCACUCCUAUUGGGGGCCUUGGUCCUGUCCGACCAUGGUAACACCAUCUGAUCAGCUCAGUAUAGCAUAUUUUUGCAAACGGUUUUUAUCAUUGCCUUUGCUUCCAUGUUAUUUUCAUGGUUUGUUUGUUCUUUGCUUUUGUUGGAUUUCUUUUAUGUCAACAAACAUAUUUUUCCGGUUCAGCCGAUGGUUUUGAUCCCCCUUUAAUCCGGAGGAGUAUGCCCGGUUUACCUUUUCCCUGUUAACAUCAUGGAGUAACAAGGGGGCUCGUAUUGAUUUAGUACGGUUUAUACGGGAGCUAUUUUCUCCCCCCUUUUUUGACGGUAAUGGUUUAUAAAACUGCCGCUUCAGGCUUGGCUAAGCCAGCUUCAUGCCGAAACAUGGCAGGUAUUUAUGCAUCACCUAUUUGUUAUAUUACUGAUACACAUAUCAAGAUCAUAAACCGGCUGGCAGUAUAACCGCCACCGAAGUUCAAAUUUUUCUGAUUGCAGGAAAUAUGAAUUGAAGUUUUUCAAACAAAAGCUUCAGUACUUAUGCACGAAGGCAUAUUCCAGGCAGAAGUAUUAACUAUCCUAUUACAAGGCAGCACAGUGCCCAAACAAGAUCAUUGUUCUUUUGGAAAGAUGUCACAGGCAGCUAUCCAAACCGGCUUCCGGUUCAAGCCUGCUCCUCAUCCUCCGCCGCUUCAGCUUCCUCGUCUCUACCCAUUGGCUGGAAAUCAACAGUGGUCUAGUUGAUUCCCAUUAAAGCUUGGAAAACAGCCUCUUCAUGGAUCAGGGAAGACGGUUCAAUAUCAGGAGCAUAAGUGUGCUUACGGAUUGGAGGGAUCAGAUUCUCCGCUUCAACAGUUGGGGCAGGCACUCGCUUGUUUUGAUCGUUAUAUUGUGCUUGAUAAUGCGUCAAAUCUGCCUCUUCAUCUAGCUGGCAAGCCAGAGGGCGCACUGCAUGGUUUAUUGCCCUUAAAUCCUCUUCGUUGAAUUCAGAGCCAUCUUCUUUCAGGCUGGGAUAGCCAUGAGCUGCUUCCACAGGAUCAAAAUCUAGCACCCAUGCCUUUGCCCGGAUCAAGGCAUUAAUGGCUCCGGUUCGGGCAGCGGAUUUUUUCAGCUCCUCAAUCCGGCUGGAAGCAUUGACAACCUGCUAAGGGUGUCUUGGAUUAAAGAGGGUGCCGGGUUGUUAUGAGAAGCUGUGGUGAUGAUCCGCUGGGCUCCGGUAUACAAUUGUUCCACCAAGGUGUAGGCAGCCUUCAGUUUCUUCCGCACAUCAUUUCCUAAGUGCCCAAUGCGUGUGCCUACAACAGGAUAGGAAUGGUCUCAAACCGGAUUUACGUUACAACAGGUUCAAAUUAUCGCAGAAGUUAAAAGGAGCUUACCAAAGAUCGCAGCAGUCAUGGAGUGUAUUUGCCGCUGUACGGCCGUCAGUUCAUCCACCACCGGUUUAAGGGCAGCUUCAGCAUUUUCCGCUCUUUUGGUUAAACCGGCCUUCUCAGUGGCCCAGUCAGCCCGCUCUUUCUUGAAGCCUUCUUUCAGCCGUUCAGCAGUGCUCAAGGCGUUGGUUAAUUCUUGCUUUGCCUUAUCUAUUUCAGUCUGCUGGGUUUUCAAGGCCUCCUGCAAAUCGGCAAUCCGGUCCUCCUUGAUUUUCACCUCAGCCUGCAUACAGACAACGUGAAGCUUUACACAAGAGAUCCAAGAAAUUGAAGUAUCAACCACAUAACAAAGUUAUAUGACUGAUACUUGGGGGCUAAUGCACCUUCAAUUUUUGUAUAUUACUAGAUUGCAAAGUCCCAAGCUCAAUACAAGUAUUCAACUUGGCACUUGGGGGCUAAUGGCUAUUUGAUCAAGUUAUGUUCUAAGGACAGUUUUCUAUUGGAGCCCUGGUUUACUUAUGCUAAGUUAGACCGGCCCUUGAGGGAUAUACUGAUGGGUUUCAAAAAUGUUCAGGACCAAGUCCCGGUUUGACCAAGGUUACAAACCGGCCCUUGGGGGCUAGAAGGAUGGAUGCAAUGGCAGCAGGAAAAGAAGUAAGUUACCUCAAAUUUAUCCCUCAUCAUCUUGACCAGGCCAGCUUCACAGUCACGGCUAGUGUAAAGCCGGUUUAAAUAGCCGGAGUGAAGAUCUUGGGCACUCAGAGCAGCAUAUGUCUCUAGUUCAACAUCCCAUUUUCCUUUGUUCAAAGUGGAAAAAUCCUCUUUGAUGGUAUGCUUGGUAAGGGUGACAGGAUUCCCGGGUUCAAAGCGGCCCACACCGGUAAUCACAACAUCAUCAUCUUUGGACUCGCCGGUUUGUGUUGGUGCGGCCGUUUUGUCAGCAGGAGUGUGGGAUUUCUCAAUCCGGACGGAGCUGGCAGGCGGAUCAGCAGAGGCUGAAGUGUUAAUAAGCCCUUCUUCGGGAAUAACGUCGUUUUGCAAAGGAGGAUCAUUGGGGAUAUCUUCAGGAGUAAACAUUUCACGAUCCGGCACUUGGUCAUGUUCUGGGGCUACAUCUUCUUCAGCCGAUUUAUCCAGGCGGGCCUUCUUGCUUGGUUUCGGUUUGGCCCUGAAAGAAAAACAAAAAGUCAAGGAAAGGCAUAAGCCGUGACACAGUAUACUGGAAGCAUAUGUUCAGUUUAACUUACCCAGCAACUAUUUUCAAUGGUGGUAGCUGAGUGGCCGACGAUUCACCAGACGAUGAAUGAGAAGUGACCUGAUAAUCGGAGUCGGAUGUAUUAAGAGGUUGACGGAAGAAACCCGCUUUAGGAUUUAAAUCAAUAAAAAGGUCGGAGACCUCGGAGCGGCGUUUUCGAACCGGACUGUUCGGUAAACCGGCAGAGGUAACUACCUGGCCGCUGUGCCGGGUUGUGCGGCGAGCUUCGUGUUGCUGGGUCUUCAUAAGAAAUUGGGGAUCCAAAUAAGCAAGAGGAUGAGAAAAUUUAACUUUCCGGUUUGCCUGGCGAAAUUUUGGCAAAGGCAAGUUUUCUGAAUCGGAAGAGAGAAUAGUUACCUCAAUGAAUCCUGCAUUGCUGGCUUCAGCGUCAUCCUGACAAGCAUCAUCAUCAAUAAGGCAUGUAAAAAGUAAGCAAAGUGAAUCAAGUUCUACCUCAAGAUCCGGAUUACCCACAUCAUCAUCAAUGGGUGGGUCAGAUGAAGCGGUGGUUUUUCUCUUACGAGCUGGUUUCUUGAUAACCUUGGUCUUGGGCCGGGUUGGCCGCCCUGCCUUCUCCGUUUUAUCUUGUGAAAGCUUCUUGCUCCAAAACGGAUUAUCACCCUGGAUCAGCAAUAAUUAAAGGUCAGGCAGAUAAAGCAGUAACAGGUUCAAUAAUAGAGCAAUUAAAAUCUUACCGCUGGCGGUUCGUUGGUAGUGCAGUAAGGAAGCAAACCGGUUUGAGCACAGAGGUGCUCCGGUUCAUUCAACAUCUUCUUUACAGAUUCUGUGACUUCGUCGUCGGAGACUUGGAUUUUGAUAUGUCGGAGUGGGUCAUCGACGCUACCAGUGUACUCGCACAUCAAACCGGAGCGCCGGCUCAGAGGCAGUAUGCUCCAUGAUAUCCAGCAGCGUGCAAGAUCUAUUCCUGUUAAACCGUUGGCCAUAAAGGCUUGGAGCAUGGACACCUGAGGAGCAUACUUAAUUCUCUCCUUGGCGCUUAGCCUUUGUGGAAAAGGGUGAGUGUUGCUGAGCCGUUCCGGAUGGAAGCCAGGCAAGGGAUUUUCAUUGUCAGGGGAGGUAUCCUUGCAAUAAAACCAAGUUGCAUUCCACUCCUUGGGGUGAGUAUGGAGUUUGACGUGGGGAUAGGUGAUCUCCUUCCUUUUCUGAAUGGCCAUACCGCCCAGUUCAGUAUUAGGACCGUCGGUGAAUUCAGUGCGACGGUUCAGAUGAAAGAGAUCUCUAAAUAACUCGACUGAAGGCUCCUCUUGAAGGUAUGCCUCAGAAAGUACUUGAAAGUGACAUAGAUUGGUGACAGAGUUGGGGCCAAUAUCCUGUGGACGGAGCUGAAAGUUGGCUAACACAUCCCGAUAGAAUUUAGAACCGGGCGGUUUGAAGCCUCGGGCCAUGUGUUCUGCGAAGACCACGACCUCUCCUUCCUGGGGUGUGGGAGGACAUUCAUCUCCGGGAACCCUCCAGUGGAUCGUAUCUUUAUCAUCCAAAGCGCCGAUCAGGACUAGGUCGUCCAACUGUGAUUCUGUGACGCGAGAGGGAACCCAAUUGCACUCAUACACUUGUUUGGCCAUGACGAGAUCUACAAGAAAUAGGUAAUCCGGUUCAAGGGCAUGCCGGAUAAAAAGGUGUUGCUGGGCUGGUGCCCUGGAACUAGGAGUUCUUCGCCACUUUUGGCCACCUGCCGUAGUAUCCAACAUGCUCUAAGGCUAUGAGUUGGAGUGGCGCCCUCUGUACUAUGAAUUUUGCAGGGUCCGUUGAGCCACCCUUCCAGUACGGUUCCAUGCCCUUUAGGGUUUUUUUGCUUUUUGGUAUGUAACCCAGGUGCCUGGCGAUGAUGCACCCUUUUAUUUUGGACUAGGGUUGUAUUCGGGGCCGGAUUAUCCCAAAAAUUGGUUUCGGUUUUCUAGGCACUCUCCAUCGCACAAUACUUUUGUACAAUGGACGCCAAGUCGGCAAAGCGUGUAAUUUCACGAUGACUUAUGGCGUUUAGGAUUCCCUUGUCCGUGCAAUUAUUGCAGAAAAGUGAAAUUGCGUCUUCCUCGCAGCAGUCCUUUAUCCUGUCCAUAACCAGGAGGAAUCUGGCCUAGUAAUGGUGUACUGUUUCAUCGGGUUCUUGCCGGAUUCGGGAUAGAUCGCUUAUGUUUGGGUGGGCGGGUGGAAUUAAAUUCGGAACCCCGUCCAAUCUAAGACUCAAGGGCCGAAAAGUUUCCGAACUUGGAAGCUUGGGUUUUUGGAUAUUGUCCAAUGAAUCUAUCCCACUGCCUGACUUUAGGUUCAGGACUUGAUCGACCUCCGUCCCUCCACGGGAAUUCGGCAUGGAGGGGUCGGUAAUCCAGACAUAACUAGUCCUUAAUAUAGAAGAAGGGUCGCCGUACUGUUCCUCCACCACAGCAACGUGGUGGGUAGCCUGGGGAGAGUUGAUCUCUCUCAGAUCGGUUUUAGGCCCAAUCUGAUCGUAGUCUGUAGCGACUCCCAGGGGGGCGAUGCGAUCCAAGAUCUCGUUUAAGGAGGAGAGCUCCAUCGGAUCUAGCUGCUCGGCAAGUUCCGACUUAACGUGAAGAUUGCUUUUGAUGACCCGAGAAGUCAUCGUCGGCGCGGCAGCCGAACAGGCGUUCAUAAGAAAACCGCCUGGCCGGAGAGUUUGGACGAUUGCCAAAGCUCCUUUAGCAAUGGUGCCGUCUUUAAAGACGGGACGAGGCAUCCUUCCUGAUGGCGACGGCACAGAGGAAGUCUCAAUGAAAGCACCAAUGUCGGUGUCAAAACCGGCGGAUCUCGGGUAGGGGGUCCCGAACUGUGCGUCUAAGCGGAUGGUAACAGGAGACAAGGGACACGAUGUUUUUACCCAGGUUUGGGCCCUCUCGGUGGAGGUAAAACCCUACUCCUGCUUGAUUAAGAUUGAUGAUAUGGGUAGUACAAGAGUAGAUCUACCACGAGAUCAAAGAGGCUAAACCCUAGAAGCUAGCCUAUGGUAUGAUUGUUUUUCGUCCUACGGACUAAAACCCUCCGGUUUAUAUAGAAACGGAGAGGGCUAGGGUUACACAGAGUCGGUUACAAUGGUAGGAGAUCUACAUAUCCGUAUCGCCAAACUUGCCUUCCACGCCAAGAAAAGUCCCAUCCGGACACGGGACAAAGUCUUCAAUCUUGUAUCUCAUAGUCUAGGAGUCCGGCCAAAGAUGAUAGUUCGGCUAUCCGGACACCCCCUAAUCCGGGAUUCCCUAAAUCCCCGUCGACAAGGAGUAGUUUGGAGGUUCUCAGGCAGGAGGCAUGCGCCUUUUCGAUCGAUGUUGUUAUUUGUGCUAGCCUUCUUAAGGCAAUCAUGUUUAUUUGUGUCUGUACUCGGAUACUAUUGUUUCUGCUGACUUGUGUACCUCAAGCUGUUGUAUUCGAGUCUCGUGGCCCCUGGCUUGUAAUAUAAAGCUUGUGUUAUUUUAAUGUUAGAGUUGUGCCGUGAUAUCCUUACCGUGGGUCCCCGCCCUGUAUCGGGGGCGCCACACAUGCUAUAUAUACUACAAAUGCCAUGUCAGAAAGAAACAUUUGCCAUGGUACGUAACUUCAUUUGCAAUGGCAUAAACUUCAUUUGCCAUGUUAAAAAACACAUUUGGCAUGCUCCCUUAAAAAUAAUUUUUUUUACCAUAUUGCAAAAAAAACUCCAUGCUUUAUAACCUACAACUGCCAUGCUUAUUAUGAUAAAUUGAAGAAAAAAUUCCAUGCUUUAUAACCUACAAUUGCCAUGCUUAUUAUGAUAAAUUGAAGAAGAAGAAAUGCCAUGCUCCAUGACUUGCAAAUUGCCAUGCUAUGUGACCAUUUAUGUGUGAUAAAAAAACUACCAUGUAUAAUUUUUUGUUGUAAAAAGUUACCAUGUAUUAUGAACAUGUUUUGUAUGUUUUUAUCUCAUAAAAAAAGAAACAAAAAAUGAGGAUAUAGUUUAGAACCCUGGUCUGUAGGGUACAACUGCUGCACUACAUGCAUGUGUCUGGUUUAAGAGUAGUUGCAAUGGGAGUAACAUAGGUAGUAACAUCACACAUAUUUAGAUAAAAUAAAUGGUGUGGCAAGUAAUGAAUGAAGAAAGAGAGACAUGUGGUAACAUAGCUAGUUAUAGUAGUAUGGGUAACAUCACACAUAUCAAUGCAAGAUCAGUCUAUAGCCUAAUAAAUAAAAUGUUGUAUGUUACCAGACAUAUGUUACUUCCCACUAUAGAGAUAGUAACAUAGAUAAAUAACAUAUACAUGUUACUAGUCUUAGUUACUCCCCAUUGUGACUAAUCUAAAGGUGUUUGUGUUGCCUUUUAUUCCGCGCGAACCGUUGUAUUAACUGAUGUUGCAUGUUCCCACUUCUUCAAGAUCUGUACACUAGAUUAAACGGUGGAAAAAAGGAUCACGCGAGAUGACGAGGGAGCUGACGUUCACUCCAUAUACCUAGGGUUAAAAAAAUGUCAUGUUAUAUAUACUACAAAAAUGUCAUGUUAUAUAUACUACAAAAAUGCCAUGUUAUUUAUACUUAGGUUAAAAAGUGUCAUGUUAUAUAUACUACAAAAAUGCCAUGUCCAACAACUACAAAUACCAUAUUAUAAAAUAAUUAUCUAAACAUUUUACCACCUUAUAAAAAAUACAAAAAUGGCUAGUUGUUGGUCUUGAACCCUGGUCUACUAGAAGGAGCUUCCCUCAUUAGCCAGUCGGCUGGGAUGGUUCUUUUGUUAGGUAUGUUUUUUGUCUGGUUCUACUAUCAUUCCCGCCAGGAUGCCCACUGAGCGAACUGAGUCAUCUAUGACAUGGCGCACGUGCACAUCGAACGGCUGGAUGGGAGUUCGCGCCAGGUGACAAACCACCUGACAUUCACUCCCUAUGCUUUAGGUAGUUUAUUUACUUACGCGUGAAGGCAAUCUUUUUUUCAAUAAGAUUACUUUACCUCCUCACUUAUUUGUUUUUUUAAAACCCUUCCAUAUAUUAAUUAAUUUAAAAUAUUCAUACAAUCAUCCGUUACAAAUUCAGCCACGUAGGCGGAACACUAUUAAGGAGCACACCAACAGACCUAUUAUCAAAGCUGAACUUCACAAUCUCGUGCGCCGCCCUGUUAGCCCUUCUGUUAAUCUUGGAUAUCUUGCAAUUUAUCAUCAACUUGGAUAAACUCAAUGCUUCUAUCUUUAGAUCAACUAGAGAAGACCUGUCUAGAAGAUCAUCUCCAAGGAAAGAAGCCACAAAAGAACAAUCGGUUUCUAAAAUAAUGGGUUUGUGGAGAGUAAUACCAAUGUACAGCCCCGCAAGGGUCGCUCUUAGUUCCACUUUUAUCUGCGCUAUUGCACACCCCAAUAUAAUCCCAGGACGAAAUGAUAACUUCUCCAGUAUGGUUCCUGGCCACGACGCCCACAAUUGCAGCCCUUAAAGCCCCCACAUAACAUGCAUCAACAUUAAUCUUAAUGAACUCUGUAGCGGGAGCCUGCCAAGUCACAAAAUUCUUUGGCAUAUCAUUAGUAAAAUUUAAGCCAUCCACCCUCUCUUUACCUUUGAUGCUAAUCUCCAUCUUCACAUUGGGAUUACAGGACCAGAAGGACGUCUAGUAAUUCUGAAUGAACCUCACAGAGUCAGAGAUUUUUUCCUUUUCCUUACCAAAAAUCAAAUCAUUUCUCAGGUGUCAUGCCCUCCAAAACAUGAAUAUAGUUUGCUCACGCACUAGCGGCCUUACUUGAUCCAAUAAGAUAAGUAGCCAAUCCGGCCCCGAAAAAUUGAAAAACACUUCAUCUGGUAAAUCCCAUACCUCCCUUACCGCCAAACGUAGCGCACGAGCCUUGGGACAGCUUACUAGUGAAUGAAAUACAGAUUCAUCUUCAACACCACAAAUCAAGCACAAACCAAUGGUAGUUUGAUGGUGUUUAACUCUGUUAACUUGAACCACCAAACUAUGUGUCGCAACACGCCAUGCAAAAAUUCUGAUUUCCUGAUGGACCCAAGCCUUCCAAAUAAUAUUUCAUAGCCUCCUUUCCCCAUUAGCAGCACCACUUGAACUCCCUAACUCAAUCAUAGAGUCCUUAAGUUUGAGCGCCAAUUUAUAUGCACUUUUAACUGAGAACAAACCAUUUUUCUCAUAGUACCAAGCAAUGAAAUCUGCCUCACCAACAGUCAGAAUACACAACUUCAAAAUUUCCUCAGCAUCAUGUGGAAAGAACAGAUGCCGAAUAAGAUUCUCAUCCCAUCUUUUUGAGCCACCAAUGAAUAACUCAGACACACAUUUGAGUCUGGUUCUAUUCUUUUUUUGUAGAAAUUUGAAGACCUGAAUCUCUAGGAAGCCAAUUGUCUCUCCAUAUAUUUAUAUUUGCACCAUCGCGAACUCUCCAGAUGACCCCCUUUUUUAGCAGCUCAAGACCAUGCAUAAUACCUUGCCAAGUAGUCGGCGUCACAUGAGGGAAUACAGUGUCUAGCAAAUGCCCAUGAGGAUAAUGUAACACCCACGGUGUCAUGCUACAUUAAUCCCCUGUCAAUGGUGCCAGGUCACCAUGCUUACUGAGCUAUUUAUCACUUGAUGAAAAAUCAAAGUCAAAUUCGAAUUCAAAUUAUGAGUGAAAUUCAAAAUUUCUCAAACAUGCAAACUAAAAUGUUCAUUAAAUAGAAUAUCAUUCAUAACUAAUUAUCUUCAGAAAAACAACAUCACCUAAAUUCAUUAUGUGACUCAAACAACAUGAAACAGCAUCAAAGCAGAAAUUUAAAGUGCCAUAUCAUUUAUUAAAUAUUCAAAUGAAAUCAUUUUGGCUCCAAACCAUUUUUUGGCAGUGGUAAAUAUUGCACUAUAAUUGUUGAGCUAAGUCACAUAUUUUAGAAAACUCUAAUGGUGGCUAAGCAAUUUGCAAAACAGGAAUAAAUCAAAAAAAAGAAAAGAAAAGGAUAGCAGAGGGAAGAGAGAGAAAGACCCUGCCCCACUGGGCCAAACGGCCCAGCUGGCCGUCGGGCCACGCUAGCCGGCCCACUCCCCCUCCCCAGUAAUCUUCCCCUUUCUCCUGUUCGACCGACCGGGCGCCUCGGCGCCACCCGACCACCUCGCCGGCCUCGCCGGGAGAGGAUAAGGGUGACGCCUCGGGCGCCUCUCCCACUCACCUCACCACUUGCCCCGCUCCGCCUCUCCCUCUCCCCACCAGAUCCCUCCUUGUUCUCCCCCUCAUUCCCCAUCGACGCCCGAGCGCAGUCGCCGCCGUCCUCCGUCGUUGUCGCGGCCACCGGCGACCCCGCGCCCGCUGACCCUGUCGGUGAGCUCCGCUGGGGUCGACUCCUUCGACUGGUGGCCUCAGCUGGAGCUCGGAGGCGCUGCAGCAUCGGAUCCCCUUCGUCCCCAUCUUCGGCUAUUGUCGAUCUUCUUCGUCACCAGCGCCGCCCCUGCAGCUCCUAAAGCGCCACCGAGCCUCCUUGUGCUUCUCGGUGAGCUCUCCUUCCUCCCCGCUCUAUUCUGCUCGCCCCAACGUGCCCGUAGUUGCCGUCUCAUACGUGCCCGAGCCCAUCACCGCGGGAGCUCAUCGCCGACGAGCUUCCGGCGACCAAAUGGUCCCGCGCCAGUGCCCGUUUAGCUCGUCCGCGCGUGUACGACCUCGCUACCCCCUUUGCCUCGUCCGUUUGUGCACUGCUAUUGCUAUUCCACUUCCACCCGAACGUCGCCGCCGCCCUCCGUCGUUGUCGCGGCCACCGGCGGCUCUGCGCCCGCUGACCCUGACGGUGAGCUCCGCCGGGGUCGACUCCUUCGACUGGUUCCCUCCGCUGGAACCGGGAAGCACCGCAGCUGCCGUUCGACCUCGUCCCCUUCGGCCACCGUGACGCCGUCGUCGUCGAUUCGGCCUUCCCCUGCGCUCCUAACCUGUUGAGGGAUUUUCUUAGCCGCUCGAUGAGCACCUCCCUCUCGUCCCCCUACACCCCUAUUGUUUCCCGUACCCAUAGGCCAUCGUUGCCGCCAUGGCAGAACUCGUCGCCGCUACCGAGCCUCUCCGUCUCGGCCACUACUAGUCGAGCUCGCUUUCAAGCACGGCUUCGUUCCUGUAGCGCUGCCAGGAGGCCUCCCAGCCUUCCGCGCCUCCUCCCGUACCUCCUAGCACUAUCCCCGUCCUCGCCUGAAAACCGCCGCCGCGGACCUCGUCGCCGGCGACAUUUCCGGCCAGGUCUGGCGAUGCCACCACCACCACUCGACGCGCGGUCGUGUGACCGUUCGAACGCACCCACGCAUGCCCGAAAUCGAGCCCCGUAGCGCGAUUUCGGCCAACUCCGGCGAGGCGCCGCCGUUGUUUUGGUCGCCGGAGUCACUUUGGCGCAGGCCGCCGACGUGGCUGGCCUGGGGCCACCCCAGAGCCACUGCCAGUGGGCCCCGUGGGUCCGAGUUGACUGGGUUGACUCAACUGCUGACCAGGCAGCCCAGUGCCACUGACACGCGGGCCCCACUGCCUAUUUUAAUUAAUUAAAAUGUUUUAAUAAUUAAAACCUAAUUAGUUACUAAUUAGAGACUCACAUGUGGGGCCCAGUAGCAUUUUUUAACCUCAGAUUAGUUUAGUAUAAACUCUGUUAUUUACUGUGUCUGACAUGUGGGCGCCACCUGUCUGGUUUGACUGGUCAGCUGACUUGUUGACCUGCUGACGUCAGCAUUGUAUCAUGUUGAUGUCAUAAUUCCCUUUUCUAUUAAUUUAAAUAAUUCCAGAAAAUGGUUUAAUCUUUGAAAAUUCAUAGAAAAUAAACCGUAGCUCGGUUGGAGACACUUUAUACAUGAAAGUUGCUUAGAACAACGAGACGAACCUGAAUACGCUAACCACAUACCUGUCAGAUGCUUCUAACUAUCCGAACAUGGAACAUUCCCCCUUCGGUUAUCUGUCUAACACAGGUCCGGAACCGGGAAAACAUUCCCGGUUGAUUUACCCCUUCACCUAUAUCAUGUAGCCGUACGUUAGGUCACACCCGACACAACAUAUUGCCACGCUAUGCUUUGUGAUGCUAUGUUUGCUUUAUAUUUACUGUUUCUUCUCCCUCUUCUCUCCGGUAGACCCUGAGACCGAUGCUGCCCCUGUGAUCGACUACGUUGACGAUGACCCCUCCUUGCUAGAGAAACCAGGCAAGCCCCCCUUUGAUCAUCCCGAUAUCGCCCAUUCCAUUCUCUCAUGCUUGCAUUAGAUUUUGCUACUGUUAUUGAUUGCUCCUAUUCUGAUGCAUAGCCUUCUUUUGUAUCUGCUGUUGUACCUUACCUGCUUAUCCUAAACUGCUUAGUAUAGGUUGGUUAGUGAUCCAUCAGUGACCCCCACCUUGUCCUUGUUUCCCCUGCUUCAUCAUUGAAGACCCGAUCAACGGGAUCGAAGACCAGGCCCCGGCACCGCACAUCACUUCCCCUUAGUUGCUCGACACUACUGGGUUACUAUCGAGUCCCGAGGGUGAGGCCUCAUCAGCACUUCUGAUGUUAACCCUGUGUGUAGCUAUUUGGUCGUGGUCAUCGAGUGUGAUUUCCUCUUUAACCACUUCCGAUACGACUCUGUCGUGCAACUCCUCAAGUGUGGACCUCGAGGGUGGUCCCUCUUACAUUCACCUUGAUGAUUACAUGGAGUGGAAUUCACCGGGGGUGAUUCCUCGGGUUUCCCCCUUGAUAUUUGGACACACAGUUACUAUGCUUACUAUGACUUUACACUGAACCAUGUUACUAAAGACGGGUCGACCCUAAGGGGUACCCGCGCGAGCAUAAUUGCGAGUGAUGUGGAGUCGGGUUGACCUAGAAGGUGCCCGCGAGAUAAUUACGAGGCGUGGCCGGGCAUUCUUAGCCCUUGCUGCAAGUCCUCGAGACGGGGCAACGGGGGCACAUAUUUCGUGAGUCUCUUAUUACCGCGCGUUCCUAAUCCACUACGAUUUGGAUAUUUGAUCUGAGGGACCUCUAGCCUGAUAGCACUAACCAUCACGUGGGCAUAGUAUGGGCGUUCUGCGUCGUAUGCAUCAGCUGAAGCUUAAUAGAUGUUAGCGACUGAGCAGCACGCGUCGGGUUGGACUGGUAAGCACCUGCCUUUUUGAAGGAGGUAGCUAGGUCUGCUCACCGGCCGCAUUCGCAAUGUGCAGGAGUUCCCGGGGUGAUGGCCCAUGACCCCUGGGGGCAUAGGUUUAGUCCGGCGUGCUGACCUCUCUAUUAAGCCUAGGUCGGGUUGCGGCGUAUUGUUUGGCCGAGGCCGGGCAUGACCCAGGAAAGUGUGUCCGGCCAGAGUUAAUCGAGCAUGGAGGGUAAGUUGAUGCACCCCUGCAGGGAUGAAAACAACUAACGAUAGCCUGUCCUACGGUAACAGACACUUGGAGUUGUAUCCCAAUCGAUACAACUAGAACUGGAUACUUGUGAUGAGAAUUGGAUUAUGAUGAGAAAUGGAUAGUAUGGCUCUGGGAUUGCUUUCUCGCUGGGAGUCGAGAAAGGAUCUCUGGCCGAGGUUGAUAACACUACUACUACUUUACUUUAUGCUACUCUACUCCCUCCUGUUUGCUGCAAGAUGGUGGUUUCCAGAAGAUGCUAGUCUUCGAUAGGACUAGGCCUUCUCUCUAUUCUGGCAUUUUUGCAGCCCAGUCCACAUAUACAGCCUUCCUUUGAUAAUGUUGCAUAUGUAGUGUAGAUCCUUGCUUGCGAGUACUUUGGAUGAGUACUCACGGUUGCUUUGCUCCCCAUUUUCCCCCUUUCUUUUUUCUUUCCCGUUGAUGCAACCAGAUGUCGGAGCCCAGGAGCCAGAUACUACCGCCUGUGCCUACUACUACAUGGAGACCGCUGACGACCAGGAGUAGUUAGGAGGCUCCCAGGAAGGCCUUGCCUUUUCGAUCAUAGAUGCUUUUGUGCUGGCCUUCUUAAGGCAAACUUGUCUAACUCAUGUCCGUACUCAGAUAUUGUUGCUUCCGCUGACUCUUGUGUAUUUGAGCCCUCGAGGCCCCUGGCUUGUAAUAUAAAGCUUGUAUUAUUUUAAUUUGUGUCUAGAGUUGUGUUGUGAUAUCUUCCCGUGAGUCCCUGAUCUUGAUCGUACACAUUUGCAUGUAUGAUUAGUGUACGAUUUAAUCGGGGGCGUCAAAAGUUGGUAUCAGAGCCGACUGCCUGUAGGUAGCCCCCUUUCCGACUCCUUGGCCGAAGUUGAGUCUAGAAACCGAAAACUAUUUUACUAACUUGGCUGUGUGGCUUACGGGCCCACGUCGCCAUAUGGGUGGUAUUUGGAUCUUUUACUCAUCGUCUAUACUCAGGGACUCUGAUCUCUCUUCCAUCCGGGUUAAACAAUUUUGCUAACUCUAACUCUGGGUUCUCGUAACUAAUUCCUCCCGGAGAGUUCCUUUUUACAGAUGAUCGCAUGCUGCACUAGAAGAUUCCCAAGAUACUCUACGAUGUUCUCUUGAGACUUUGUGCAUGUCGCUUUUGCAAUUCCCUACCACCGCUAUAUCCUUAUACGAUCAUUCCCUGUUGCUCUUUAUAUUGUAAGAUACCCCGAGAUACUCUCCAUUACCUCGAGAAUCCUUUGAGCUUACUGCUUUGCAGUUCUUUAUCACAUGAAUAGCCCUACAGAUAAAUCAUUGCACUUGUCGAGUAUCCGUUCAUCCCCAGUUGUUUGAAUGCUUCAUAAGAUUCUUUGAAAUACUAUUCGAUCUUCGAGAAUCCUCUUCAAACUAUUGCUCUGCAAAUACUUGUCUGCUUGCAUUAUGGAUGCUUCCCAUAUGUCUAGCAAUAUUCAUCAGUAUGCUUUGACACCGUCAUUUUGUUCCUAUUGAUUCAACAUGUGAGCGAAUGUGCGCAACCAUUAGUUGAUCCUUUCAAAUGAUCUUUCCAGCUCAGACGUAUUUUGAACAUUAGCUGGUUCUCGACCAAACAAUUGGCGAUGAUUGUAACCCUAAGUCUAUACAACUUAUCCGUCCUUUAUCAAAGCGUUUGCUUCUGAUCCCUUGAUUUAGAAAUCAUAAUUUCUUUGCAUUUAAGCAUCGAAUUAUUCAGAUGCUUCUAUAAUCCAAUGCCUUUGCAUUCUUUCCUUCUUCUGAUUGAGUACUGAUACUCAUAUCAGAUCCUUUGAGGACCUCUCAAUCCUUUGUUGGAUUAUUAUCCGGCAGUGUCCUUCAUAUGCAAAAUUUUGUGCGCUCUUCCCCUGAUACAUAUUGCCUUUGGUAAAUUGUAUUCUCUGCUUUGUCAACCAUGUUGUGCUUCUGAGCUUGAGUUAAUUACCUCUGAAGUUUUUGCAAAUGUUCCUAAGAUGCCCUGACGGGUUGAACUAAUGCUUUCCCUAAUUUUUGUGAACCCGGAAAUUCCUAUGGGUCAUACUCUACUGGUGUUACGUCGAAUAAAAAUUUCUACACUACAACUUCGUCAAAAGCGGGAAGUAAAUGAGAGGUUAUGCAUUGAAGAAGUGGGAGUCGGCCUAGAACUUUGUGUUCAUGCCCAUAGAAACAAUGUAGAUCUUAUCAUGGAAGCUUCUUUUAUAAUCAAAUGUUCCCUUGGUAUAAGCUCAUCUUGCAUCCGUAAAUUGAUUCUUUGCAAUUGUGGUUCCGACCACUUUCUCCUUGAUUCCAUUUCCCGGACGAGUUAAAAUACUUGUCUUAUGUAGAUCAUUUCAUCUGUCGAACCUCCAUUUGGAUCUACCUCCAGUACUGCCCCCUAUUAUCUCAAGGAUAUUGUGUCAAUGCACUACCUCUUGUGAGUUCUCAGUGGAAUGAUACUCCAUCACAUCAUUCCUAGCCUGAUCGGCUAUAUCAUCAUCAAGCUAAUUUUAAUUGUGCUACCCGGUCCUUCUUUGUGGAGCACAACUUCUGACGACGAGCUAAGCUUACGUCGAUCUUCCUCAUCUGAUCAUUUCACCUCAAACAACAUGCUCGAUUUCGAGCUUUUGUCCCAUCCGUGGUUCCAAUAACCUUUCGCUGCAUCAUUCCUUUUGCUUGAUGUCGUUGCUGUUCGAUGGCCUCUUCAUAGAACCUCGACAAAAUCUGUCGUGAUCCCCAUCAAUAUACUGGCCUAUUUCAGGAUAUCAAUCAAAUUCAUGAUGAGAAAUACCAUCCUCACCCCUCGAUGAUUGUGUUAUCAUCGACAACAUCCUUACCUUCCUUUGAACACAGACUUGUUCACAUAAUUUUGGAAAUACAUCCUUUUUGACAUGUCGAUGGAUUUCUGCUGCACCCAUCGGCCACAUCCUCAUCUUUUCCUUGCUGAAAUUAUAUAACUUAUUUUAUAAGUUGUUUCCAGUGAAUCCUUUAUGUACCCAAAGUCUUACCUUUACCUGAUGACCAUGUCAAUGCUAUCCCGAAACAUGUCUGUGGUACCCCGUUCAUCAACAAGAACAUUGGGAGCGCAGUGCUAAAUGUUUCUUGAUCAAUUAUCCAAACACUGUUGUAUGGGUAACGUCAUGAAUUUCCUCUCCCCUUACCUAAAUGGUUAUACUUACUAUCCUGUCAUGUAUACCAUACUAUUCUUGUCCUUGGUAAAAGAUAUACCCCUGAUAUUUGGGUUUAAACACAUUUCCCUUUCCAAUGUUCUGGUUAAUCUAAUGAUCACCUUUUCCUUUCCACUGUUUUGUUUAACCUUUCUUGGGAAUUAUGAGAUCUAAGCAGUAAUAGUUCCCUACUUAUGUAAACACCUCGGUGCACAAUUUGGUAGUGAGACCCUGUUAUUAUUAUUGUUAACAUUCCGAUAACCACCGAUGGACGAGAACUUUGCCUAUUGGUCCGCCUUGUUUCAACGAGCAGGAAAAUGGUUCUCUUUGUCCCUCGCCCUUGGUACCAAUGUUGUUGACAACAUAACUGACAGUCUAUCAUCUGACAUGCCUUGCUAUCGACCCCCUUUCUACUUUUAACCCACAUGGUGGGCUCAUAACCCACAGCUCCACAGGAUCGGAACCUAACUCUCCUGUAUAUCUUUGAUUCCGAAAUAUUCUUGCAUUUGGCUUCGUAUCAUGUCACGAGCCACCUUUCGAGAGAUGAUCUGUUCCCGAUGCUCUGAACCCCUUCCUCACACUUUGUUCAGGUAUCAAUCGUUUGUCCAUUCGCUUGAAACUUCCUAUUGUACCUUCAUACUUUGCUCUCGAUGUUAAUUAAGUUUCAGCUUGAGAGAUACUUCUGCCUCAUUUCCUGAAUUGUUCACCAGAUAAUUAGCCCUAUAAGGGUCAGUUCUCCCGAAGUUACUCUUUACUUCACCACUUAAACCUCAGGACGAGAUUUCUUGUAGUGGAGGAGAUUUUUAACACCCCGAGUGUCAUUCUACAUUAAUCCCCUGUUAAUGGUGCCAAGUCACCAUGCUUACUGAGCUAUUUAUCACUUGAUGAAAAAUCAAAUUCAAAUUCAAAUUCAAAUUAUGAGUGAAAUUCAAAAUUUCUCAAAAAUGCAAACUAAAUGUUCAUUAAAUAGAAAAUAAUUCAUAACUAAUUAUCUUCAGAAAAACAACAUCACCUAAAUUCAUUAUGUGAUUCAAACAACAUGAAACAACAUCAAAGCAGAAAUUUAAAGUGCCAUAUCAUUUAUUAAAAAUUCAAAUGAUAUCAUUUUGGCUCCAAACCAUUUUUUUGGCAGUGGUAAAUAUUGCACUAUAAAUGUUCAGCUAAGUCACAUAUUUUACAAAACUCUAAUGGUGGCCUAGCAAUUUGCAAAACAGGAAUAAAUCAAAAAAAAAGAAAAGAAAAGGAUAGCAGAGGGAAGAGAGAGAAAGCCCCUGCCCCACUGGGCCAAACGGCCCAGCUGGCCGUCGGCCCAUGCCAGCCGGCCCACUCCCCCUCCCCUGUCGUCUUCCCCUUUCUCCUGUUCGACCGAUCGGGCGCCUCAGCGCCACCCAACCACCUCACCGGCCUCGCCGGGAGAGGAUAAGGGCGACGCCUCGGGCGCCUCUACCACUCACCUCACCACUUGCCCCGCUCCGCCUCUCCCUCUCCCCACCAGAUCCCUUCUCGUUAUCCCCCUCGUUCCCCAUCGACGCUCGAGCGCGGUUGCAGCCAUCCUCCGUCGUUGUCGCGGCCACCGGCGACCCCGCGCCCGCUGACCUUGUCGGUGAGCUCCGCCGGGGUCGACUCCUUCGACUGGUGGCCUCAGCUGGAGCUCGGAGGUGCUGCAGCAUCGGAUCCCCUUCGUCCCUAUCUCCGGCUGCUGUCGAUCUUCUUCGUCUCAGGCACCGCCCCUGCAGCUCCUAAACCGCCACCGAGCCUCCUUGUGCUCCUCGGUGAGCUCUCCUUCCUCCCCGCUCUCUUGUCCUCGCGCCAAUGUGCCCGUAGUUGCCGUCUCGUACGUGCCCGAGCCCAUCACCGUGGGAGAUCAUCGCCGACGAGCUUCCGGCGACCAAAUGGUCCCGCGCCAGUGCGCGUUUAGCUCGCCUGCCCGCGUAGGACCUCGCUACCCCCUUUGCCUCGUCCGUUUGCGCACUUCUGCUGCUAUUCUACUUCCACCCGAACGUCGCCGCCGCCCUCCAUCGUUGUCGCGGCCACCGGCGGCCCAGCGCCCGCUGACCCUGACGGUGAGCUCCGCCAGGGUCGACUCCUUCGACUGGCGCCAUCCACUGGAACCAGGAAGCACCGCAGCCGCCGUUCGUCCUCGUCCCCAUCUCCGGCCACCGCGACACCGCCGUCGUCGAUUUGGCCUUCUCCUGCACUCCUAACCUGUCGAGGGCUUUUCUUAGCCGCUCGGUGAGCACCUCCCUCUCCUCCCCCUACCCCCUGUUGUUUCCCAUGCCCGUAGGCCAUCGUUGCCGUUGUGGCCGAACUCGUCGCCGCUGCCGAGCCUCUCUGUCUCGGCCACCAUCGGCCGAGCUCGCUUUCGAGCACGGCUUCGUGCCCGUAGCACUGCCAGGAGGCCUCCCAGCCAUCUGCGCCUCCUUCCGUGCCUCCUAGCGCGAUCCCCAUCCUCGCCCGAAAACCACCGCCGUGGUCCUCGUCGCCGGUGACGUUUCCAGCCAGGUUCGGCGAUGCCACCACCACCACUCGACGCGCGGUCGAGUGACCGUACGAACGCACCCACGCACGCCCGAAACCGAGCCCCGUAGCGCGAUUCCGGCCAACUCCAGCGAGGUGCCACCAUUGUUUUGGUCGCCGGAGUCACUCCGGCGCCGGCCGCCGACGUGGCUGGCCUGGGGCCACCCCAGAGCCACUGCCAGUGGGCCCCGUGGGUCCCAGUUGACUGGGUUGACCCAAUCAACUGCUGACCAGGCAACCCAGUGCCACUGACAUGCGGGCCCCACCACCUAUUUUAAUUAAUUAAAAUGUUUUAAUAGUUAAAACCUAAUUAGUUACUAAUUAGAGACUGACAUGUGGGGCCCAGUAGCAUUUUUUAACCUCAGAUUAGUUUAAUAUAAACUCUGUUAUUUACAAUGGCUGACAUGUGGGUGCCACCUGUCUGGUUUGACUGCUCAGCUGACCUGUUGACCUGCUGAUGUCAGCAUUGCAUCAUGCUGAUGUCAUAAUUCCCUUUUCUAUUAAUUUAAAUAAUUUUAGAAAAUGGUUUAAUCUUUGAAAAUUCAUAGAAAAUAAACUGUAGCUCGGUUGGAAAAACUUUAUACAUGAAAGUUGCUCAGAACGACGAGACGAACCCGAAUACGCUAACCACAUACCUGUCAGAUGCUCCUAACUAUCUAAACAUGGAACAUUCCCCCUCCAGCCAUCUAUCUGACAUAGGUCCGGAACCGGGGAAACAUUCCCGGUUGAUUUCCCCCCUUCACCUAUAUUGUGUAGCCAUACGUUAGAUCACACCCGGCACAACAUAUUGCCACGUUAUGCUUUGUGAUGCUAUGUUUGCUUUAUAUUUACUGUUUCUUCUACCUCUUCUCUCCGGUAGACCUCGAGACCGACGCUGCCCCUGUGAUCGACUACGUCGACGACGACCCCUCCUUGCUAGAGCAACCAGGCAAGCCCCCCCUUUGAUCAUCCCGAUAUCGCCCAUUCCAUUCUCUCAUGCUUGCAUUAGAUUUUGCUACUAUUAUUGAUUGCUCCUAUUCUGAUGCAUAGCCUGCUUUUGUAUCUGUUGUUGUACCUUACCUGCUUAUCCUAAACUGCUUAGUAUAGGUUGGUUAGUGAUCUAUCAGUGACCCCCACCUUGUCCUUGUUGCCCCUGCUUCAUCAUCGAAGACCCGAUCAACGAGAUCGAAGACCAGGCCCCGGCACCGCACAUCACUUCCCCUUAGUAGCUCGACACUACUGGGUUACUAUCGAGUGCCGAGGGUGAGGCCUCAUCAGCACUUAUGAUGUUAACCCUGUAGUGUAGCUAUUUGGUCGUGGUCAUCGAGGGUGAUUUCCUCUUUAACCACUUCUGAUACGACUCUGUCAUGCAACCCAUCAAGUGUGGACCUCGAGGGUGGUCCCUCUUAUGUUCACCUUGAUGAUUACAUCGAGCGUAAUUCACCGGGGGUGAUUCCUCGGGUUUUCCCCUUGAUGUUUGGACACACGGUUACUAUGGUUACUAUGACUUUACACUGAACCAUGUUACUAAAGACGGGUCAACCCUGAGGGGUACCCGCGUGAGCAUAAUUGCGAGUGAUGUGGAGUUGGGUUAACCUGGAAGGUGCCCGCGAGAUAAUUAUGAGGCGUGGCUAGGAUUUCUUAGCCCUUGCCGCAAGUCCUCGAGACGGGCAACGGGGUCACAUCUUGCGUGAGUCUCUGCUUGUUACCACGCGUUCCUAAUCCACUACGAUUUGUAUAUUUGAUCUGAGGGGCCUCUGGACUGAUAGCACUAACCAUCACGUGGGCAUAGUAUUGGCGUUCUGUGUCGUAUGCAUCCGCCGAAGCUUAAUAGAUGUCAGUGACUGAGCGGCGCGCGCCGGGUUGGACUGGUAAGCACCUGCCUUUUUGAAGGAGGUAGCUAGGUCUGCUCAUCGACCGCGUUCGCAACGUGCAGGAGUUCCCAAGGUGAUGGCCCAUGACCCCUGGGGGCAUAGGUUUAGUCCGGCGUGUUGACCUCUCUAUUAAGCCUAGGUCGGGUUGCGGCGUAUUGUUUGGCCGAGGCCGGGCAUGACCAAGGAAAGUGUGUCCCGCCGGAGUUAAUAGAGUGUGGUUGGUAAGUGGUGCACCCCUGCAGGGAAGAAAACAUCUAUCGAUAGCCUGUCCUACAGUAACGGACACUUGGAGUUGUAUCCCGAUCGAUACAACUAGAACUGGAUACUUGUGAUGAGAAUUGGAUUGUGAUGAGAAAUGGAUAGUAUGGCUCUGGGAUUGCUUUCUCGCAGGGAGUCGAGAAAGGAUCUCUGGCCGAGGUUGAUAACACUACUACUACUUUACUUUAUGCUACUUUACUCCCUCCUGUUUGCUACAAGAUGGUGGUUUUCAGAAGAUGCUAGUCUUCGAUAUAUAGGACUAGGCCUUCUCUCUUUUCUGGCAUUUCUGCAGCCCAGUCCAAAUAUACAGCCUUCCUUUGAUAAUGUUGCAUAUGUAGUGUAGAUCCUUGCUUGCGAGUACUUUGGAUGAGUACUCACGGUUGCUUUGCUCCCCCCUUUCCCCCUUUCUUUUUCUUUCCGGUUGAUGCAACCAGAUGUCGGAGCCCAGGAGCCAGAUACUACCGCCGGUGCCUACUACUAACGCGGAGACCGCUGACGACCAGGAGUAGUUAGGAGGCUCCCAGGCAGGAGGCCUUGCCUUUUCGAUCGUAUAUGCUUUUGUGCUGGCCUUCUUAAGGCAAACUUGUCUAACUCAUGUCUGUACUCAGAUAUUGUUGCUUCCGCUGACUCUUGUGUAUUCGAACUUAUGUAUUCGAGCCCUCGAGGCCCCUGGCUUGUAAUAUAAAGCUUGUAUUAUUUUAAUUUGUGUCUAGAGUUGUGUUGUGAUAUCUUCCCAUGAGUCCCUGAUCUUGAUCGUACACAUUUGCGUGUAUGAUUAGUGUACGAUUGAAUCGGGGGCAUCACAGACAAUACUUUGCUUUCAUCACCUUUGCACAUAACGAGUCCGAAAAAACCAAUAAGCGAAGCCUGUUUCGCCAAAAGCACUUGAUUAAAUAAUCUCAAAUCUCUAAAGCCCAUACCUCCGUCACCUUUGGGUCUUGUCAACUUAUCCCACGCCAGCCAAUGAGUUACCUCCUCACUUAUUUGAGGCUGGUUUACCUUAACCCACUCGCCUAUAAAACCAGUUAUUCUACUUCUGAACUAUCUAAAACCAUAUAAAUAAGCCGCUAAGAUGUUGUUGAAGGUGGUUUUUCCUACGCGUCAUUAUAUGUGGUCUGUCACAUGGCAAUAAUAUUUUAAAUAUAUUUGGAAUCUCAUAACCAAACAAGAUUUUAAAAAAUAAUUUUUGUUUAAUAGUGAGAAGGACACUCGUGAUUUCUAGACAAGAUUGAUAUUUUUCUUUUGAUGAGAAUAAAUGUUCAAUCAUGUUGUCUACUACUACAUCUGUUAGGUGAAAUCUUGUCCCCUUCCUAAACUAGGUUGUAAGAGCAAUUAAACAGUUCUCAGAGAAAAAAACUGUCAUUUGAUGCAUGAGAGGGCGAAAAGCUUGCUCCAGCUCUUACUCCAUCCUCUCUUUUACAUGCAUCAAAUCCUCCUCUCCAUCUACUACAGUAUUUUUAUGCAUCUCUCACCCAUCUGCAGGAAACCGUUUUUCUUCAUCGCCAUGCACCACCGCCAAAUCCCGUCGAAGCAUCGCCGCCCGCCAUCCCCAUCCUCCGGAGGCAAGUUCUGGCCCGAUGGAAACCCGCCCUACCCGGCCAUGUAAAUUGUUGUGGACUGAGAAAUGUGUUGGCAUGGCUACUUUUUUUUACCCUACUUAUAAAUUAGAGCUGCAUUCAGGAGCUUCAUUUCAGUGAUCAACGAGCCAUGCAAGUUAAACUUACAUACGUCCUCUGAUGCUUGAUGAAACGGCAUGAAUGGGUAGAAACAACCCCUUCGAUUAUAACCCCCCAACUUAGUUUUUAUCGACCAACCGGGUUACCAGGAACAUAUUGGAUGCAUGAACAGAUAAACGUUAGCACAGUAGUAAGUUAAAACUGUCCAGAAAACUCUUUCAACAAUUGAGCAGAAUCUUAAGUGUUAUUAUGAGUAGCCGUCUAGCAUGGAAGAUGGAAAUAGAAACAUUUGGACCAAAAGCAGGACAACUUCAUUCUCAUCCACAAAACAAGUAAGAUUUCACAAAGACAAAGCAAAGCUCCCACCAAACAUGUAAGAUUUCAGUGUCAAUAGAAUAUGCCACUUACACCAACCUAGGCAUUUCAGGUAACAACAGAGCAAACACAAAAUACUUCCACACUAUGCUAAGCAUUCUAUCGCAGUCCUGACCUAGGCCUUUAUUAUACUUCCUCAUGGACAAGUAGUUCUUAUGCUUCCUUUCCCUCUCC